rnacentral:lncRNA from 1 species
CGGCGUCGCCUCCUAAAAUGCCCGGAUCGAACGCCUAGCCUAGGGUUUCCCCUCCUCCCCCUCCCCCACUGCCGAUGGACGAUGCCCGGUUCCCUCCCCAUCGUCGGUCCAAGGCCCCCUUCCGCGACCUCCCGCCUCGAUCCCCGUUUGGUCGUCGCUACGCCGACGAUGACGAGGACGAAGAAGGAGAAGAAGAGGAGGACAACGAGGAGGAGCAUAACGACAUGCAUCAGCCCAUGGACGACGACUACGAUGACGACUCCUCAUCCGAGAGCCGUGGCAAGCGGAAGAGGAUCGAUGAACUCGCCCUGGGGUUCGAAUUCGCCCCGCGUGUAAACCCCGAGGCCUCCGCUCCAUCCUCCAAGCCUGCUGCCCGGACCUCGACCUUCGACCUCCUGGAUCCGUGGGGCGAUCGCUUCGCUCAGAACGGUCGGAGGAGCUUCCGAGCGGAUGAGGGCAGCGAUAUCGCCAAGAAAGUCUCGCUGGCCUCUAAGGCUAAUCGAACCAACGCUUAUCGUGGGAAUCGGUUUGAGAAGUACAAGAAGGAGAAGCCGAGCACGGGGGAGGAUGGGAAUGUUGGAAGCAAAUGGGUUUAUUUUAAGAAGAUGGACGCUUUGAUGUCAUCCCCGUCACCGCUGCCAGGACGGCAGCAGCCACAUCUCUUUUCUAGUUCCAGCGUCUAUCAGAAUCGUUGUAGUGGCAAUCAUGAGAAGAGAGACGGUCUAGGGAACACCAGAUAUGACGGUGACUGUGAUGAUGAGGAUGUCGACUCUGAUGGGCUCCCACCAAAGAGGAUGAAUGUCUUGAGGUGCUCGGAUUCUUCUUUUAGGAUGCUUGCUGAGUCAAUUCAGAAGUUUGGAGACAUCUAUGAGAAGAUGGAGAUUCAUCAGAGGCAGCAGAUGGCAGAGCUGGAAAGGAUGAGGAAGGAGUUCCAAAGGGAUUUGGAGGUGCAGAAAAGGCAGAUUUUGGAGAAGGCACAAGAGGAGAUUGCAAAAUUGACAGAGGAGGGUAGGGGAGAUGAUGAAGAGGAUAGGGAAGAUAAGGAGGAAGACAGUGAUGAUGGUGAUUCUGCUGAUAAUCUUAGCGGGUAGGUUAAUGGUGACCUUGUUGACUUUGUUUUCCAUUAUUGAUUGUCUCUACAUAAUUAUAUAUUUUUUGUCAAUAUUUUAUAGUUGUCACUCUUAUUUUGUCAAAAUGAAAAAAAAUGAAGUAGUUCAUUGGAAAUAUUAAAAUGUGCAUGUCACAUUAGAUUCCAUUAGUGUUGGCUACUGUUUGUGGCUUAUGUUUACAGAUGGCUCUUUAGGUUUUAGUGAAGUGGGGAGUUACGUUACUGACUGGGAUAGUAAAAUGGAAUGAGGACUCUGACAUGCUGAAGAAAUUUGUUAUUUUGAGAGAUGAUAUAUUAAAGUUUAAUUGAUGUCAUGGUUGUUAUUUUUUCACUUGUUACUAUGUCAGUUAGGCUUUAUUAAAAAUAUACUAGGCUAUCAUCUAGGUAAUAUCUUUAAUCGAGUUAAUUUUAGUAUUGUUAGUAGCAGCAUUAUGAUUGACACUUCUCGAAGCAUCUUUUAAAUUUAUAUCAUUGUCAUAAAGCUUUUUAGGAUGUUGGUAGACUUAUCAUAUCUGGAAGAUGUUUGUGUAUUAUGAAAUUGGGUUGUUUUGGAUCUGGGGUUUUAUAAUGAAAGGAUGUAGGUUAGCUUUCAAUGAAAUUGGGUUGCUUUGGAUCUGGGACUUUUAUAAUGAAAGGAUGUAGGUUAGCUUUCAAAGUAUAGAAGUCUUGAGAGGAAAGUACAAGAUUUCUGCCUUAGAAAUGAGUACAAGUCCCUGACUCAAUAGUCAAUACUGAAAGAACUCACCUGUGGAAGUGCUUGUGCCGCAUUGGACUCCCAACUUGAACUUGACAUCUGUUAAAUUAAUUGAUUUUAGACAUGCUUAUGUACUUGUUCAAGUAUUUGGGAUAAGAUACAAGCCCGCAACAUUGUGGGUGAAUCCCCUGAAAAAGUUUGUGGAGAAUGGCAGUAACUCGUGCACUUUAAAAAAAUAAAUAAAUAAAGUCCUAUACUUUCUCAAGCCAGAGGACAUAUCCCUUUGGGGGUGUAUCAAGUGGUCCAUGCUAGUUGUGUUAAUAUGCAGUUGAGGAAUUCUUAUUGUUUGGUCAUAUCUUAGAUUGUCACACUGUAGAAUUUGCCUUUGCCUACAUAUCGUUGAAUCUUUUCACUAUAGGUCCCAAGCCUGAAAAAAGAGUGGUGCAUUAGGUACUUGAUAGUCAGCAUAAGAUCCCUUCGAAUGUUUUGAGGAUGGACUUUAAUAUUUUUGUAUAGGACCAGGUCACUCUUAGCUUGUAAAAAAAUCCAUGGAGUUGUCCCCAGUUGGUUCAGAUAUUUCAGCUUCUUGUUAUUGUUGUAGUCUUUGGAGCUCGAAAGAACUACUGAUUGAUGAAGACAACCUAGAAUCGCCUACUUGGAUUGGUUUGGAAUCAUAGGAGAGUUCUAUUCUUUUGAUGCUACAGUAUCUCCGAGUAUUGUUUCACAUGACUAUUAGCAAUUUCGUGCAUUUUGUGGCCUCUGGCUGUUGUGUCUUGAUUUAAAAGUUAUUAAGUUGAUGGCUUUUACUUGAGAAUAUGAGUUGGGUAUUAGAUUAUGUGCUCCCUAAUCAUGCCCGCUGCGGCCUCUGGGAGCUGAAAGUUUGCUUUCCCUCGAGACUACUGCUAUCGAUGCUAGAGGGCUUUUAAUUAAAGCUUCUGGGGCUGGAGAGAGGCCUCUUGUAGAACUCCACUAGCACUCCUUUGGAUUGUUGUCUUGAACUGAUUUAACCAGCUAGUUGAUAAAAGCUGUGCAGUAAUGUGCUUUUUGUUAAUUUUUUUUUGUGCUGUAUCAGGUAUUAAAAUUUGUUGCUUUUCUUGUUCUGUAGGUUCGUAUCUGCUUCAUUCUUCCUGACGGCCUUUGUCUGACAAAGAGAGAGUGAUUCCCGAGUAUCCAUUGGCUGCUUUGGAUUGCUUCUGCGCACCCACUUCCACGUGCUGUUCUAAAUAACAAAUUCUGUACUGCAGUUACAUGGACACUUGAUGUGGUUGGGGGGCCGAGGAAGCAGCUUUGUAUCUCCACUAUGUUUGAAUAGCUAGCUCAUUGGCAUCCCCUAUUUAACUCCCCAUUUUACCCAAACGUUUAGAUUCUAGAGUUUCAUGACAAGAUGUGUAUUUGCAUGAUUAGUCUCGAAGUUGGUCAUUUGUUUGUAUUGGUUUCUUCUGAUGGUUGACAUAACAAAGUAUUUUUGUUUGUCCAGGGUCUGGAUUUAGACGCAUGGGGGCCUGUGUCGCAACUCGGAUUUCUCGUUUUCGGCCCAUACACUGCCUUCGACUGCUACUUUGUUUGGUGGGUGUGACAUGCCAUUGGUGUGUGUCUCUUCAUCAAUCAGUUUAUCUAAACUAAAGUAGAGAAAAAAAAAAAAAAUAAUAAUAAUAAUACUUUUUAUCAAAGAGGUUGGUUAUGCUUUAUGCCAUGAACUGGCCGCUAACGAAGAGCUUAGGAAGCUUUAUCUUUGUGAUUGCACCUCUUACAGGAAUGCUAAACGAGACUGCAACAAUCAACGAGUGCAGCCUCGUUUAAAAUAUGAACUGAUGCCUAUCGAGUGUCGAGAAAACGCUGUACGUAGGAUGCUCCAUGCCUGAAGUUUAUUCGGUAAAAUUACACCAAGUAUUCUCACGGAGAACCAACCUUAAUCCCCACCGAGUAAGUAAUGUUACAGCAUUAAAAACAAGAUACGAUCGCAGGACGACUUUCCGACCGGUUGUCAAUGGACGAGAUAGGUAAGAAGGAGAGCCACAGCCAUAAGCACAUACGCUACCCCUUGAUCUACAGCCUUUGCUACAUGCAUCCAAAGAAACACAUCUAUUAUUAGCUCCUAACCUCACAAUUCAACAACUCGCAAGUACAAGUACUGGAUUACAUACCAUCGUCGCUGAUCCUCUGAGCAUCGGCAAUCGUCGUCGCUUCUCCACACAGACAUGGGCGCAAGACAACCAUCGAUGACGUAAAGUACACGAGAAGAAGAAUCGGCAGUCCCGCUGAACUCAUUAUGAACAUGGUUUGGCGGGAGACGAGAGAAACUCCAACUAGCUGCAAGGUGAUGGAUGAGCAACAAGCCCAACUCUUCUGCUUAUAGUCGGCUGAGAAAAGAGAAGACGUAAAUCAAGUCAGAAUCGACGUAGUUGGCAGGUGAAGCCAUUGACAUCGGAACGAGAGUGUGAGCUAUUGUCAACAGAAGAAGCCGGAAGUGACGUGUGGAUCGAGAUUGGAGCAUGAGGGGGGUCCUCCCCGUUUAAACUGCAGCGUCUGACGAGAGAGAGAGAGAGAGAAAGUGAGAGUCGAGCGUCUUGGAGGCCCGGUGAGUUUGUUGCAGUCCAUUUAAUGUGAGGCUUGGGAGUCCAAGAGGUGGCAAGCUUGACCGCGUCAAGCAGUGAUGUUGCGAUUAAUGAGCCGGUAGCGCCACGCGGUGGUGGACGGGCGGAGUCGGAGCUAUACGCGUGUUCUGUGGUUCACAUGCAACGGCCGAGUUGAAAGCCCCAACUGGUGUUGGGAUUCCAAAAGGGUCGUUUCAUGUUCAGUCAGUCAUCAUAAUGACAAGCCGCGAGAUCGUACUGUUGCCGACCGACAGUAUUGGCUGGCGAUGGCCACCAACGCGUUCUCACAGAAGAACAACGUUCCCUCCCAACUGUCCUCGAUCAACUUUGACACUGCUGUCUGAACUCUGAAGAAACAUGACGGUCGCUCAGAGAAGUUCACAACACUAUCCCAAGAAAACAUAGUGAUUGCACAUAAACAUGUCUCCGUGUCAUCUUCGGUUAAUCGGUGGUGACGUGAGAUGACACUUCGACGAAAUUCAUUGCAUCAAGUAGCGAUACAAAGUCACUUUUUCGCACCGAAAGAGAAGUAGAUGAACUAAUAAUGGUAAAGUAGUCAAUCUCUAAAUAGUAAGUAGAAAGAAAAAAGCAGCCCGAAGCUCGAUGCGAUUCUUUGACAAACCACCAUCUCUGGUUCUGCUUCCUCGUUAUAGAAGCCUCAAGUUCCGGUUAAAUCGCCCAGCAUAGCCCCUCUUAACCUCCUCUGUAUACAUGGAAGGAGUAUGACUAACACGCUACAGUGCCUCAGCAGAUGCCUGCAUUCUAAGCAUGAUGAUCUACGUAUAAAGCCAGUUAUCAGCAUUAGCAGGGCGGUUGGCAUAUGAUUCCAUGCUCACAUGAAGCUGUUCUUGGAGUCUUUAACUCCAAAGACGAAGGAUGUCUAUUACCACAGAGGGCAUUCUACAUUCGAUUGAGCCUUUUGCUUUAAAUUUAGAUUUUUGACAAAUUAGUCAUGCAUCUAUUUUUACCAAAACGCCUGCUAAACGUGAUUUAAACUCGAUCUAGUUUUUCAAGCCUGAAACAGAAUGCAAAAAAAUUAACAAAGCAACGUUCAGUUACUCGACAUUUCACGUAACUUACAUCAAUGGUUUACUUAUAUGCUUCAAUGUAUUAAUAUAGGCGGAGUAAAAAAGAAAAUGUAAGAGUUUGGACAAGUACCUGAAAGAAUAUGAUGAAUGGCAGAGUUUCAGGAAGAGCCUCCUAUAUACUUCCUUUGAGAGAAGACUCUUAAUGCAUCAUAACUGCAAAUAUCUCAAGGAACACAGAAAAGUUUCACUUGAUCCUUUCAAAGAUUAAAGUUAAUGACCCAAAAACCACUGAUCUCCUUAUGACUCAUAUGAUAUAGGAAACUGUUAACUCGCUUUGAGGUAAUAACUCUAUUGUUAUCUCUUGAACUACUUAUUUGUCCAAACUGCUGAGAAACCCAUCUCUGAUUCCUCCGUUCAACCUUUGAUAUCGCUAGAACUGCUUUAAAUGCUUUGUUAUCCAAGCUGCUGAGAGACCCACCUCUGAUUCCUCAGUUCAAUCUUUGAGUGCAGACGCGAACCCUCAGGAAUUCCUAAUGGUGGAUUAUUGCAUGAACAGUUAUCAACUCUAUAUAGCUCCCAGUCCAUGAUACUGCAUUUCUCCAAGGCAGAUACUAGCCUUUGUCCUCCCAAUUCAGGUUUAAAAUUUCCGUCUGGACUAACAAGCACAGCCCCAGUAUACGACAGUCCAGCCACCUGAGCUGCCCCGUUAUACUGAAAUAAACCCCAGCUGAGAUCGUCACAAACAUCUAUUAUUGUCCAAAAUUCUUUAGAAACUACCCCAUUAUCUAAUACGCUGAAAUAAAAUGUUCCAGGAACACUUGCUCUUCUAACCCGAUACUUUCUUCGUCUCCAUACCAAUGUCCCUUCUUGAGUUCGGACCUGAAACACUGGUUCAUACCAAAAUGACCCUUUAGCCUUUCCCCUGUAAAACAAUUGAUACUGACAAGGGAAUUGGUCAUAUGCAGGAUUUUGGCCGGCUAUGACUCGCCAGCUCCAUUCUAAAUUAUCCAACCAACCGAUGAAAAGGUCUUCCGCAACUUCAUGGCUCAACAACUCUCCUCUAAACAUAUACAAUGGAGUUACAAUUGGCUUGCUUGGGAUCUCUGCAUCUAACUCAAGACAAUUGUUCUUUUGCAACACACACAAAGAAAAUGCCUCCAGGUAUGGGCUCUCAUAAGAGGCAAUGCAGCGGUAGUUACAAACCUGAUCUGUUGGAGAACAGGAGUUCAAACACUGAAGAGCUUUUCUACAGUUGGGAUCAAAUAAACAGUUUAGCAUCUGAGAUCCGCAAUUUUUAAUCAUACAAUUAAGAGUGGAUAGUCCUUUAGCCCUUAAAUUUUUUAGUACAGAAACAGGUCUUAUGUAAGAAUUGAUGAUAACAAGCAAACAGAACCUAAUAUCAUCAGCAUUAUACCUCUCCCAAGCACCCGAUACAGUCUUAAGCACUUCUGCUGAUUCACUUCUAUUUCCUUUUUUUGCAAUGUUGACCAGUCUGUUGAACAUGUUUUCUUCUCCUCUUUUGUGAACGAAUGAUCCUCCAAGUUUGUUUCUUAGAUCUGGUGAUGAUUCAAAGCAUAUUAUAUUUGGAACACUAUCACUAUUUUUGUGAAGCCAUUCAAUGGAUUCCUGAUCAUUUAUUGCGACAUGAACCAACAUAUCAGAACAUAGCAGUUCCCUCACAAGAUUUUCAUGCCGAGUAUCACUAUACUGAGUUGCCUUAUCACUAAAUACAACCAUUUCAAUUCCUUCAUCCACCCACUUUAGACGAGUUGACUACAAGAAGACCCAACAGAAAAAAGACAAUCAGUAGGCCACCUAGUUGCUUUAAGAAUUAUAUUAAGUUCCACUAAGUAAAAAGGCAAUUAUCAUGUCGGAUGCCUCAUUAUUUCCAAUAAUACUACAACCAAUACAUGCCUUUUACAGUUGAAAUCGUUGAAAACUAUAUGCAUCAAAAUAUUUUUUGCAAUAAGUGCAAGAUAGACAACUAAUCUUGAGUACAUAUUUGAUGACAAUAAGUGCAAGAUAGACAACUCAUCAAACUUUUCUUUUUUCAUGAUAAAUAUAUAACUGAAAUGGAUCAAUCUUUGUUAAGGUAUUCACCAUUUAGCGAGUGUUAUUUGGUUGAAUUUUGAACUCUGCCUACAAUAUAAAAUAUGUUGAACAUAGAUUUUAUUGCUGGCAAGGGACUAGCUCAGCAGAGUUUUUACUAAUCGAUGUUUUUAUAUUACAUCUGCUGGUUUAGUAAUUGACUUUUUUUAUGCAAACUAGAAUGCUCAAGGAUCAAAAUGUAUAGAAAAGAUAUAUCAGGUCCGAAUGGGCUGCUUGGGAAGACAUUAACAUGGAAUUAGAUAAUACAUAGAUUGGUGGCAUUAUUUUCUAGCAGUCAACUGAAAUAGUCAACAGUAGAGGAAAGAAUACAGAAAGUCUUUUGAUUUUAUUCUCAUGGAACAAAAGUCAAGAUAAUAGGUAGAAAGAAAAAAGAGAGAUAGGAUAAGAUUUUAUGACACUCGCACACAAUCUUAUUUGCUCAAAUUCACCUUUAUCUUUUGGUGAACUACAGCAUUUCUUCACCCAACUAAAACACCUUAGUAUGACACAAGCAACAGUUGACAGUCUCAUCAAUUGAACUCCUAUCCGAAAUUAAAAAUGGAUUAUGAUGCAACAUUUUGUAGACCUUUUUACCGACAAAUAAGCAUUGCCAUGAAAUUUUCUAUUUAAGUACCUUGAUGACAGUACUAAAACAUAAUUCUACUAUUAACUCAACCCUGACUUUGGUCUCACCUAAUCAGACCUGACUACAUUAACUCAUUCCUUGUAUUGAUAACAUUCUCAAUAUCUUCAAGAUAGACAAUUGUCGAGCAAGAAUUUGUGACUAUAUAUUCUAAAAACAUGGUAAAAAGCCAAUCCCUAAGCCUUGCCCAUCGACAUUGAAGUCAAUCAGUUCAGUUGUGUUUGUGCUUUCAUUACAUAAAUCCAUUCUAGGUUGACAUCAGUCACAAGUUCAUGUCAGGUUUUUGCCAGGUUGGUAGUGAAUCCAAAAUCUGUAUCAGAAAAGGUUCAAUCAAGGAGAUUAAAUAGAAUCUUAUCCAGAUUUACUUUCCUCUCCCUGACAUGUAAAAGGGAUUGUUAGGCUAGAAAAAAAAAAGAAGAAAAGAAAAAAGACUUUCCUUCCUUGGCUGUUCAUUCUAUUCAACUAUUACUACUCUUCACUACUCCUGGGAGGGUUCAAUCACUCAGAAGAUGAAUUUAUGCGUUCUAUUUGAUCCAUCCCCUACUGAUUAUUUAGUAAACCACCUCAUCAGUGCAAUCUUAAUCGCUCAUCUAACAAUUAUUAAACAAAAAAUGAAAUUUGUUUUCUCAUCAUAUUAGAAUCAUGUAUCUGAUGAACUAAUUGUAGACAUUCAACAAUUAUAACGAGUUCCAAUCAUAUAUCACAUCUCAACUAGAUCUAACAGCCAAUACAUGAAGUACCGCCUGAAAUUGCAGAAGGAAACGUAGCCAGAGUACAUCUUGAUUUUGAAUUUGUAUUUAGAUGGUGGUGCGCCACCUGUAACUGUAUGUUCCCCGUUGUUAUCUUAGGCCACAAUCUGCAUCAUCCUCUUAGCAAGAGGUAUAUCAGCACAACAGGCAACUUUUCUCAAUUGGUAAUGCUAAUUUGUGCCAGUCGGGACAUACACCCACCUCCACUUUUUCGUUUCUUCUUUUUCGGUUGUAGAAGGGAGGGUUGAUAAUCCCAUCAUUUUUCUUAAUGAAGAGACAUGCCAAUAUCUUCAAAAUAGAGUUUGUGUCUUAAUCGGCUGAACGGAGUAAAUCGAUGGAAUGAUUAUAAAUAAAUCCACGGAUAAACAAGAUUUAGCACGGAAAGGGCAUCGAAUCACUCACAGUAUGACGCAUGACCUGCUCCCAGGGAGUGUUCUUCAACGGGCUAACGCUUCCGUCCCCAACCACCGUAACGAUCCUCGCCGUUGCCGCCGUUCUUCCCUCCUCCACCAUUAGGGCUCGCGCCGGCUUCGGACGUCGAUCCCAUACGGCGGUCGCACGGCAGCAAGCGAACUUAAGACCGAAGAGAGCAGCUUCGCGAGCGCCCGACAGCCGUGUUGCAGCGGCUGCGACACAGUUGCUUCGAGGAGCUUGGAGUCGUCGAAGACUUAGAAUAGGAGUAAUCGUGGCUAAAGGCAAGGCCAUUCUUCUCCCUCUCGCUCGGUGGCCGAGACAAAAGGAAGCAGCUGGGAUGGGGAUCCGCAAUGGAGUCGCGAAGGGAAGGGAUUUUUUAGGACACGUGACGCAGCCCCGCGACACGACGGCCUUUGCUAUUUAACAUGACUGCCGUGCCCGCGUUACAUUUGUUUGGUUCACCUGUUUGCAUUACAGCCAUGCUUUUAUAACAAAAAUUAAAAUGGCAUGUAAUAAGUCAUGCCACUAUUUUAACCAUAAAUCACACCAAUAAAUUAUUGUCUUGCUCGUGGUUUCUGCAAUGUCAACUUUCUUUUUUUGCUUUCAGGUAAUUUUCGAUAAUGUAAUUAUUGGCAUCAUCAUCUUUCAGCUAAAUAAAAUUGAGCUUUAUGUUUUAACUGACAUUGAUUUAUGUAUUAAAUUAUUAUGUGAAACAAUAUGAUUGAUGAAUCCUUCGUACUUUAGUCAGCUUGACGUGGUUUAGACUCGUGUAGGGUUAUCAGAUGUGCCUCCGAUGUGUAAAUAUCAAACUCUCAAUGUGUCAUUUACACAAAGACUGAGGUCAGGUGAGGUAUCCAGACUCGAUUCCUCUGAUGCCAAGUUAAUAAUUAGAUAUGUACAAGUACAAAUAUGAAUGAUAAAAAAAAUAAACCUUUUUUCAUCAUGUUAAAAAUAAGUUUUUAUACUUAGUCGUAGAGGGAUAGAAUAUUCUAUGAAAUAUUCUACUAGGAGAUAGCCUCUAACCACCUUCAACGUCCUUUCUUUGGCCUCUUGUUCACGUGGGCAAAAAGGUGGGGUAGCCCACAAUUGUCUAUCUUGGACCUUUGCUCACAUGGGUAGAUGAGUAGAGGGCGACCUUCGCCUUCUUCUUUUACCCUAGACACAAUGUGACGGUUGCAUAUCGGAUAACGAUUAGUUGACAACGUACUCCCUAUCAUUUGAGCCCCUCGAGGCAUGUUUUGGGGUUUUUACCAAAGCGGUCCGAAGUGUAGCGUCUAGUUCAUCCGGCAUGUCGAGAUCAUACGUCUUCGAUCAAUUGUAAGCCUAGUGGCAUGUUUAAUUCGUCUUGCACAUCUAGUUCAUCAUGCAUCUUAUAUCAUCUAAUAUGAGUUUAUCUAACAUGUCUGCCCAGGAUCACUUCCUCAAUGCUGUUGAUGGUGAUUUGUUAUUGACCUACUUCUCGUAUCGUUGAAGGACAUGUAUUAGUCGGACGAGAUUAAGUUUUUUGACCUCCACGCUUUGAGCAGAGGCGGAAGUCAAACUUCCCAAUCUUCACGCUUCAAUGAAGGUAUGGUUGAGUUUUCUGACCUCCAUACCUCGAGCGAAGACGGUGGUUCGAGUCAUCCGCCUAGGUGACAAAGAUUCAAGAUAGGUGAUUAUAGGUUGCUCCCCCGUGUUGUCCAUGCGAAUUAGAGGCCAAUUAGGGAGGGACAAAUGAUAGUGAGUAUGUCAUCGGCUAAUUGUCAUCCGACAUGCAAUCAUCACGUGGUACCCAGGGUGGAAGAAUAAAACGAAGGUCACUCUCUACCCACUUGCCCAUAUGGGCAAGGGUCUAAGGUAGAUGGCUAUAGAUUGCCCCUCCCUUAGCGCUCACGUGAACAAGAGAUCAAAGAGAGGCUAUUGGAGACGGUUAGUGGUUGCCUCAAUGCAGAAUAUUUAGCUCUUUUACCAUCAAGUAUAAAAGCCUAUCUCCAACAUAAUGAAAAGAGAGGCAUAUAUUUUUUUACUAUUCACGUCCAUACUUAUAUAUCUCUAAUUACUAAUUUGGGCAUUAGAGGAAUUGGGUCAGAAAAUCACUUUCGACCUCAAUCUUCAUGUAGGUGGCAUCUCAGGUGCUCGAUGUUUUCACUUCCGAAACAUCUUGAAUCAUUCUACAUAAACAUCUCGAAUCAUGCUCGAUGUUAAACUAAUUAAGACAUCAAUGAUUUCUUCUCAUAUCAAUGAUCAUUGAUUAUGAUCUCAUGAAAGCUUAAGUUCAACCAAACAACCUUGAUAUAUACAAAAUAUAGCAAAUUUGAAAGCGAAAGAUAUAUGCUAACUAUUUCACAGCCGAUGACCCUAUAAGCAAUUAGCGUUUUGCACAACAACAUCCGAUCCGACUUCCACCGGACGUGUUUUCUUGCUAAUCUGCACAUCCUAUCGGGUCGGAUCCCUUUCCGACGCUAUCCAGCUGUCACCGGAAGCGGUGCCAUCGCCCGCAAAUUCCAACAGGAAGCGGCCGCUUAUUAGGUCCUGGCAGAAAGAUCGCUGGCGUCGAGCCCCGCGACUCUCACUUCAUUCCCCUCACCCGGUUCUUUGAAGACCGUUCUACGCUUCUGUCAAUCGCUGCACCGGGAUUCCGUUCCAGAGGUUAGAACCUUUCUCCCUCUCUCUUCCGCCGUCUAUUCUCCCUCUUUUACGUCUCCGUCUCGUCUUCUUGCUCUUGCAUAUCUUCUCUCCUUUCAUAAACUGUGUCACCCUUUUCCCUCUUUCCGCUUGCCGUUCCCAAUCUGCCAUCUCUUCCCUCACUCUCUUCCUUCUGGUUCCUAUUUCUUGGUUGGGAUGUGGGGGGUUUCGCGAGGCUACAGCCGGGAGACGACGGCCAUGAUCGGCUCAAGGUCGGUUGGAAGGACCUUCCGGGUCGGAUCGAGAAUGGCUCCACCCGAGAAGAAUAUCGGAUCCGUUUUUACCUCAUUACAUCAGAUCCUAGCGGGCCCCUCCCUAAACGGGUAAGCGACGCUCCCUCGCUCCAAGUCCUGAUCCUAUCCGUCCGAUGACGCGUCCACAGUAGCUGUGAGGUCGAGGAGGGUUAGUUACCAGUCAGCACUUCAUCGCCUACGAUGGGCAUCUCUAGAAAUCGAGGCCCUUCUCGACUCUUCUCGUCGCUUCACGGCUCUCUGGCAAAUCAGAAAUCGAGGCCCUUCUCGACUCUUCUCGUCGCUUCACGGCUCUCUGGCAAAUCGCAUGUCUUUCCUCAUUCGUUCCGUUUUCCACUACCGUGCAUCCCAGCCGUUUCCAUCUUUCCACACCCGUCGCCAGCGUUGUGGCUGCCGUUUCUCGAUCGGCCCGCCUCCGGCCUCGGGACGCUUGGCGUCGUGGCAUUGUUUACCGACAGGCGGAUUGUCUCUGGCGCCUUAGCCGCAGGCUUUGCGAGUACGUGGGGCGUUAUUUGUCUGCGUUGGUGGCGGUGAGUUGCUGAAUCAUUACAGUGGCUUGGAUCGUUCCAUUUGAUGCCUUUUUUUGCACGGAAUCCUGGACCCUACUCCUCGUCUUCAAAUCUUUGCAUAUUUUGUCUGUUUUAGGAUCUUGGUGAUUGUUUCUUGGUAGUCUUCUUUUUCUUGGCUAAAUCAUUACAGUGGCUUGUCCUCUUUUUCUCCAUUGCCAUUCUUUCUUCGUAAGUAAAAUUGUCGCCUUUAGCAAUGUUGUGAGUCCGAAAGACUAAUUGAAAAGAUGAACUUGACAUUACUGUAAGAACCAUGAAGACGCAGCAAUUGUGCCCAACCAGCUAGAUGCUUAGUCUUUGGUAGAUCAUGUGCAUUUUGAUGCUAUUUUUCGCUGGAUUACGACAUCGACUAAAUGGCUCCGUCUCUCCAGGGUAAAUUUGCGAGCAGAAUUAUCAUGUUGGAUGGCCUUCAGGUGAGCAUGAAAACACUAUCGAUUUUUACCCCCGUUACCCCGCCCCACCUUUUUUUAAUCUAAUUUUGAAGUCGAGAUUUUGAGUAAAAGCCCCCGAGAAUAUAAAUUAAGCCUACAAUGUAGAAGUCUCCGCGUUGGAACUUAAGACGGCUAGUUCCACAAUAUAAAUUAAAGGAUCACUUUUAAACAUAAAACGUUACUUCGUGUACUUGGAUGACUUCUAAAGUAUCUUACACGGGUGACCUAACAAAUCUUUCUCAACCGUGGAGCUUGCUCGAGUCGUGGAAUACCACUAACAAAGGCAGAAGCAGUUGGACAACGAAAACAAGGACAAAGCAAAUGUUUACGACUAAAGCGAUACAUGCAUCCUAUAGGCCAAAUGGCGCACACACCGAUCGUUUACAACGGUUUAUAUAACACGUGACGAUUAAUUAAAAAAAAAAAUUUAAAAGACCUGCUGCACUGCGCCACACAAAUAUCAUCGCCUCCAUCCUACCUUAAUUGCCCUGUCUGCACGAGUCGUAAAAAUAACUACAUAGUAAUUUGAAAAUGAAAGUGCUAAAAGAAAAGGAUUAAAUUUCAUACCAUUUACAUCUCUGCCAAUUUCCCCCUUGCCACCAGCUUGGAUUAAUCGCUUUGUCCUAGACGAACUCAUCUCUGAUGGCAAUGAAUGACGACGGAUAAAACCAUUUUUGUCAUCUGACUCCGAUACAAUGGUGGGCGAUACCUGUCCCCGCAAUUUUGCCUUGGCAGAUUCUGUUGUUGACAUAUAGCUGGGAAGCACAGGAGCAUCUGAUUUUGCCGAGAAGGAAGACCUCCUUUUGCUGGUUUUCUGGUUUUCAUGGCAGAACUGUUCUUCCAUCAAGCUUAGAUCCCCGUUCACCACUAGGGUGCUGUCUUCGUUAUCAUCAAUCAGCACAUCAACCGGUCCAGCUGUAACAGGCACUAAAGCAGUUUCAGUAUCAGCUUUUACAUUGGGUGUUGGAUUAAUAUUUUCCUCUGGUUUUUCGAUGGACUCCUCAAUUCCUUGGUCUAGGGUGUCAGAUGAGCUGAUAUCCACCUUUUUCAAACGUGUAUUUGAUUUCUGAGUUUCAACCUCUGGUUGCUCAGAUGCAUCUUUCAUCUUUCUCAAGUUGCGUUUUACCCUAUCAACCUCAUACUGUGGAUGUCGCUGUACUGUUUCAGCAGGAGGAUUAGGCACCUUUUUCAGGUUCCUUUUCGUUCUUUCAGGCUCAUACUUGGCAUUUGUUUGACCACCUCCUAUGUUCGAUGCAGGAUUGGUUCGUACACUGCGCCUUGAUUUGCCAGAUUCAGUGCCCAUAUUACAGUUGUCCCGAUUUGUCUGUCCUUUUGAAUCAAUAACCUUUUUUGACUUGGAAAUUGGCUGCCAGAAACUGGUGGAUGUCCAUCUGUCUAACCAGCUGAAGACUGAAUUGGGAUCUCCUUUAUCAUACUGAAUUUGCAGAGACUUUGCAAGGAGUGAUGACGCAAGAAGCUAGGGAAGAUGAAAGAAGCAUAAGCACAGUCUUUGGCAAGUAAACUUCCCACAGAAAAUUAAGAGGUCAGAUGCUGCAUAUAAUGUAUGGGCAUAUACGCUGGCUACAUGAAUGUCUGAUAUCAAAUGGUCCAACAAAAAUUACCAUUCUAAAUAUGCAACCAGUUAUCUAUUUCUUAUAUGAUUAUGUUCAAAUAAAUAGAUUAUAGUAUUAUUUAAAUAAUGGAUGCUAUUUUGCUAAUCUGAAAACUUGCUUGAAUUCACAUGAAUUCACAAGAAAUAGGUAGAGUUCCAAGAGAAAAUAGCAGUUGUAACACCAGUUGUAACACCCCCAAAAAAAAAACAGUAGUUGUAAUAGUAAAGAGAAUCCUAGCAAUGUGCAGGCCUUAUGAGACAACAGCAGUACAUGCGGGCAUUUUGCAUAUGAGACUGAACAGUCAUGUGGUUGCGUAUUCUACUUAUAAGUGGCCAGCUGAGUAUAUGGGACUGCAUAUGCAGCCAUACCAAAUCAUUGGGCAGUGGUCCUUACAUAAAACAGUCGUGCACUUAGUAAAUACGAGCAGUCAUAAUCAUAUAUCCACGAUUAUUUUACAAGAACAAAUAUGUUUGGAUGGGCUACAAAAACAAAUAUCAACGUGAUAGAAAAUUACUUUUAAAAUGUUAGAAUUGAACAAAUUACCUUCGAUACAAAUGCAUUUGAUGAAAAUUUCACUUUCCAAGCUUCCUGGGUCAUAGGAACAUAAGAAGAAGCUGAGCAAGCAUCCUUAAUUGACAGCAGAUGAGAAAUAAAGAAAAUUUCAUACAAUCAGAAAUGAGGACUCAUGAAAAUAUGUAUUAACUGUAGCUUCAGAAUCUCAUAAAAGGCUAUCAAAAGAACACAGAAAUAUGGAAUAGGUGAGAUAUCAAAAGGAGUAGAUCUCGCAUGUCUUCUUCGCACAGCCUUCCUCACCCCUUCUCUGCAAUGUUCCCUGCUACAUUUAUAGGAGCAAGGGAAGGCCUGCGAGCGGAGAGGAAUAUGGUCUGACUGCUCCCCACCUUCCUCGUCAGUUCGUCAUCCCCGUCCGUUACACUCGCGAGAGGAGUGAUGGCCAACGGUUUCCACAUCAUUGCAGCUCCACACACGACCGUAGUGUGAAACGAUCAAGGGAGGCAAUGAGGACGUCAGCCACAGGAGACAGUGGACCAAUAUGGUCAGAAUCCAACCAUUAUCAAUUAAUACAGGUUGAUAACGAUCAAGUUUAACGAAAGCAAAGGUGGACUAUGCGACAAAGUUGCUCCUCAAUGAUCCAAAAAAGAUAAAUUCAUUAACUCAUGCUAAAAACCGAUAAUUACUAUCCAUUUAUGACUCAUUUGCACUUUACUCAUUGAAAUUGAAUUGAAUUUGCAUUAAAUUAGGAUAAAAAGUGUUAAAGAAAAUUUUCAGCAAUUUUCUAGGCAAUUUCCCAAAAAUUGCUACAUACUGAUGUACCACCGACAUUCGAUAUGCUGGUACCAACACAUACCGGUCCGAGCUAGGACCGGCACGCCAAUCGAUAGGAGAUGGCAAACCUUGAUAUAAACCUUGUUAUGACAUGGGUCUUAUACGAAUGAUAGCCCAAUAGAUGAGCAAAAAGUAACCUAUAUAACAUAUAUUAUAUAAGCACACAAUUAAACCACAAGCAAUCAUUUAAAACUUGCAUUCUUUGACCUAAUCAUUUCAGACGUUGUACUUUGAAUUUAUGCUGGAACUAGCAAACUUUGGAUAAUAAUAACCCAAAAUUUGGACAAGAAAGGACAUAUCAACCAUAUAAGUGAUUAUGUUUUCACUUAUCAAAGAGUUUCGAUAUAUAAUAUUAGUCCAUUAUGGAUUACAGGAAUUUCUUUUAAGAAUAAUAAUUUUUAAAAAUUAUCACAGAUCUAGGGUACAUUCAGCUUAGAAUCUGAGCUCUAACCAAUACUUGAUGGCAGAUCCUGACGUGGAAUUCAAAUUAUUCUUUUGAACAGGCCUAUAUCAUUCUCUUUGGCCUAUGAUUUACAUUUAACAUUGAUUCCUAAUUACGAAACAUUCUUGCACCUCCGAACAUGAUAAGCAAGUAGAAGAAACAAUCAGGGAAGACUUUCAGACACAAUUUAAGUUAGUCCUAUAAAAAAUUGACAGUUCAUCACGAUCUCUACCUUCCUAACCAGCAUUUUGAGAAUCGUAAAUUCAGCACCUAAUUACGGUUUAACACCUUAAGAAAAUAAAGUAGAUUUUCUAUCCAAAUAGACCAAGAUAAACAAGGGUGUUUAGCUUUAAAGAGAUAUCAACAUGACUAAAUAAAAAGCCGACAUAUGUUUACGGAAAGGAAUAUCAAUGGAUAUGACAUUUACCACAGUCUUCGCAUGACUGAACUCUGUAGUAACUUUAAGUCCAGUAAAGGUACAUCUAACUCUUCUUCCGCGAGCUACUGCUUGUAACUUGACAAUUCCCUCCAUAGCAUGGAGAGUUGCAACAGCUUGUCUUCUAACCAGAUGCCCACGAAUUAGAGCCUGCAACCUGAUAAUACCUUUUAAUGCACGAAAGGCCCUGCGUGCCUGCACCAAAUAUAUGCAACAAUUAUUAAGUCAGAAAGUAGGCAAUUCAUUUGCAGCAAAAUCUGAAUUACGGGAUGUAAAAGCAUUAUGAAUAUGCCAGCUAACGUUCAUUGGUAGUGUCAAGCAGCUUUUGUUGAAUGAGUCACAGGCCAUUCAUCCAAAAGAAAGUAUACACUUCUUGCAUUUUGAUUAAGAUAAAAUAGUUAUAACAAAAAAGUUUACCAGAUAACCACGGAAGGCUGCCUGUGCCUUUGUAGCAGCCUGCUCUUCCAUGUCAUUGCUAGUUUCUUUUGAUGAGGUGGAUCCUAUGACUGCUUGACUUACAUGUGAAGUGACCAGUGCAAUACCACCUAAUUUUGAUUCCGAAGUUGAGAUAAGUCCACUCACUGGUGCUGGUUCAGAAAUCAGUGGAGAAUUCACAGCCAAUACAGGUUCUCCACAAUUAUACCCUCUAUCAGUAGCAGCUUUCUGCAGAUAACAAAUGGAAUCAUUUAGGUUUCUAUGCUCAGAAUGUUAAAUAGGAGGAGCUUGAAACACAAUAUAAUUAACAAAGGAAACAAUGAACUAAAAAUUAAUUACUCACUCUUUUCUGAGGAUAACAGAGGGGGUAAUCCACUGUUUAAAAAAAUUAUCCAAGCAAAAUACUCAGGCACUUCUACACUAUGAAGAAGAAAACAACCACUUGGCUAAGGCCUUCGCAAAAACUGAAUGUUAAUAUGGAUAUCUAAAAAAUGAACACUGUCAGCACCUAUGUUUUUUUUAUUUGAGCAAUUCCUUGAGUAGUUGCCAUAACUUUAACGUCACAUCCCCAUGAUGCUGGCUACAAUUCAUGGUCAGAAAAUUGUGUAAAAUUAAUAGAUAAUUUACAUUUUGAACCCUAAUGUUCAACGAAAUAAUAGUGUACACCCUCAUGGAUAAUCACCCCCCAUACCAUGCAACUCUUGUAGGGUUUUGUUGCACCUUCCUAUUAGAAUCCAGAAGCUUUUACAACCCCUAAGGUAAUAUAACAUGAGUUGUCAGUGAACAAAAAUACCCUCGAAAUGGAAAAUAAAAAAAAAAAAAUCCCUGUAAUUAGUUAUUUACCAAAUAAAAACUGCUUGCUACAUUCAUCCAUGACUGACUGUUAAUAGGAGGGUGCAACUUACUACUGAAUAUGAUUUACUAACGUAAAAGAGGAGAAAGAGUAUAGGUUAUAUUAAUUAAGAAAAAAGGAAACUGAAGGUGAAAGUUGGAAGGAAAAAAAGUGAGGCAAUGAGGCUGAAAAAAUGUACUAUUGUGCAAAAAGGAGGCUAUUUUGAGAUUUUGUCACCACACUUUCAACAGAAAUAUUCAAACACUUAAGAGAAUAUCCAGGUAAUAUUCCCUUUUGAUUAGCAUAUAUCAACCACAAGAUGUAAAAAUGUAGCUGUAUAGGAAAACAUGUGGUGUAAGAUGCAAUUAAUGAUAAGGGAGGAUGUAAACCAUAAUUUUGAAAACAUAUUAGGGUGACGAUUUUUUUUUUCCUGAUUUAAUUAGUUUUGCAUAUUCAUAAAGUCCUGGGAGGCCUAUAUCCAUGCUUAGUCACAGAAGUUUCUAUAAAACUACACAGCUAAUAUCAAGAUUGAUUGUCAUGUUCCUUCAAAAAUAUAAUGCAUAUCUCACAUACCAUGUUAUCAGAGAAAAUGUUUUAAUCUGGUUUUGUCAUGUGUAUUUUAUUUAUUUCCUUAAUUUUUGCACAUAUUUAGAACACAACUUGGAAAGGAAAAUUACAGCUAGGCUGACUUCUGGUGUGUUUUGUAUUGUUAACUAUGAAGCGAGUGAGAAGUCUGAAGAAUAACAAAAAUUCAAAAAUUCAAAAAAUCAAAACAAAUUCAAAAACUGAAUUGUUGACCAGUUGAAUAUCCGCUAUGGACAUUGACAUGGACAUGAAUAUAUCCCGAAAUAAGGCAUGUCAUACAUUCCAUGCAAACAGUAAACAGCAUAAACUUCUUUGAUUAUCUCACUAACCAGAUGCUCUUUGGGCAGGCGCUGUGUUCUUGAUCCUUCUUAAUUAGCAAAAGAGUCGGAAAGAAUUUUAGCAGAACAAUGAAAACACUAACUGUUACAAGCUUUGAAGGUAAAAGUGUAAGAAGUACUGACAAGAAAUUAUAACUAUUGAUCUACAAGGCUCACACCUUCUAGAUAGUAUUUGAUAUUAACAAUUAGCAACCAGAAAAUAGAAGACUAGCAUACAAAGUUCAAGACCUUGUAUAUGGAUCUUAAACAGUAGACUUCCAAAAUAUGGAGAUUAUGUGUUAGGCAUGAUGGUAUAUCCAUAAAUUUGACAAAAUGGUGUGACUGAUCAGAAAUGUGCUUCUGUUGCCUCUAACAUUGACUAUUGGAAAGGUCAAAAUAAAAACAAGGUGCACAUGUCAAUAUCUUUUGUCAUUCAAAAAGUAUAGUACAGUGGCAAAAUCAAUAAUCAAUCGUGUGAGAGGAAUGAAUCGCCAGUGGGCCAUUGUGGUGUAUGAUCAGUGUGGUCAGCCUUUUUGUCGAUGCAAUGGUCAGAAUUGACUGGUCCUGGUCCAUUAAUAAAGAUUUAACAAAGAGUACCCAAGUUGCUGUAAGAGUAUUGUAUCAUCAGUAUAGGGUUCUAUAUGUUACUGCUUGAUUUCUUCAUAUUCAUGUUCGAGAGGUAUAACUCGGCAGAUAAGAGUCCACAAAAAAGAAAUGCACAGUUUAUACACAAUAUUGCCUUAGCAUCUUAUAGUGGAGAAGGAUUUCGGUGAUAACUACCCAUGAAUAGCAUAGCACAUUCUUUCUUUAUUCUAUUAUACAAUAUUAGAGAGAUCUUCAACAUGCCAUCCUCAAACAUCCCCACGGAAAAUAAACAAAGAAGGAACGCCCCAUGCACAGUUAAGAAUGCCGUUGAAGUAAUAAAAUGCAUACCGAAGUACCCGUUCCCUUAGCAUGUGAUCUGGAUUUCUUUCCAAAGAGAAGUGUCUUAAUCCACCUUCCAGGAGAUUUUCCCAUCAGCGGAGGUCCAAGAUCUCAAAACCACGCAGAUACCCUGAAAGAAACCGGAUCAGUACGCAGGGUUGGAGAAAAUUGGUCUAGCAGCAGAACGAUUAAUACCAAAGAGAAACUGGUAAGUUUUAAUUGCUAAAGCUCGGCGGCAUGUGUUCAAGUAAUAGGUACCAGAGCAAAUUCCACAUCAAAAAACAAGUAAGAAGAAUUCACGAAACAAAAGCAUUCACGAAACAGAAAAACCUCCAAGAACCGGAACAUGAGUGGUCAGGUCGAUCAAAAACCCAAGCAGAUCUCAGUCCCCGCACUUAGACUAACCACAGUGCAUCCGCUUACCCUUUGAGAAUGCAAGGAAAAACCUAAGAGUCAAAGAACAAGCAAGCACAGAGGCCAAUUCGAGGAGGAAACGCAACCCUAAUCUUGAUGUCAGCGGUCUGAUACUCAACCUAGCAACCUAGAAGCCACUGCAAAAGGGAAAUGAGAUCAAGAUUCAGCAAGAAAAAGAAAUGCACAAGGAGCGCUGUCCACAAAGAAAGUGCGUGCGGAUCGAAAGGGAUCAAAGAUACCGGCCAGAUCUUGGAAAACUCACCGGAGAAAUCUCCAGCGACGAGCGUAUCACAGGCCUCAGCUCUCUUUCUAGUACGUCGAUUCCCCCUCCUCCGCCUCUUUCAUUCCUCCUCCCGUCAAGAGUGAAGAAGGAUGAGAGGAAAGAGCGAGGCCACAAAGGAAAAGAGGAAGACAAACCGCAGACUGAGAAGAUAAUUAAGGACAGAACACUCUUUUUUGUUCCUCCUAAAGACACCAACAGAAAUAAUGAAUCGAAAGAGGGAAAGGAAAGAGAGCAAUAAAGAAACGAAAAGAAAAAGCACGCCACACACCUCCAAGCAGCUGCUUCUGCUCAUUCAGGAUUCGUCUUAACCGGGGCGAUGUGUCGAGCCAUUAUUCGUUCGAUUCGUGUGGGAUCCAUCGGAGGUGAAACAUGCGAGCAGAUUGGUGUUUGUCGAAAGACAGAUGAACCCCAACUAUCAUUUUUGGACCUUGGAAUUUCACUCAUCCGACGUGGCGUAAUAUUCACCUUAGGUAGGUUGAACCCGCGGGGGACGGAUUGUACAAAAUACAAAAGAACAGAGAAAUCUCUUUGACGGACGUGCGGCCACAGGUCAGCAGCGCGAAGUGAAGUGUCGUUUUCGCACGUUGCCAUUCCGAAAGCCCGAACCAGCUAACAAUAAUAAAUCUCAUUAAGGUGGUGGUUGAUGGAGGGAGUGGGAGGAAGAACCAUGCAUGCAGCCUGGCUAUCGCACAUCUUGCUUGGCCUACGUACCAAAACAAGGGCGGGGGCGGACUUGCAGGCUCAGCAGAGUCGCCUAGUUAUAGACUCAUUCGUAACUCCUCGGAACGGUGGCUCUCCGGCUCGGUUCCGAUCAUCCCUAUUCCCUUGAGAUUAAAAGACAACCACGUGUUGCGAUCUCAAUCCAAGAAGAAAACAACAAAUCGAUGCGUACGUUGAUGGAACUCCUAAUCUCCCAAGCGGGACUCUGAUGUGAAGGAUGGAUGGAUGACUUUGCAAUCGAUUUGAGAUCCUAACAAUAGGAUGUGUCAGCAUGACAGCAGCUUUAAGGGUGAGACUACAGAAGCAUCUUAAACGUCAGCGUCACUCACUCGAUUUAAGAUUUUGUCAAUAGGAUGACAGCGGCUUUAGCGGUGGGAUUACAGAAGCAUCUUCGAUGUCGGGGCCACUGUGUAGAUGAUCAUAGAAUGGUCGUGUAACUUUAUGUUGGAGCAGGGCGACUCGACGUGUUUCGGUGGGUGGUCUUCUUCAAUGCGGUGGGGAACAAAUUGUCCAACCCCAUACAUAAAUGUCCUCGUCAUCCGCCUGCCUGCAUGCAUGCCUACCUAAUCUCUGCAGGCAAAAAAUACAAAGUAAAGAAAGGAGGUGGCAUCCUCACCGUAACAGAUGUAGUAAGCAAAACAUAAUCCAGACACCAACUACUGCUCCUACUACCACAGCAGAAGAAAGCCAAGUUUCUCAUUCUUCCACUAGCGUGGUGCACUUAAGAACAAAGCAGGCGGCGACAGAGCAUUAGCCAAUUGAAUGGGACGGGGCUGAGCCGCUCGACCGUUGCCAUCACCAAACUGCCUCGCCUUGACAUUUCAACUACUCUCCUCGUUCGAACGAUCCCUCAGAUCGUCCGCCUGUGAAAGUUCUCUUCGUGCCGACAAAGCCGUAUCCAUCUUAAUUACCACCCGAAGGCAGCAGCAGCAGCAACAAAGAGCUCCACCGCCGGCCUUUCUGCUUGCGUUGGCGCCACCUGCACCACCGUCUCACAUGGCCUCUGAAGGCUCUCCUCCUCCUAAUUGCUUGUGUGCGCUGCCUCGUAAUGCUGCUCCUAUGCUCCCCCACGGGUGACUGCUGAUAAAUAGCACCUUUGACUGUAAAAAAGAUAUUGAGUGCUUAUACUUUGGAUAGCAAUAGCAAAUUUGACAAAAGAAAAGCGGAACAGGACUAGCAAGAAUAUGGGGCAAAUUUAUUUAGAAAUUUUUAUAUUAAUUUGUUUUGUUCAGAUGUUUCUCCUCUAUUGAAAAAAAUUUUAUUCAUUUUUUAUAAAUCCUAAUUUUAGUCUCCUAUUCCAAUUUUUUUUUAAUUCUCUAAAUCAAUUCAAUGAAUCAGUUCAGAUCAAUGAACUGGUUCAAGUCAACCCCCCUCCUUUUUUCUUCAAGUCAACCCCCCUCCUCAAUGAAUCAGUAAAAGAUAGCACAUAGGGAAGAGAGAAGUGAAAAAAGAAAAGAGGGAAGAAGUGAAAAAAGGUCAAACUGAACCAGUUUGGUUUAAUCCGUCAUAACAAAACCACCCAAUAAAACUGAAAGAUCAAGAACAUAUUUAUCCAUAUUAUAAAAAAAAAGGUCCCUCGAUAAAUUCUCCAUAGAGGAGCGACAUCCGGUAAAACAAAUUAGCUAAGGUUUUCCUGAGUAAUUUUUUUUUAAAUUUCUUCACUUGUAAACUUGUGUCUCAAGAAUGAUGAAGUAUACAAGGCUAUGUCAACUCAUUUUAGUUUACAUUGUACCAGCUUCGGAACUACUGGUCUCUGGACAUUAUGCAGACUACACAUUACUUUUUUUCCCAAUGCAUUGAAAUAAUCUUGCUUCUUAUUGACAAAGGCCACAAAUUAAUGAACAUCCAUAGCAGGUGUUGUUAGCUGGUCAGGAUCAUAUCAAAAAUAAACUUGUUUAUGGUUCUCUAGGCCAGAGCCCGGCAGACCAAGUCUUAGCCAAUCAGCUCUUCGUAUGAUUUUACAGGCUGGCCCAAAACAAGGACUAGUUAUAGCUUAGCAUCUUAACAACCCUAGGCAGUUUAGGUACAACUGAGCAUCCCACCAGAUCCAUAGUCAUAUGUUCCACAACUUGUGUGAUGCAGAAUUGGUAUUUAAAUCUAAAACCAGAUCAACAUAAGCUCCCCUUCCCCCUCCCCCUCACCCUCCCCCCUGACAACAAUUGCAAAAGAAACUUGUUACCGUGGAGCAGUAAAUUAGUAAUAGGUAUAUGCCAAAAUGGCAUAUACAUCUGUUCGCUCUUGCAUAGAGAGACAGUAGAGAUCAAAUGAUCAAUACAGCAAUGAAGUACCUUUAAAUUGUUCUGUGAUGUUUCACUUGGACUAGAAGAUGGCUGGCCUAGUUCUGCAGUAUCAUCAUCCACACCAUCAUGUAUUUCUUUGGACAAAAUCUUCUGAAACCUGAAUCAGCAAGUUGCUCAUUAGCAAAUUAUCUUAAUGGUGUUAAGAAACAUUUCUGAAGAACAUAAAGGAUGACAAAAGAUGCAAUGGAAGAGAUAGUAUCUAGAUAUAUACAUGAAAGCAAUAUGUGAUGAGUGUGCUUCAUCUAGUUCUUAUCCUCUCAACAGAAGCGCACCAAGCCACAUUUGUGAUCAGAAAUUAAAGAUCUAGAUAUGAGUUUAUGAAUUAAUUGACCGCUUGGUAAUACAAAAAGAUUUUGCUUUUAGAAACUAACCUUUGAACCUCAACCACUGCAGCACAUUCUAGGCUAAAACUGAUAAAGCUUUAAAAUCAUUCCUUCAAGUCUUUAAUUUGUUGCCUAAAUUUCUUAUAUAUUUCCCACAAAUAAUUUAUAACUCCCAUUGAUAUAAAAAUAUCUUCAUUUAUAGAUAUUCAUAACUACCGGUUCAUGAUGUUUUUAAAUCAGUACUGAAGCUUCCAGCCAAAAAUGAUCCAAGGAAUCUGUUAUUUAUCAUGUUUGUUCUGUCUAUAUACUGCUGGAAGAGCAUAAUCCUUAUGCUAUCAUUAAAGUCACAAAAAGAAACUCCUAAUUUGUCAAUAUGAUACAAGCAAUGUGAAUUGUAUGAUUUCACUAUUAUCUUUGUCUUUGUUUACCUCAGUCUAGCAAAACAACCAGUUAUGCGUGAUACUUGAAUAAGAUACGUCUUUUUUAAUUAUGCGCUUCAUACUAAUCAGCACAGACCUCAAAAAGUUAGAAAAACCAGUAAGCCGUGUAAUCUUACAAGAUAACUACUCGAGUACUUAAUAACUCCUUUUGUGUGCCUGUCUUGGUAAUACAAGAUCUGUAGGCAUAAAGGUAUUCCUCAACCAAAAUCCUCUUCCCUUAUGUAUACAAAGUCCAUCCAACUUAACAAAGUAAUAAAUCUGUUGAGGAGGCAUUAGAAUGGUAGUACCACUACCACGAGAGCCUUUGUGAUGUGUGUGUCUGCAUAAACAAGGUGAAAUGUGAUUUCCCACAGCUGCUUGCUUGAUGAAGCAGAGAGAGAGAGAGAGAGAGAGAGGGCCUCUGGACACCACACUAUGCGAGCAUAGACCUCAUGUGCGCAUGCCAGACGAAGGGUGUGGGGGUGUGCACUGGACCUCUGCAACUUGGCCUCUCAUGUAUUAGCAGUAGAAACAAGCUGCUCUCGCCACUCCUCUCCUCUCCUCUCCUCUCCUCUCUCUCCUGUAUCACUAAUCUCCCCAGAUUGCAUACAUGUUGGAUUCACUCUCUUAGUACAAUUUCCCACAUGUUGAAAUGUUGCUAGCACAAAAAAACACUCCACUCUCGGAUGUAAUGAAUUGAAUUUUCUUUUAUCGAUCAAUAUCCAGAGCUAAAAUGUUAACGGGAAUUACACGAUUAGAUGUUUGUGUUUGGUAUGAACAAGUUGCUUGGGACAAGCGCAACAUAGGGUCUGCCUAAUCACUCUUGUUAUGGCAACAGUACCUACCCCAAGUGAGGCAACAGGCUCUAUAUGUAAUUGCUUGAAGUCUAAUAUGGACAAUCAUAACAUAAUGCAUGUAUUUGCAAAUUCAUCUAAUAUGGACAAUAAUGACAUAAUGCAUGUAUUCUCAAAUCCAUCUAAUAUGGACAAUUAUAACAUAAUGCAUGUAUUCCCAAUCAAAUUGUUUCCUUUAUUGCUUCAGUUAACAUAAUGUAUUUCACUUUGGUGGUUGAAAGCGCAAUUGUAGAUUGUAGCCUAGCUUUCCAACUCAUUGUCGUACCACCUAUAGUGGAGACUUAGACGGUAAUGGAUAUCCUUUUGUCGAGAUCCCAACAUAAUCAGAAUUAAAAAAAUCUACAAGCGAGACAUUAGUUCCCCUAAAUAGUAAACAAGUCUUGAGUUCCCCAUAGGUACCGAAAAACCCAUUUAACAACACGAUGACGAUCUCCACGGAGAAAACCCAAAAAAUUUGCUUUGAUAACCAAAUUUUGAUCAAUGUUGACCAAAGUUGACCAUGGUCAACUUCUCUUACUCUCUUCUCCAUAGUUGCUGCACUGAGAACAGUGACCAGCCAAUGGUGGAGAUCGGUGAUCAGAGGUCUCGCCGGAGAAGCUUCGACAUCGAAGACGAGAAUCAAUUGGCUGGAGUGGGAGAUCUCUCAUGUCUUCUUCACACUGCCUUCCACCCCUUCUUUGUGAUGUUCCCUGCUACAUUUAUAGGAGCGAGGGAAGGAUCGCGAGUGGAGAGGAAGAUGGUCCGACGACUCCUCGUCAGUUCCUUGUCACCGUCCGCUACCCGCAAGAGGAAUGAUGGCCAAUGGUUUCCACAUUACCAUAGCUCCACACACGAUCAUAGUGUGAAACAGUCGAGGGAGGCAGUGAGGACAUCAUUCAUGGGCGGUGAUGGAUCGAUACGGUCGAAAUGCAACCAUUAACGAUUGAUACAAGUUGAUAAUGAUCAUGUUUUGACUAUAUCGGUCGAUACAAGGGGUGUACCGAGCGGCACACUCUUGCCUGGUAUGUCUCGGGACUGGUCCACAUACUAUUUGUCUGACAGACUAAUACAUACCACCCAUUCAUACUGUAUUGGGUGAUACAACUUACCUUAUUUUCGACAGAUAAUCUACUAUCUCAACUCGUAUCUUUGUAGAUGAUUCAAGAUUAAUGAAAGCAAAGGCAGACUGUAUGACAAAGUUGCUCCUCAAUGAUCCAAAAUAAAUAAAUUUGUUAUCUCACCCUAAAAACCUAUAAUUACUAUCCAUUUACGACUCAUUUGCACUUUACUCAUUGAAAUUGAAUUGAAUUUGCAUUAAAUUAGGAUUAAAAGGAUUAAAGGAAUUUUUAGCCAUUUUCUAGCAAUUUUCCAAAAAGAUUGUUACAUACCGACGUACCACCAACAUACAAUAUGCUAGAACCAACAUGUACAUACCGGUCCGAUCUGGGACCACCAUGCCAAUCUAUCACGGACUUAGCUGGUUUUGCCUAAGUCGUGCGGCACCCUCGCGCGUCCGUCCGCAAAGGUCAGCCUCCCCGAAGCCUCCCAUUGUCCCUUAGGACCACCAAAAGAGAGAACGGGUUAAAGAGAACGCCUCAAUCGGGAUCCACAAGCAAACAUCUCCGAAAAACACUUCAUAGACAAUGCAAAUUACAAACAAACUUUACAAGUUCUGAACAGUUGCACAACAAAGGGUAAAAUAGUCCAUUACAGACCGAAAAGCUCUCGCACGUGUCCACAUGACACAACCUUUAUUUACAAGCCUAAAGAGGCCACCAACCUAACUCAAAUGGGACUUUGAAGCCUUCGGCCGCCCCCUUACAUGCUGUACAAGGCAUGAAUAUGCCAAAAGACACGGACAUACAUAAGCAUUACAUCAAACACCCUGUUUCGAAGUUUGUCCGUGACAUUCUCCCCCACUUAUCCCUUCGACGUCCUCGUCGAAGCCUUUGUGAACACUGCAACUCUUCGCCUUUGCUGAGUCUUCAAUCUUCUGCUCCAGCUGCAAUGCGCCUUCUGGCUCCCAGCUGCUCUCCGUCGUUGUUUUUGAGUAGUCGAACCUUUGAUCCGCCAUGCUGCUCCAACUCACCAAUGACUCUUGACUCUGAUGUGGGGUUGGCUGAGUUGUGUUGAUCCUUGUUGAUUCCUGCGGAUCUCCCAAAUGAAGGAAAAGACCAUCCUUGCUGCGCCAGUCUCUCAAAAUUCCACAUGCUGCUUGAACUGGGUGGAUGCUUGUUGGAGCUUUAACGAGCAUCAUCUCACAAACUUCUGAAGUUUUGGGUCCUUCCUCCACAAAAUCUGUCCAUUGACUCUUCCUUCACUUAGUUGUCACAUCCAAGUAGGUUCGCAUCACUUCCGCUUUCGAUUGGCAUUUCGUUGGGAAAUGAAGCGGACAAUCUACUCUCAGUAGCACUGAUCACCAUUGGUGAGGAUUUGACAACUAUUGUCUUCAAUUAUCUUCGAAGGGUCUUUGAACUUGUGCAGAGCUUCUCUGCUGGAUAGAUAAGAGAAGUGGGGUACUCGGUUUCGCCCAUUCUCUUAAGGGUUGAGAAGGCAAAGGUUACUUGACUUCGCCCGCCUCCUCGAGGUUGUACUUCAUGCAUCAAGCUGGUUACUAGACUUCGCCUGCUCUUUGCUCACACUUCUGAAGCACUUGAAGUGUUUGCACUCCUUGCGUUGAGUUAGUUACUGUGAUUCACCUUCUCAAUGCCGUUGAACUUCUGGAAUGCAGGAAGUUUUCACCCUAACUUGGAGUAAUUCUCUGAUAGAUGAGGUCGCCUCUGGGAUUGUACUGUCUUCUCCAUCAACCCUGCCGCCUCCNNNNNNNNNNNNNNNNNNNNUUUCGACCCCCUGCUUCAACACCUCUGUGUUCUCCAAGCAGCUUCCUCUAGUCGAUGGAAAGACAGACUGCAACUCCCAUGCAUGGCCUCUGCCAUCGCAUUAUAGGGUUUGCACCGAUUCUGUUCUCCUUAGCUUCCUUGGUAGCAACGUUCGCUUACUCGACCUUGUCCUCUGACUUGCCGGGCUCCCUUAAGCGAAUAUAAGCUCUGGAGCAGUCCAACUCUCCAGCUGCUUCGAUCAUACCUCUGCAUGAUCAAGUCCCUCCCAUGGGACUCACUGAUACUUGCAUUCGAACUUUUCCCUUGGUGGAACGCAGCCCCCAUAUGCUGAUGACCAAGGUUUUCAUCCGAUGCAAAAUUCGAUGCACGCACGGAAGACCCGCCUCUGCGGUACCAUGGCCUUCACUCCUUGAAUCCAUAGCCCUUCUUGCCGUCGUGUUGUUCACCGAAGUGGAGCUUCCAGUAGCUCCCGAUCAUACCUCCAUAUGAUCUAGUCCCUCACGGGUUUGCUGUCGUGUGUGUCGCAUUGCCACGAACUGUUCCACCACGAUCCGCUGCACCAUGUCGCCUCCUGGUGAAAUCUCCAUUACAUUCUGAUCCUUGUGGGAUGAACUCGAACUGUGAACCCUCCAUGUGUGGCCUCUGCCAAUACAUCGCAGGGUCUCUUCCACCUUCGAUUUUGUUCGCUCCUUUGACAAUCGACCUUCAUCCACCCACUCUUGGGUCACACGUAGAUGAAGCACCGCUCUAGGACAGUCUGUCGCCUAGUAGCUUCCGAAGUCCCCCGACUUCGCUGCAAUUUGUGCACCAUUGUCUGGAUCCUGGGCCUCUGCCCCUACCAGCACAAUCUCCGCUGCGCACCGCUCCCUUCAAGCAACUUGAAUGGCAACACUGUGGCAUAUUCUUCAAGAGUACCCGCCUCUGCGUCCUCUUGCCCCGUGCUAAGGCCUUCUGAACCCAACUUCGCCUCUGCAAAUUGAGUCGCCUUAGUUCCUCCAUCAAAUGCUCCUCCGAGAUAAGGUGCAUGUGCCCCGAAGCUCCCUUCAUCUUUGGCACCAUGCAAGAUGAGUCCACUCCGACAGAAUGAAAGACCCAUGGAACAACAUGAUCCUACUCUUGCCUCUGCAAGAGUUCAUGUCCUUGACCUCUGUCUAAGGAAAGCACUGUGCCUCCGCUCCAUGUUCCAACUUCUAUGCUGGCUCCCUUCAUGCGGCUUGGGUACUUCGCCAAGUUACACCCAAGUUGCUCCGCUGCUCGCUUUUGCAUUGAGUCGAUGGUGGCCCUCGCGCCCACCAUUCCACGGGUCAGCCCUCCCUUGAGUCCGAUCUCCAUAUCGACUCCAAGUGUGCCUUCGUUUGAGUUGCUUUAGGUCGCUCCCCCACUUGAUCUCGUAAUGCAUCCACCAAUGCAUUCUCUCGAGCGAGAUCAUGCGACAACUCCUCGCCGCUUGCUCAGUCCGUCGAGCUUCGUGGAGUUGUUGUUUGUUGAGGUACUCCUCCUCCACAUGUGAAGUCCGUCUAACAUGAUUCUCCCUCUAGAGAGCCGAGACUUAUCCCUCCUGGAUACUUGUCUCGUUGGAGCAACAUCUCUCUUCGUUUUUGGAGACCACCAUCCCCUUGGACUACUCCGAUCUACUGAACAAACUGUGCACUGUUCUGCCUCCUGCAAACGCACUUGCUAGAUUGCGACUCCACGUCAAUACAGCCCCCGCUGCACCACUCAAGGCCUAGCAACAUGCUGAACUCGCUACACCCUUCAGCCUCCCACGGACGUAUCCUUCGCAUGCCGAAGAGAAAGUUUUAAUGCUCCAUGGCGCCGAGUCUCGGCCGCCUUGGGAUGGCCACGAACAUUCCAUCGUUCGCAUACAAGCCCAUGCAUGAGUACCGAAUUCUUCGAGUUAGCAAUUCCCCUCACCUCUGUGAGCUUUGCACAACUCUUUCGGUCGUUGAGCAACUCAUUCCACUUUGCAUGGUCUCAUCCUUUGCCAAGCGCCUCGCUUACCUUGAGCACCAUCAAGUAUAGUUGUCAACGUUGAGCCGUAGCUCAAACUCAGCCAUCCCAACCUUUGUGCGCUCCGAAUUCUUCCGAGCUUGCCUGUUCUCGUGGUGCCUCUUGCGCGAAGGGUUGGCCAUUCCUCGGAAUGCCAAUGCCAGAUGCCCGCUCCUCUGAGCGACUCUUUUCCCUACAUCUCCAUGCCCGUUUUCCCUCAAACGGUCGCGCGUGUGCUGACUGCCCUCAACGCAGCCCCGCUAGGUCCCCCACAUUUGCAUGCUAAGUGUUUCUAUGAGUGCUUGUCCCGCUCUGAUACCAUUUGUCACGGACUUAGCUGGUUUUGCCUAAGUCGUGCGGCACCCUCGCGCGUCCGUCCGCAAAGGUCAGCUUCCCCGAAGCCUCCCAUUGUCCCUUAGGACCACCAAAAGAGAGAACGGGUUAAAGAGAACGCCUCAAUCGGGAUCCACAAGCAAACAUCUCCGAAAAACACUUCAUAGACAAUGCAAAUUACAAACAGACUUUACAAGCUCUGAACAGUUGCACAACAAAGGGUAAAAUGGUCCAUUACAGACCGAAAAGCUCUCGCACGUGUCCACAUGACACAACCUUUAUUUACAAGCCUAAAGAGGCCACCAACCUAACUCAAAUGGGACUUUGAAGCCUUCGGCCGCCCCCUUACAUACUGUACAAGGCAUGAAUAUGCCAAAAGACACGGACAUACAUAAGCAUUACAUCAAACACCCUGUUUCGAAGUUUGUCCGUGACAAAUCGACAGGAGAUGGCAAACCUUGAUAUAAACCUUGUUAUGACAUGGGUCUUAUAUGAAUGAUAGCCCAAUAGAUGAACUAAAAAUAACCUAUAUAACAUAUACUAUCUAAGCACACAAUUAAACCACAAGCAAUCAUUUAAAAAUUGCAUUCUUUGACCUAAUCAUUUCAGAUGUUGUACUUUGAAUUUAUGAUGGAACUAUCAAACUUUGGAUAAUAAUAACCCAAAAUUUGGACAAGAAAGGACAUAUCAACCGUAUAAGUGAUUAUAUUUUCACUUAUCAAAGAGUUUCAAUAUAUAAUAUUUUUGGUCAUUCGAGCAAUGGUUCUAUCAGCACAAAAUUAGUCCAUUAUGGAAUACAGGAAUUUGUUUUAAGAAUAAGAAUUUUUAAAAAUUAUCAUAGAUCUAGGGUACAUUCAACUUAGAAUCUGAUCUCUAACCAAGACCUGAUGGCAGAUCCUGACGUGAAAUUUAAAACAUUGCAUUACAGAUUAAAGAUUAAACUUUUGAACAGGCCUAUAGCAUUCUCUUGGGCCUAUGAUUUACGUUUAACAUUGAUUCCUAAUUAUGAAACAUUCUUGUACUUCCAAACAUGAUAUGCAAACAGAAGAAACAAUCAGGGAAGACUUUCAGACACAAUUUAAGUUAGUCCUAUAAAAAAAUGACAGUGCAUCAGAAUCUCUACCUUCCUAACCAGCAUUUUGAGAAUUGUAAAUUCAGCACCUAAUUAUGGUUUGACACACUAAAGAGAAAAAAGUACAUUUUCUAUCCAAAUAGACCAAGAUAAACAAGAAUAUUUAGCUUUAAAGAGAUAUCAACAUGACUAAAUAAAAAGCCGAGAUAUGUUUACAGAAAGGAAUAUCAAUGGAUAUGACAUUUACCACAGUCUUCGCUUGACUGAACUCUUAGCAACUUUAAGUCCAGUAAAGGUACAUCUAACACUUCUUCCCUGGGCUACUGCUUGUAACUUGACAAUUCCCUCCAUAGCAUGUAGAGUUGCAACAGCUUGUCUUCUAACCAGAUGCCCAUGAAUUAGCGCCUGCAACCUGAUAAUACCUUUCAGGGCACGAAAGGCCCUGCAUGCCUGCACCAAAUAUAUGCAACAAUUAUCAAGUCAUAAAGUAGGCAAUUCAUUUGCAGCAAAAUCUGAAUUAAGGGAUGUAAGAGCAUUAUGAAUAUGCCAGCUAACGUUCAUUGGUAGUGUCAAGCAUCUUUUAUUGAACGAGUCACAGGUCAUUCAUCCAAUAGAAAGUAUACACUUCUUGCAUUUUGAUUAAGAUAAAAUAGUUACAACAAAAAAAGUUACCAGAUAACCAUGGAAGGCUGCCUGUGCCUUUGUAGCAGCCUGCUCUUCUAUACCAUUGUUAGUUUCUUUUGAUGAGGUGGAUUCUAUGACUGCUUGACUUACGUGUGAAGUGACCAGUGCAAUAGCACCUAAUUUUGAUGGUUCCUCCUUGUCCAAAGUUGAGAUUAAGUCCACUCACUGGUGCUGGUUCAGAAAUCAGUGGAGAAUUCACAGCCAAUACAGGUUCUCCUUCUCCUUAAUUAUACCCUCUAUCGUUAGCAGCUUUCUGCAGAUAACAAAUGGAAUCAUUUAGGUUUCUGUACUCAGAAUGUUAAAUAGGAGGAGCUUGACACACAAUACAAUUAACAAAGGAAACUGUGAACUAAAAAUUAAUUACUCACUCUUUUCCGAGGAUAACAGAGGGGGUAAUCCUCUGUUUAAAGAAUUACUUAGGCAAAAUACUCGGGCACUUCUCCACUAUGAAGAAGAAAACAGCCACUAGGCUAAGGCCUUGGCAAAAACUAAAUGUUAAUAUUGAUGUCUAAAAAAUGAACACUGUCAACACCUAUGUUUUUUAUUAGAGCAAUUCCUUGAGUAGUUGCCAUAACUUUAAUGUCACAUCCCCAUGAUGCUGGCUACAAUUCGUGGUCAGAAAAUUGUGUAAACUUAAUAGAUAAUUUACAUUUGGACCCUAAAUUUCAAUGAAAUUAUAGUGUACACCCUCAUAGAUAAUCACCCCCGGUAUCAGGCAAUUCUUGUAGGGUUUUGUUGCACCUUGCUUUUAGAAUCCAGAUGCUUUUGUAACCCCUAAAGGUAAUAUAACAUGAGUUGUCAGUGAACAAAAAUACCCUCGAAAUGGAAAAUAAAAAAAAAAAUCCCCUGUAAUUAGUUAUUUACCUAAUAAAAACAGUUUGCUACAUUCAUCCAUGGCUGACUGUUAAUAGGAGGGCGCACCGUACUACUGAAUAUGAGUUACUAACAUAGAAGAGGAGAAAGAGGAUAGGUUAUAUUAAUUAAGAAAAAAGGAAACUGAAGGUGAAAGUUGGAAGAGAAAAGGUGAGGCAAUGUAGUCUUGUGCGAAAAGGAGGCUAUUUUGAGAUUUUGUCAAUACACUUUCAACAGAAACAUUCAAACUCUUAAGAGAAUAUCCAGGUAAUAUUCCCUCUUGAUUAGCAUAUUUCAACCACAAGAAGUGAAAAUAUAGUUGUCUAGGAAACCAUGCAGUGUGAGAUGUAAUUAAUGAUGAGGGACGAUGUACACCAUAAUUUUGAAAAAAAUAUUAGUGUGACAAAUAUUUUUUUAUUCUGAUUUAGUUAGUUUCGUAUAUUCAUAAACUCCUGGGAGGCCUAUAUCCAUGCUUAGUCACAGAAGUUUCUAUAAAACUACACAGGUAACAUCAAGCUUGAUUUUCAUGUUCCUUAAAUAAUAUAAUGCAUAUCUAACAUACCCUGUUGUCAGACAAAAUGUGUUAAUCUGGUUUUGUCAUGUGUAUUUAUUUAUUUCCUUAAUUUUUGCACUUAGAACAUAACUUGCAAAGGAAAAUUACAGCUAGGCUGACUUCUGGUGUGUUUUGUAUUGUUAACUAUGAAGCAAGUGAGAAGUCUGAAGAAUAAAUUUUAAAAAUUCAAAACAAAUUCGAAAACUAAAUUGUUGACCAGUUAUUGAUCGCUAACCAGACCCUCUUUGGGCAGGCGCUGUGUUCUUGAUCCUUCUUAAUUAGCAAAACAGUUGGAAAGAAUUGUAGCAGAACAAUGAAAACACUAACUGUUACAAGCUUUAAUGGUAAACUGUUAGAAGUACUAACAAGAAAUUAUAACUAUUGAUCUAUAAGGCUGACACCUUCGAGAUAGUAUUUGAUAUUAACAAUUAGCAACCAGAAAAUAGAAGACUAGCAUACAAAUUUCAGGACCUUGUAUAUGGAUCUUAAACAAUAGACUUCCAAAAUAUGGAGCUUAUGCAUUAGGCAUGAUGGAAUAUCCAUAAAUUUGACAAGAUGGUGUGACUGAUUAGAAAUGUGCUUCUGAUGCUGCUAACAUUGACUAUUGGAAAGGUCAAAAUAAAAACAAAGUGCACAUGUCAAUAUCUUUUGUCACUCAAAAAAGUAUAGUGACAAAAUCAAUAAUCAAUCAUGUAAGAGGGACGUUUCACCAGUGCGCCAUUGUGGCGUAUGAUCAGUGUGGUCAGCCUUUUGUCAAUGCAAUGGUCAGAAUUGACUAGUGUUGGUCCAUUUAUAAAGAUUUAACAAAGAGUUUAACAGGUACCCAAGUUGCUGUAAGAGUAUUGUAUCAUCAGUAUAGGGUUCUAUAAAUUACUGCUUCAUUUCUUCAUAUUCAUGUUCGAGAGAUCAUCCAAAUCGAGCGAAGAUAAUCUUAUAGUGGGAACCCAUUUUGUUUGGAUUUCAGAGCAAUUGAUUGUAUAAAGAUAUUGAAGCUCAUUGCAGUUCACAAGUUACAACAAAAAUAGCAUGCAUAUUCAUGAACGGAGACAAAGACUUGGUUGAUGUGUUGAUGCUAACAACUCUCAGAGACUUACAGAAGAUGUACCUGCAUUAAUUGUUGACAUGGCCAAAGCUCAAUGUCAACACUUGUUGUCUGCACAAUUUCAUAGCCAUAAGCCGACAUAACAUUUUCGAGCUCCUCUACAACAGCUUUUGCAAUAUCAUUCUUCUGCUCGAAAGCAUCACAUAUCCAUAUUGACCUUUGGCACAAUAGCUCUGAUUAAAACAUAAAAGCAGACUUGAGUUCUACAUCACUCAGCCAAAGAAAUAUGAUGUUUAUGUACCAGUAAAAUUGGAAUGCACCAGGCAGGUCGGUAGCUCAAGAAUUACUCAGUUGCACUAUGUCAUACAUAUGAAAACUUCUCUUUCUUUUUGCCGUAAAGAAGAAACUUUAUUAACUCAAAGUUCGAGUACAAAAGAUAUCCUUUUUCAUCAAAGGAUACAAGUAUAGAAAGACCAGGAUGAAAAUUUUAUUUCCACAAAAAAGUGGACUUGAAAGUGCUAGAAAAAGUAGCCAACCAAUUACCCGGCAUGUUAAUCUCCCUAUACGUGUGUUUGAAAGAAAUAGGGCAAAGGGUAAGAGAAAUAUGUUGAAUGUCUCGGACUAACAAUAUAAGAACUUAUCGACAAUAUUACAGAGCAAGAUGGUAAAAUUAGUAGUUUUAUCAAAUCCACCAACAAGGUUCCAGCACACAAAUGCUGUUGAAGAUUUACAGAUAACUCUAUCUAAUGCAUGUUAAUCUCCACUAAGGCUCAUCUCAACCAUAUCUCUUUCUAUUCAUACUGUGUCUCUGUUUCUGUUCACACAUUACAUCCUUGUCUUGAAAUUAAAACAAGAUGUCCCCAUAUCUUAUUAGGGAAAUGUAAGAAUUAGUUACCCUCCUAUUGCACUUCUAUCAGUGAAUACAGCAACAGAACACAAAAUAGUUACUCAAAAUAUCUAAUGCAAAUAUUCACACAAGAAAACAAGUCCUAAAGGAUAUAUACUUUGCAAACUAUACUUAAUGGUAACUCUGCAGCUUUAUCGACUAAUCAACAGAUAGUUAUUGCUUGAUUAUCUGAUUAUCCUCCAAACAGUUUUUCUUAAUAUUUUGUCACAGAUGUAUACCAUCAACAAGAAGCUAUAAACAUCAAAGAAGAUCUGUCAAGUUUGCCAAACCUUAGCCUCCUAUAACUAAAUUUAUCUUUAACAAAAAUAUAAGAUUGACAUUUGAUCCACUGACCCUAGCCACUUUCAGAAAGUUGAUGCGAAGAGGAUGUACCUAUGCAUAAACAAUAUGAGAAACACACCAAAAUAAACCAAAAAAAUACAGUCAACUGCAAUUGUUUCAGUUGCUUGUGUGCACUAUGUAUCACAUGAUUACAAAAGGUGUUGAAUUCAUACCAUCAAAUACAUAAGCCAUAAUAUGAGAUUUUGUAUCAGUCAAUUUGUAAAAAGCAUCACUAGCCUUGGAAGCCAGAGCACGGUAUUGUCGUGAUGCAACAACAUUUGCAAAAAAAUUAUCCUGCAAUGAUGAGGCGUAUUUGAAUGGUUAGAGUGAACAUGUUGGACAAUUUAAUAAUUUAACCGGAGAACUAGACCACAAACGUGAUAUACACGUGUUACUCAUCAAUGAAUUGAGUAGGCGAUCUAGUGCAUAAGGUUCCUGCUAGUGCAUAUUCCAGGAUGAGUCAGUUUAUAAUAGAAGUUGGAAAUAUUUGUAAACUGAUCUAUAAGAGAAAAUAGACUAGACAUGUGGAUAUAAUAGGAAGACACCCUAAAAAUUACUGUCUGAAGGCAGCACAUAUAAAACAACUAAAGGUGUCAAUCAUAACUUGGACACAUGUGAUACUUAUAGCUACUGUGAAGAACCAACCAAGGUGCUUUGGUUUUUCAUGAAUUGGAGCUUCCUUCAUAGCUGUGUUACGUGAAGCUGUGACAGGAAACACUGGUAAACUUAUAUAAUAUUGUUAACCAACACAAAGCCAUGAAGCAAAAGAAGCAUGGAACUAUAGACAAAGAGGCCUGAAACAAGUAAAUAACUUAAAGACUGCUGUUUGAAAGCGAUCCAAUACAAUUUUUGAAAAAUGAAGAAGAUGAAUUCUUUAUCAUGGCCAGACUUUUAGCAUAAUCAUGGUCAGAGAAGAGCCUUUGGUGUUGUUUCACACUUAACAUUCAGCUACUGCAAUCGCAGUGAAAGAUGACCAUCUAUUCAGUUAUCCGAUAAACCAAAGCACACAAUUGCAUCCUGGCUGAAGGACAGCAUCAUAGAAUGCUCCCUGAUUGCAACAGUGGAUUGUUCUACUUGCACACAACAAAGCAUUUGCCCCAUGGUUUAUCACCCAUUAUCCCAGGUGAUGAAUUAGUCAAACUUGAAUUUCAGACAGAAUAUAUAUUCUAUAUCUAACUCGGUGCAUAAUUUAUCGAUUAUAAGCCAACCAGAAUGGAGAAUACAACAUUUUCUUGACCAUAUGUAAUAAAUUCUGCGACACAAAUUUUAGCACAAUGCACACAAUGUUGAUAGUAGCUUAAACAAAAUUAGGCUUCACUCCAAGGAAAAAGAAAUUGAAUUCUAUACUAGAUGGUGACACAAUUAUUUAAAGAUCGGACUUGAAAUGAAGCUUUGUGAAACAUUACAUCUAGCUUGCACGUGAAGAACAUCUAGAGACUCCCGCAACUUCCACCAAUAAGAGUUACAAGUUAUCAAAUUCAACCGGGUGAAGAAAAAGGUAUAGAUAACUUGAUACAGGUUAAAGACAUUGAAUAAAACGAGCCAGACGUUCCAAAGCUCCUUAAUUAUCUCAGCAAACUAAUGGGCAAAUUACCAUAUACCCCAGAAAAACUACACAUUAAUCGAGGAUCAAAUUUCUGGACCAAGAAUUCCUAUUGUAUUGCAGAAAAGCAUUUUCUGAUAAGAAAACUAUCAUUCCUUGGAGCGGAAAAAAGCUUCUUUUGUUUUUUUUUUUUUUGGCUGAAACCCGACCAGAGAAUUAACAUGUUGGUGUUUAAGUUGUGUUAUAGACAUAUGUUUAUAUGGAUAUCAACAGAAAUAUGAAAAAUAUAACUUACGGAAGGGCAGCAGGGCAGGGGAAGCAAUCGAACCAAGAGAGUAGGUGGUAACAGGGGAGAUCAGGUAGUCACCUACUCAAAAGAAAGAAACUUGUAGAAAGCGGAAAUCAAGAAUGAAUGCUGUUGGCAGCAAUAUAUCUUCCCUCCUAAAAAGAGUAUGCCCAAGACAUGUAAGGCUUGCACAAAGAGGUGGUAGGUCGGUCAAAGUAUAGUAGUUGUUGUUCAUGAUACAUACCUUGGCUUGCAGAUGAGUUGUCGAAGGAUGUAUUCUUGGUGAGGAAGUAGAAAUGCUGGGAAAUGCAGAUAAAGGGGCAUCCAGGAGGUCAUCGUCCAACACGAUAUCUGAAAGUGGGGGGGAAUCGAAGUACAAAAGGGAGUAUUGACUGAGCGAACGGGAUCGAUCUAUCUUUGUAUGUAGAUAAGAAGCAUACCAUCAAGUUAUUCACAAAUAAAAAUCCCUAAGGAAAAAGAAUUCGUCGAAGUCCAAUAAAUGAAAUGAUGGAUUCACUCCGAGGCGGCUGGUGGCGUUCGAUUCUUCCCUAAGCAUAAGUCCUCCAUAAUGCCGAUGACAAACGUGAAGGAAAAUAAUUUAAGAAGGACUUCGGACAUGGUUUAGCUCGACAUGUGACAUUUGAAGGGAGAUUGGGGCCGCGCGAUGCAUUUCAUUAGUAAGUCAUGAAAAUACGACCUUUUGUCGAGAAUCGCAAUUGCAUCCGAAGGUUAAGUGAAACAUAAUCUUAUGAUCUUUAUGUCCUCGACACCUCCCGAUAGAAAGCUGUGCCAAACCAAUCUUAUGUCAUUGGCAACUAUUUAAGAGGUGCAAAGCACGCGUGAGCGUUUGUCAUGGACAAAGAAAAGAGUCGAUAUGAUGAGUACGAAGACUGAGCUGAGCCACCCAAACUCGUGCUUGCUUUAUCGUGUCUUGAAGAAACGAGUAAAUAGAAGGGUAAAGGUAUGUUUUCCGGCACAUGACUUCGGCUGCAUCCAAUCUUUGGUGAGCGAGCGGCCUACGUUACCGCGAUCUAUACUCCACCUUCCCACCUAUUUUUCUUCCUUCCAUCUGUUCUUGCCUAUUCUUCUUCUUCCUUUUUCUUUUUUUCUUUUUUUUUUGGUUUGACGAAAGAAAGAGAUCGAUCGGCUACAAACGCGCGACCGUCGGAUAAAUAAGCAUCCCUGAAUCGAAGUCCUCCACUUGUAAAACUUUGAGACAGGUUGGGUGGUCUUCUUCUUUGGUCCACCCCAUACCGGAGAAGUAGCGCACACAAACACAUCGGCCCAGUCUCUCCCUAUACAUUACACAUAAAACAAAGAGGGAGAGAAGAUAAAGACGAUGACAGGCAGUAUCGAGCAGCCCACCGGAAUGCUUUGCCGUCGCCCCUGGUUUCCCCUUGGGCAACCGCUUCUUCGGCUGGCUGACUUAGUCACGGUGGAGAGUUUCUCGGGUGACGUGGUUUCUCAUAGACGCCUAGGUGCGGGUCCCACAGUAAUCAGAUUACGGACUACGAGAGUCUCACGUAAACCGUGAAACUUUUGCAGGGUGGUUCGGUCGACCCGAGUAGCAUCUUCCUUUCCUCCUCCUCCAGCAUCCCCACCUAAAUGGCCUCCCGUCCCUAUUUAUAGCCCCACCGCCAUCUCCGUCACCUUCCUCCAACCGGAAUCAUCCCCGUCCCGGACUCCCUCGCUCUCGUGGAGGAGGAGGAUAUCCCCACCCUUCCCCUUCCCAAAAAGAGGCAUAGGAGACCGUUCGUUUCUCCUCCUUUGAAAAAAGCAAAGUACAUAGACUUUGCUCGCUCAUGAGUAACUAGAACUCGGGUGUACAGAUCCAUCAUCCCAUCCCUCUUCUCCUACUUGCCCACCUUGCGACGACAACUGCCUUCCUCUUCUUUUCGUCCUGCCAAAACCCAAUCUUUUUCCCGUUGUCCGAGUCUUGGGAGUCCGGCAUUUCUUGAGUCGCUCGAACUCCCGACUUCGAUUGAUCGGCACCGGGAUCUCCUGGGUCGGGUUUUCUUGUCUCAGGCUUUUCUGUUUUUGGAUGAGGGUCAACGGCAGCUUGGCCGACCGGAAGGGAAGCGACCAAGUAGCGACGGGGAAAAGCACGUCUUCCUCCAACUCCAAGAAGAAUAAGAGGCGGCAGAAGAAGUCGGCGGCCAUGCCGACCGCCGUGCAGAGGGUGUUUGAGGCAUGCAAGGAGGUGUUUGCCGAUGGUGCGCCUGGCAUCGUCCCAUCGCCGGAUGAGGUGGAGCGCCUUCGAUCCGUUCUCGGUACUACUAUACGCUACGGCCGGAUCUUUCCUUCUUUCUUUUGCCUAUUCUGUAGAAUGGAUUGGAACAGAUUGCUUUGCAGCAGUUGCACAUCGAUGUUAAGUAAAACAGAUCGGAUUAGCGAAUUCGCUUCCGCUAAAUCUUAGGCAUGAAAGAACCGUUGACAGCUUAAAGCGGCGACUUCGGUUGGAUCGAAAAGAGAAGAUAUUAGUUGAUGCCCACUGCUCUUCCGAGACUGUUGUGUAGUUUGUAAGUGAGGUCGCCAAUCUUUCUUAGGACACUGUUCUUUUCAUGAUAUCAAUUGAUAUUACAUCGCAAGAUUGAACUGAAUCUUCUCUGCCAUCAUAUAGUUGCUUACCAUCAAGUGUAUUUCUGUAAACUUGUGAAUGGGUUUUCUUUUCUGAAAAAGGAUUUCAAUGGCUAGAUCAUGACUUUUCUUUGUCAACGGGUUUAUGUUUUACUGUGAACAAGUAAACAUGAUCAGGUGGGGAUAUUGCAGGGAACCUUACCACACCUCUAUGCGCGCUUUGAUUGCUAGCUCCCGGCGCAGUCAUGAUAUCGCUGCCCAGGAUCUUCUUUGGUUCUCUUAUCUCCUAAAUCCUAUGGAAUCUUCAUGAAUGAGAUAUAAUAGGAAACGGAAGAUUUGGGUAGCAAUUAGUUGAAUAUAGGAAAUUUACUUUUUGUCACAUAUUGAUUCUCGAUCUCUAAUGUGGUGGUCGUCCCACGCAGAUGCCGUAAUGCCAGCAGAUGUCGGUCUAAGUCCAAACCUGUCAUUUUUUCGAGAUGUCGGGACGGGUGGACCUCCUCCAGUGACAUAUUUGCACCUAUACGAGUGCCCCAAGUUCUCGGUAUCCCGCUGCACUCUGUGGAUUCUGCUGCCAGAUGCAUUUGAUUUGAAGUCUCUCGUUGCAUUUUUGCAGAUUGGUAUCUUCUGCCUCCCGCAAGGAGCUGUAAUUCCACUGCAUGAUCACCCGGCAAUGACUGUUUUUAGCAAACUUCUCAUGGGCUCCAUGCACGUCAAGUCAUACGAUUGGGUUAAUGAUCCGCUUGGCUCCGACCAGAGAAUCAAAUCCUCAACCGGUGUGUGCCGCUCCAUGCUCUGUCGGAUUGGUGGAGUUUGUAUGAAAUACUAAGGAAGCGUUUGAUCGAUGAUCCUCUCAAGACUUGAUGUACUACUGCUAGUAUUGACGAGUGAUGGUUAAUGUUUAUAAAUCCGCAGGCGCGAGUUUGGCAAAGUUGCACACCGAUGCCAUCUCUGUUGCUCCCUGCGAGACGUCUGUUUUGUACCCUGCCGCUGCGGGUAACUUGCAUUGCUUUACUGCAGUGACUUCCUGCGCAGUGUUGGAUGUUCUCGGACCACCAUACGACGACGAAGAAGGGAGGGCUUGCACUUACUACCGGGGGAAUGCGUGCUCCAAUCUUCCGGGUAUGUAUGCCGUUCACCGUUCUCCCUAUGUUACUUACGAUGAUCCAAGUGCUGCGCGGUGCAAUGUACGUAGUCGUCGGAUCGGAUAGGCGAUGCGUGUUUGGUUUUUCGUUUCCACGAAGAAAGUGUUUUGUGCGGUAUGUAUGCAUGGUUGCUUGUUUCAGGCGAUGGGCUAACGCGGUGUGGGGAGAGGGAGGAGUACUAUGCAUGGCUGGAAGAGAGGGGAAGCGAGCCUGAUGAGCUGGUGGUACGCGGUGCUGAGUACAAGGGCCCCAGAAUAGUCGACCACUGAAUUUGUACUGUGACUGUUGCAGCAAAGAUGAACAAACAAACAAGGUUAAAGAGAAAGAUGAUGCUCCUCGGAGAAGAGGAGAAAGGAAGGACCACAUAGUUGUGUUAUUCAUCACCCUCAGAGGAUCUCUUGAUUCCAUGAUCGAUAUAUACAUGGAGCAAUAAACACCCCCAUUUUGUCCUUUUGGAUGUUUAUUUUUCUGUAUUCGUUCGUAUGGGCAUAAGACUAGGUUGGAGAGUACAGUAAUAAAUCUGUUGAGGAGGCACGAGAAUGACAGUACCACUACCACGGGAGCCUUUGUGGGGUGUGUGUCCGCAUAAGCAAGGUGAGAUGCGACUUCCCACGGCUGCUUGCUUGUUGGAGCAGAGAGAGAGAGAGAGAGAGAUGACUUCUGGAAACCACACCAUGCAUGGUGGCCUCUCGUGUGUCAUCUGUAGAAACGAGCUGCUCUUGCGUCUCUCUCUCUCUCUCUCUCUCUCUCUCUCUGGUGCAAAAAGGCACUCCACUCUCGGAUGUAUUGAAUUGAAUUUUCUUCUAUCGUUUAAUAUCCGGAGCUAAAAUGUUAAUGGGAAUUACACGAUUACAUGUUUGUGUUUUGGGAUGAACAAGUUAAGACGACGAUACCUACCCCAAGUGAGGCAACAGGUUCUAUAUGUCGUUGCCUUUGCCUGAUGUCUAAUAUAAGACAAUUAUAAUAAAAAUGCAUGUAUUCUCAAAUCCAUCUAAUAUGGACAAUUAUAAUAUAAUACAAGUAUUUUUAAAUAUAUCUAAUAUAGACAUUAUAACAAAAUGCAUGUAUUGUCAGUCAAAUUAUUUUCUUUAUUACUUAGUUAUGUCAUAUAUUUCACCUCAGUGGUUGAAAACAUAAUAGUAGAUUGGAGCUUGGCUUUUCGAGUCAUUACAAUAUUACGAUAAUAAUGAAUCUCAUAAUUAAAUUUUUAAAAAUCUAUAAUACAUACAUAGAUAGAUAGAUGAUAAGAUUUCUUCAAUUAUACGAGGACUCUAUUUUGUUGAGGAAAAUCCUUCCUCCUAAUCUAUAUAAAUAAAUAGGAGAUAGACAUGUUAAUGUAUUCAAGCUAAAACUUCUUCAAUAAAGCUUCUUCAAUAAUUAUUCUUUUCUAUUAUUUUCAUCAUGGUAUCAGAGUAAUGAGAAAAGCGAAGUUUCGGCAAUCGCAGCAGCAGUAGCGAUUUGCUCUUGCUCUACUCAUGAAGCUUCUCGCUCGUAAACCAUUCUUUACAUCGAUCCAAGAUUAGUAUCUUGACAUAAGCAAAAUCUCUCUAUUCUAUUGAGAAAAAUUCUAUAUUUUGUUGAGAGAAAUCAUUCCUCCUAAUCUAUAUAAAUAGGAGAGGGACAUGUUUUCAAGCUAAAACUUCUUCAAUAAUUAUUCUUAUUUUCUAUUAUUUUCAUCAAUUAGUUCCCCCAAAUAGUAAACAAGCCUUUUGAGUUACUCACAAGUACUCUAUUUAAUAGCUUUUUAGUGAGCUUUUCUCAGAUUUGCUAUGUAUUGACUCAGUAUACUAGUAGUAUAAGCAAGAUCUGAGUACAUACAGACCAUGACGUACAUUUGAAUAAGGAACUUUUUUUAUUUAUUUAUUCUGCUUUUUUCUUAUCUUAGAAGCAUAAUGACUCUAACGAUCGAAAAUGUGUGAUCAAAGAUUACAUGUCGAAUAAUUCUAUCAUUUUUUUUAUGUACAUCUCUUCAAAUAAGUAUAACUUCUUAAUAAAAUUAUCAUGAUACAUCUCUAAGAAAUCAUUUUUUCGCCACAAGUCCUUCGUUUCAAACUCCUCCUUAAGUAGUUAUUUAAGCAUGUCUAUUUCAGACUUCUCUAUUGUAGUAACAAACAUAUCAUCAAUGAUAAUAAUAAAUAUAUCAUGAAUUACUUAAUUUUCUUUAAAUAUAUGCAACUAUCAUAAAGCUAUCUAAUAUAUCCUAAAUUAGGUAUAAAUUGAUCAAAUUUUUUAAACCAUUAUCUUGGAGACUAUUUGUGGCUGUAGAGGGAUUAAUUUAGUAAAAAAAACAUGGUUCUUCUUUUCGUUUUUCAUAAACCUUAGUUGCUCCAUGUAGAUAUUUCUUCUAAGUCUUUAUAAAAAAAAUGUUUUCAUAUCUAGUUACUCUAACUGAAUGUAGCUACUAAGGCUAAUAAUUCUUGAAGAGAAGUAUGUUUAACAACUUGACAAAUGCUAAUAAUCAAGAUGUUAUAUCCUUCACCCACCAAGUGAGCCUUAUAGCUACCCUCUAGAUUUAAAAAAAUCACUUAGCCUAACUAACUUUUUAUUGGGUGAAGGCUUCACUAAUUCUCAUUAUUCAAUAGUGAAUGAAAUUAUUAUGAUGUUGAUUCUUCGAGUUUGGACUAAGUCUCAUUGUAUGAAGUUGGCUCUUUUACACUCUAUAACUCUACGAUAAUAGUGAUUGCAUAAGUGAUGAUAUUCAUAUUCUUUGGGUUCGAAUAUAGUCUAUGACAUGACCAGCUAAGGGCAAAACUACAAGGGGCUCCUCGGUGGGUUAUGGUUCCUCCUCAUUUUCAUAUUUUGGAGAUGUAGGAGUAAUGACAGGUUCUUCAGGUACCAUGAAUAUUUUAGAAUCAAAACUCCUUGUUCAGUCAGUUGUAUAUCUUUUGCAACAUUCUCCUUAUCUUUCUACAAUAAUAAUUCUUCAUUAAAAAUAAUAGCCUUAUGUAUCUCAGUUAUAAAAUUCUAGUACCAAACUUUAUACUCUUUUAACUCCAAGGGAUAAUCUAGGAAAAUAUAGCAUUUUGACAUAUAUUCUAGUUUAUCAUCCUUAACCUAACAUAUAUUUUUUUAUUAAAAUAUUAUAUUUUUCUAGGUUAUCCAUAUGAGCAAAAGACUUUAAAAUUUUGUAUCCAAAUAAUCUCAAAACUAAGAUAAAGGGAUAUUAUUUUUGAUGAAUAGGUGCUAUUGUAAAAGGAUAAGGAGGAGGCUACGAAAGAUGCAAAAUUAACUGAACAAGAACUUGUCAUUAUUCAUAUAUCUCCUAAAGAUGAAAAAAAAAAUGAAUCACAACAAAUCUAAGAGUAGUGCCCCUACAGUUUUACCCUCAACCGAUCACGUUAUGUAUCACAUCCCAAUCCAAAGUACACAAAUGUCAUCAACUACACACUCACUGUCGCUAAAGAGUUUCAUAGUACAUCAGAGUCAAUUUCAUACAAGAAUAUUCUUAAUAGUCCAAACUAAAAAAAUUGACAUCAAGCAAUGAUCAUUUUAUUCACUAUCAAAGAAUUGUACUUUGAGAAUUGAUGAAGCCUCCACCCCAUAGCCAGCUAGUUUGGUGUAAAUGCAUAUUUAAGAUCAAGAAAGAAAACAACUAUAAGACUCACAUGAUGACUAAGAGAUAUAAUCAGAUUUAUUUUAUUAAAAACACGUGAUGUGAGAAUAUAUAUAUAUAUAUAUAUUAUUUUUUUAUUUUUUUUCAUAGAGCAUUUUUUUUUUCAUGGCCAUCCUGGCCCUAUCGACCAUCAUCCUCUGUCAACUCUUGAUCGCAUCGAUCACCCCCCUCCAUCAAACCCAUCUAACGACGGAGGUUUAAUGACCCUCAUUGUACCCCGUUGAACUAAUGAAGGAGUGGUCCUCACUUAUCCUCGGACUAGCAAGGACGUUUGAAACUUAGGAGUUUAUUUUUCUGAAAAUUCAUCUUUCUUAAAAAAACAAAUAGAAAUAAAAAAAAUCUCAAUGUUGUGGCACUGACCAACACGAAUCUUCACGGCGCAAACAUUUUCACGGACCCGAAUCUUUUUGGAGGUUUGAGUUGCGUCGGAUUCGGAUUCAAUUAUUUAUCAACAUCCAACAAUAUGCUACCGGGUCGAAUACUAAUCCCGGAAUGAAAGCAUUCCACGAUUUCUUCGGCCUUCCCGUUGUGAGUUUUGUCGGUGCUGAGACGAUGGGCGACCCGAUCGCGGAUCACAAGCAGUAACCCCACUCCUCUUCUUCAACCUACUCCGUAUCUAUCCUCCAAUUUGCGCUUGUGCUAACCAGACGAUGGAGCAAUUUUUACCUUUUUCUGUUUCCAAGCAAGCCUCGGUGCAUCAAAUGCAAGCAAUCUUUCUGACCCGAGAUCAUAACAUUUUCCAAGGCCGGCAAAGUUAUGAAGGUAGCACUUUAUACCGCUGCUGUUUGGGCCACUUAGCAGUGUUUUGAACCUUCGUCACUUGAAUGGAAGACUCAGUUUUGGAGCCCCCUUUACCAGUACAAGCUUCUCAAUUUCUCUCAGAAGUUGAAUCUGAAACAUAUGAAGCUCGCCAGGCUGCCAGUAAGUAGCCUCGGAAGUUAUUUCUUUGACUUGUAUUGCCACAGUGAAAUAUGCAUAAAGAGAUAAUUCCAUCUCCAGUCUGCUUCUUUUUUAUUGUACUUUGACCCGCGAGUUAAGAGUAAGCUAUUAGGUUCUAGGAGAAUCUCAUUGUCCCAUCUAAUCAUCUCACGAAAGACUUCGAUGAAUUGUUAUUUCCACAUACAUCUGUAAGUUAAAUCUGUUGCUUGCAAAGCAAUGGCACACAGGACAUGGUUUCUAGUUAAAGAACCAUGAGCUUACUCAAGUAUCUGAGAUGCUAUGAGUUUAUCUGCAGGAGAUUAGACUGGUUAUUAGUUUGAUAGAUUUGACAUCGUGCAUUUUUGGAGGAACAGAAUCAGCAAAUCUAAUGACUAUUUAGGCAAAUCUUACAUCAUUUCCACAUCGGCAUUGAAGGAUUGGUUUCUUGGAGGUUUGGGGUAUACCUCACUGUUCUCCUAUUGGCAGAAAAGGCUCCUCUACAACCAUGACCACACAUCCUUAUCGUAACUUGAAACUAAGGAUUCGAUUGGACAUAGCAUAUAGUCGAUCUGAAGGACGUCAGAGUUCAAUAGACGGGGUUGGUAUAUACAUUUGCAUCCUGCACAUAGCCAACUUGAUUUCAUGCCCGGUUAAGAAGACAGGGUCAGUCGGUGCAGAUGCAUGUUAGUGCUAUCUUCUUGAAAAGACUUUUGGCAUGAAAUUGUCAUUUUAGCUGAUAACCUGUUGGGUCCGGACCAUAUAGGUGGGCUUAGACCGAAUGAUUUGGGCAUUAAGUCUAAAUCUGAUUUAUUAAAAAAAAAACGAAAAAUAUGACGAUGUAAAAAAAAAUAAAAAUAAAAGAUUAAAAUUUUGAGAUUUUUGUUAGAGAUCAAAAGCUUUAUCAAUUUUGACUCAAAUUUUAUAUAAAGAAUUCUUGUAACAAGCUCUAUAAUUCUUACGAUGCUGAUCUAUAGUUUUAUCUCUGAUAUGUUUUUCUGAUAUACCCACUUGAUGAAACCUAAAUCUUUCCUUUGAUGAAAUCUAUCUAUUAUGAUAAUGGUAUAUUACUAUUGAAUCAAGAUAUGUGUUCUUGAUGUUAUUGUGAUUGUGAUCCUCUAAUUAUUUAUAGAAGAGUUAUUAUAAACAUAUUAUCAUUAUUGGUGAUAGUAGAGGUCUGAAAUGAACUACGGUCCCGUAAUUUUUUCGUAUUAAAUAUUUACAUAAAAAAAUUUUAUAUCUCACUUUACGAUUGAUUCAUUAUUUUACUAUUUAUACUACACUUGUUAAUAUUUGUUUUGGUAACAAGUUAAUAUUUUGAUAAGAAACUCAUUUUGAUUUAUUUUACUAAAAUAAAAUUUUCCAAUAAAACCAACCAUUCAUACCAUUUAUAUGUUCUUUCUGAUGAUGAAUAUAGAACUUUAUUUACAAGAACACUAGUCGACCAAGAUUUUAGGGUCCUGACAAUGGAAAUACAAUUCUUUAACUCCGGAGUUACCUAUGCCAGCAUUGACUUGUCCUAACACUUCUUCGAGUGUCAUCCUGAAUGCAGUUCAGCAGGAGAGGUCAUGGGAAUUAGGUGUUUCGACAGCUCGAUGCUGUGUUACUGCUGGGUAGGGGGCAUGAUGGUUAUGGGUACCCUCAUAGGUGGUUAUCACAAAGCUUGAGUCGUCUCGGUGUCUCUCUACUUUCUUCUUGACUUGGCAUCCUUCGCUUGAGCAGCGAUAGUAGUUCCUGCAAUCUACUUUAUUAGUUUGUCUUCGCAAACCAAGCAGCACAAUCAACAUGUAAGUGCUCUUUCGAAAGUAAUGUAUGCGCGCAACCUUCGAAAGACGAGCACUUCACCAAUCUAAUAAAAAAUGAAAGGUCCUUUCAUUCAAAUCCUUGUGGAUGUGGAACGAACUCUGUUCGUAUAAGUUGAAAUUGAAUAGAUUUGCACUUGCUUAAGAGGUUUGACCUCUAGAGAUAUGUGCAUCUGAUGAGAGUAUGAUUCUUGUUUUUGUGUAUUGACAUGCCAUAUUAUACCUAAGAUUAAGAGUUUCACCUGGGAUUUGGGCUGCUUUUCACUGCUUUUUUCCCAUACUUCCUCCACUUGUAUCCAUCAUCUAAUAUCUCAAGCUCUGAUUUUGUUUUGAAUGCGACUUUAAAACUGCUGCUCCUCUUCGAAGAUCUCUUUCCGGCAUCCUUGCUUCUGCAUGAUCGAUCACAUAUGAAAUACCAAACACAUGGUAAAGUAAAUAUCGUUAAACAUCCAUGAAUCGAGUCUCAAGCCAACUAGUGUAAAGACUUGGCCUAAACACUUGCUUGUUGCAAUCUGUGAUCUUGGUUUUGUUGGCGGCGCAGUCGGCGGCCUGCACAAGAGGAUACCGGUGAACGGAUGGAUGGCUCAAAGAGGCCUCUUCGUGUCCGUCAUCGGCGAAGGUGAGAUAGUCGUCGACCUCAAACACCCCAUCUUCUGGCAGAGCGUUCUCAGAAGAAUUGGACGGCAUCGAAGAGGAAGAGGAAAACAUGAUGAGCAGUGAGAGCAUAAACUUAACCUCGACCGGCGGAAACUUCAUUCAGCGAAGCCCGAGCGAUCCUUCUUGCGCCAAGUCCGUCGGCCUUUUCUUGGGGACCUUCGUUGGCUUGGGGGCAAAGACUUGGUUGACUUGUGAGUCAAUCCACUGGUUGCGAGCAGUCUGCGUGGAAUACAGGUCAAGGCGCAGACUGGUCAAGAGAAUAUUGAAGUCCAAUCGUAUUCCGGCAUCGGUUCCUCCCUCCUUUAGGCCUUUGGCAUCAAACCAAUGGAGCCAAAAGGCGAUGCUUUUUGUUUUCACUAUGAAAGCUUUUGAGAAGUGAUCUUUCCGGCCCCCAUGACGCAGAAGAACAGGGAGUUGUAGACUUGGCCGAUCGACGACUUGCACGACGGACGAAACAAGUUCCUGCGAGGUACACAGGAAACCAAUCGAGCCCAUUAUUGUCCAGUCAAUGCGCAUGCGGUUGUGAUUUGGCAGUGGUUUCGAAGGACAAAGUUGUGGUACCCCCAGUCCUGCAUGCAUCAUGAAGGGUAGGCAAACAGCUCUCUCGAGAUACGUGUGCAAACAGUAGGAUUCCAAGCAGCUCAUUCGAUUCGAUGGCGGCAAGUAGACGUUAUGUCGCACAGGUUAAAUAUCUCAGUAUAAUUGGUAUCGCCAUCAUUUUACUGGAGACAGAAAAAUACGUAGAGUUCCAGGAUGUAGCCACUGUUGUUCGAUAGCAACUCCAUCCGCCAUCGCCUUGACUGAAUCCACCCAUCGUCCAUUCGCAGCGGACAAGGAUGUCCAACCACAACUCCAGCGACUAGUCCAAACGACUGCAUCUUUCUUUCAUGUCCACCAUCCUGUGGAACACGGCAUCCGUCCCAGCGCAAUCGGGAAGACGGGAGAGGAAGGGGCAGUUCCGUCGUAACGUAUUCCGUGUUCCAGUCGGGUUACUGUAUCCGUCGGUGACCUGUUGUAAUCGUCCUCCUCCUGCUCUGCCAGCCUCUACUUUAUACGACCGGCAUAUCGAUCCCGGAACGCUGGCGUGACUUGCUGGAAUUACCACAAACGAAACGCCCGCCAACGAGUUGCUCUCACGGCACCGCUCGUACAUACAAGAAUUCAAGUCCAACGCAGGAAGCGUGCUUCCGUGGUCAAACGAUAUUCCAGUACGUCCUGGUCGGUUGUCCCGUCAACCACGUGGAUAGAUCACGGUCGAUCGACGUUGGCCACGCUUCCCUGGUCGAUGACAUGGAUUGUGCCACGGAGAUAAGCUGCUGCUGCGCGCUGGUCAUCUGUUUUAGUUGACCAGGGCGCGCUUCUUUAGACUGGUGUUUGUAGACAGACACGACACACCAUCAUCGAGUGGGGAGGCACACGAGUCGCUUCGUAUGGUUGCGGCAAUGUAGAUGACGAAAGGAAAAUACAUAUACAUAUACAUGUAUAAGAUGGAUAUGUCGUUUGAUAACAUGAUUAGGGAAGAACGUGUGGCCUCAAUUAGGUGUCCACAUGUGCCCAGCUCAGUUCCCUUGAAGCGGCAUCAUUAUUACAUCAUCGCCAUGCCUCUCCUUGUGACACAUUGGGAUGCACCAUGAGUUUUUAAUGAUAUUGCAUGACUAACGUGUCUCUAUCACCAAGGCAACGAUAAAACUGUGUUGACUUAACUUCAAUGCUAGAAGAUGCUAAUUAUUAUUUUCUCAUGGUGUGUUUAUUUUGCUACUACAACAAUCAUAGACUCCGAUGAUAUAUGCCAUGAUGUAGCAUCUACUUAUAUCAUGUGAUUUAUAGAAGGUCCUCAUCUAUCAUGAUUCCUUCACCAUAUUGGUUGCAAUUGCCUUCGUAUAACAAGCUCUUAUGCAUCAAAGAAGAAAGUUAUCUCCUCCUUCUCUAGCUAUUUAUUAGACCAGGGAUUUAAACCUUCUAUUUUUUUCAUAAAGGAUACCUUCUUAAAAUAAAAGGACAAAAAAAAUAUAUUGAAAAGGGCAUAGUGGCCUCUCAUCAAAAGGCAUAGAGGAUAAACCCUUGCCAUGUGAAGAAGCCAAUAACUCCAAGAAAGAAUAAUAAGAAACAUCUUUCUUUCUACCUCUCUACCUUAUUAUAAAUAGUUCCUCUUGUUUGUUUCAUCUUGAGCUCAUAAAGAUAGAGCAACAAAACAACUCGAACAUUGAAGGGUUGCCCGUCAACCUUUGAUAUCUCUUCUUUGUUUGUGUUACAAGUGAGUCUUCAAGCUCCUAAUCCCGAUAGCAAAAAAUGAGGUAUUGUCGAAAUUCCUCAAACAUAGAACCGACUAUGAUUAGGUCAACAAAAUUAUUAGAUCAAUAUAUAUGUAAUAGACUUUCACCUUGUUAAAAUGUCCUCUUUGAUUAAAAUCAUCCUAUUUCCACCUUCUAUGAUUAUAACAAUCACCAUCAAUAUUAAAAAUUUUUUAAGACAAUCCCGAUUGAACAAAAAUUAAAGAAAAAAUAAAAGUAAACCAAAAAAAAAAAAUGAUGCUAGCUAUAGAUUAAUGAUAAAAAUGAGGACAAAAAAUAAUGUGAUAAUAGUAGAAAAUAGACAGCUAUAUUUAACAACUAAAUUUAUAUCGGUAUCGUUGGUGCCACCAAUCCUUUGUUCCGAUGUUAAAAUUCAAGACACUAAUAAAUGAUCAUACGUAACAUUUGGCUAUAUUUUGGAUCGGAUCGACCUUCUUUAGUAUCUUUUUUUUUUGUUGGAAUAAAACGAGGUCUUAUAAAAUAUUAAUAUAAAUUAGAUUAUUUUCUUAAUAAUUUAAAAUUUUAAAAUUAUUAAUCACAUAAUCAUAAUAUUGAUUGAUUGAUGAUGUAUCAUCCUCAAUAUUCCUCGAAUAGUAAUGAUGUUAUGUGACCAACAUAAAAUGAUAAUUACGACUAAAAUUUGAAAUCAUUGAAAUGUGAUCAAAAGUACCACGUAAUAGAAUAUUUUCAAUUAAUCAUAUUUUUUUAAUUAAAAUUCUGUUUAAUUAGUCAUGUAUCCAUUCCCCAUUCCUAGGUGGUGGACCCUCUUUAUCAAGGGUUUUUUUUUUUUGGCUUACGCUAAUUAAAUAUCCAUAAAAACAAAUAGUCGUUAAUCGGCAGGCAUAUGAAAUAAAUGAGCAAAAAACAAGUAAAGGGAAUACUUAAACCUUCAUCUUCUUCCUCCUUCAAAGUCUCUCGAGGAAUCGAGUGUGAGGAGCUCCAAAAUGCUAUUAAGUUAACGUAGAUUUAGAUUUUGGAACUUGGGGAGGGGAGGAUAGAUUAAAUGUCACUAACGGCUAUUUUCUUAUCCUUUCUUCCCUCCAUACAAAUCCAACUUCUUCGUAUGUAGAUUUAGGAUGAUUUUCUUAGAAAAUAUUUCAAUUGGUACUUGUCAUUAUAUUUUUUUAAAUAGUAUUCCUAAUUUAAAAAUAGCUAAACUAUCUUUUAAUUUUUUUAAAAAAAUAUUAGAAAACAUGUUUGAAAACACUAUAAAUAAUUUAAAUAGACUCAUAAUGUAACUUACGGUGUUCUUCAAUAAUAUUUAUAGUGUUUUAAGUACAUUAAUAAAAUAUUAUAAAUAUUAUUAAAAAAAAUAUAAAUGAGUCAAAUAUAAAUACUAUAAUAAUUAGAAAUCGAUAAAAGAAAAUUUGACAAAAAAAAAACUUAUGAAAUAUAUUUUACGUAUUUUAAAUUAGGAAUAUUAUUUGGGGAAAAAAAUAAAAAUGUAAUUUUGAAAAAUACUCAAAAUAUAUAUGUCUUUUUCUUUUUUAAAAUCACAGCCUAAAGAUUCUACCUGCAUGGGUGGGUGGAGCAAAGCCAGCGGAACACUCGGUGGGUGUUCGUGACCCUAAAGAACAAGUUCAGUUAUGUAUCGUCUCGGUAACUAUAUACACACUCCUGAAUCUACCCGGUCUGUCAACGAAGGCAGCUACGGGCCCACAUGCGUUCGCGGCAAGUAGUGACGGGGUAGGAAAAGCGACGCCAAUGGUUUCCAUUUACUUGAGAACAACUGAAUGGGAUGAAACGGGAGACACGACGGCAGACGGCAGCAAAGGAAGGGGUGGGUCAUGGAAGGGCAAAACAGUCAUUCGAGGUAAUGUGCAUGUCCGGGCGCCGACUGAUCCGAGCACGUUUCCGACAUUUGCUUCUGUUUUUUAGGAAAUGGAAACGAACGGCAACAACAAAAAGGAAAAGAAGAAAAAACAACAAACGAGUAAGCGAAUUUAAUUACCGUGGCGGUCUUUUAUUUUAUUUCUUUUCGCUGUUACAAGGGAAGCAAUGGUCGCGUCGCUCGAGUUUUUGUUGUAGGCUCUACCUGUUUUUGUUGGUGUGCACACCACGACGCCUCUGCUUCUCCCGGACGAACAUAGCGAGCGAGAUAAAGAAGAAGAAGAAGAAGAAGGAGAGGUGAGGGGGCAAGAGGGAAAGCGAUCGCCUCCGAAUCCUCCGAGUGCUAUCGGGGUUUCCUCCUUCCCCGUCCUCCAUCGCCUCCGAUCUCAUCGGUCGUCUCUCGAGGAGGAGGAGAUUCCGAUCUGAAUCGCUCGAUCCCGCGCCGAUGAUCCAUGGUACGGAGUCGCCGUCCACUCUUUAUGUUUUCUCGAAGUCUAAUUUCUUUUCUGAUCUUCUAUGUCUUUGUUUCCUUCUUCUGGAUAAGUCAAAUUUAUUUAGGACCGAGGAUACCUUCUCUCGGGUUCAGUUUCUUGUGUACUCCUCCCAGGAAUAACGGGCCUCCGUGAUUCUAGGGCUUAUGCUUGCACUGUAACGGCUCAUCAGAGGAUGAUUUGGUCCACCUGUAGUCUUAGAUGAUAUAAGCAUAUUAGAUAACGUGUCUCGAUGUGGAAUUCGCUGGUUAUACCCGUCGAAUGAAUUGGUCUUAAGUUGGGAAAAUAUCGAUCACGAUACACUGAUAAUAAUGCCUAAAACUGACGAAGCUAAGGAUACAACUAUUGCGGCAAUCGGUAACCACUAGAGAAAUGCAUGGAGGAGGUUGGUUUGGAAAUCGAGAUUGUUGGGACAAAUUGCUGCUGAAUUGCUUAUAAAGGGAAGAGUAAUGUUCUUCGUCAUUAGGUUCACCAGGUCUUUUUUACCAGCUUAGAGACUCAGAUAUGAGGUAGGUAUGUUGGAUCGUGUUGAAGUACGUUCAUCAAUUGCAACUUUUUAUCGGAUUCAAUAUGCCCUGACAAAAAGUUUGAGGGUUCGUGACAAAUGAAGAGAGAGUGAGUUUGCUUAUAGUGGCAUUUGAUCCAUUAUGCCACUAAAUUAUGGGCUUAACUGGUGCAUUAUGAAACAUGCCAUAGUGAUAUUAGUCUGUCUCUCUUUUAAUUUCUCUCGCAAAAGGGAGAUAGAUUCAAGGAUAUCAGAAUUCAAGGAGAUAAAUUCAAGGAUUAACUGUAUAUAUUUUUACCUCAAGAUGUCAACAGGAUAGGGAUUAAAGUGAUUUGAUUUCUGUACUUGAUGAUAAAAAAAGAUUUGUACAGUGGGCCUAGAAAUACUCGACUGAACAAAUGAAUUCUAAAGCAAAAGAUACUUCUUGAAAAUUUUUAGCAUAUAAAUUACAUGGGAGCAUGUUGUUAUUUUAAUAGAUUGUAUAAAAUGCAAGAGAAUGGUGAAGAACUUUUACGAUAUUUUAUUCAGAAUGAUCCUAAGAUUUGUAGUACGAUGCAAACCAAGAGGUGGGUUAAGGAAGUAAUAAGUUAAGAUAACUGAAAAUAAAAAAUGGUUGAGUUGCUGCCUUCUGCUUCUUGAUCUCCAUGAUUGCCCUUUCUGUUCAUAGGAUUCAUCACGCACUAGCUGCAGAUAUUCUGUACAGGUUUUGCCUUCGCUUUCUUUUCUUGCGAGCUAUUCAGAUAGAUAUGCAGUUAGUUGGUCUAUUCUGCGCAAGAGAAGAAUAACUUAGUUGAGUUGCUGUCUUCUGCCUCUAGAUUUCCACCACUGGCCUUUCUGCCUGCAGGAAUUGUCAUCUACUAGCUGCUGACAUUCUCAACAGUCUUUUUCUGUCAUUUUUCUCCCAAGAUGCUCUAAUUGAUGUGUGGUUUUGUGACCUAAUCUCCCACCAACAUGCCUAAUUUUAGAUGAUUGUUUUUCCAACUUCUGCUACACUAACUCAAUAGUUCUGCCUGACCACGGGGACCUGCCCAUGUUGCCUCUAGCUAAGGUGGUGCAUUCUAGUUGUCUUUAAUAGGUUGUAAACUAAUAAUGGGUUAAGCUGCAUCCACAGUCCUCCACUUAUUGGCUAAGUACCAUUGGCUCUAUAUGUGGUUGCCUGGACCGCCUUUUCAGUACAGUCAAAGGAAGCAAAUAUUUUAUAAGAUCUUUACUAACUUCUAGCAUUUUUUCUAUAAAUUUCAGAUGUAAAUACUUGAGAUUUUUAAGAAUUAAUGACCUCAGAUUCUUUUGUUUGAUAUAUAGUUUACAUAUUUGUUAUUCAGAUUUGGAAGAAAUAUGGUAUCAUGCAAUAUGAUUAAUUAGAAAAGAUAUAUGUUCUCUGGUUACUGAAUUUCAUGUUUUCAUGCCACAUGAUACUGAAUCUGUACAUGCCUUUGACUUAUAUGUCUGACCGAUAAUGCAUAUGCAGGCAAGUCUAGAUAACAUCAUUGUGGGAUCUCAUGUCUGGGUUGAAGAUCCAGUUCUGGCUUGGAUCGAUGGAGAGGUUUUUAAGAUUAAUGGUAAUGAGGUUCAUGUGCACACAACAAAUGGGAAAACGGUAUGUGUGCAAAGUAUUUUUCGGUUCAUUUUAUUCUCAUGAAAAUCCUUGUCAUCAAUAUUGUCAUUGUUUGUGUCAAUGUAAACUUUGACUAGCCUUUGACACCUAUGGAGUGCCUAUCUAACUUGUGUCAGUUCUUUUCAAAUUUCUUAUUUUUUAAUGAAGAAUAUGAUAUUAGCCCAUCUAUUCAUUUUUAUAACCUAAGUAAUACAUUCUAGUAAUUUGUCCUGCUGCAAGACUUAAACAUGUCUUCUAUUACAUUGUUACUUUGUAAAUAACUAUCCUUUUUUAUAACAUUUCUGGGUUAUAUUAUUUAUUAGAUUAUUUUCCUUUUUGUUGUGUUUACAUGUGUGUGUGUGUGUGUAUAUCUAUGUUGGCCUAGGUGAAUUAGUAAUUGGUGAUAUAGUUAUUUGGUUUGCUUGGGUAACAAGGGAGGGGUUGGAUGGACAACAACCUCUAGGGAAACUGGAGAGAAUAAAGAAGAUGGUAGUGAUAACCUGUCUUGCAUAUGAGGAAGUAAUUUCAGUUUAAUAGAAAAGUGGGAGAAUCGUAAUUAACUUGAAUCAAGGUUUGAGGAAUUUAGUUGCAACAGUAGAAUUUAGAGUUAUAGUCAUGUCAACUCUGUUUAGUCAACUAAAUCAGAUCAAUCAAUUGAAUUUGCCAGGAUGGGCCUGGAUCAGUAGGUAUGCACUGAAGCUAGUUUUGUCAGCUGGUGGCAGUUGAGAAGAGUGGAGAUGAAUUGGAAGGUGUGAAAAUGGAUUUGAUGUUGGAACAACCACAUCCUUAUCUAUUUUUAACCAACAGAUGCAAAUACCUCACAAAAAUCUUUUAGUAACCAUAUAAAUUUAGAUUCAUAAAGAUAUGUAUUGGAUAUAUAUAAUGGAUGUGUUUGAAUUGGGUUUUAGGUCGAUAUAGAUGUGAAAACUAUAGAAAUCAAAGAAAACAUGAAAAUAAACAAAAAAGAAAUCAAUUCAAAUCUAUCAAUCAUGUUUAUUUAAUUAACAACUUUAAAGCAAAUGCAAAAAUGAAAAUGAGGAAUGAGAAAAAAAUUACUACGUAGGAAAUAGAAAUCAGAUAACAAAUUUUCUUUAGAUAAUAGAGGUAAAAUUUUCGAGUCCAGGAUCUUGCAAUAAUGUAAACAUAUCCAGCUCCACAUGAAGAUGGUAAUGGAUUUUACAUACAUUGGCCUAUCUAGUAUCUCCCCUUCAUCAUCCAGAUUCAGUUUUUGGUUGAUUUUAACUGAUUUGUGGCUGAUUACCUAAUUGUAUUUUGUUGUUUAAGCUAAAUCACGACCAUAAAAAUAAAAUGAUCCUUUUAUAUAGUGCAGAUAAUGGUCAACUAGGAAAGAUUUGUGGACUUCAAUUUUUUUUAAGAAGCUCCUAUUAGUAGUGCUUCUUAGAUAACACAUUUCUACUUACUAAAACAAUAACUUUUGUACCUUGAUAAGAGUUUUUAUAUUGCCUUCUCAUCAAAUAACAUAGUGCUGCUGUAAUCAUGAACUUGAUUUUUCCAUGGCUUCUGUGCGUUCUAUACCACAGUACUAAAAAAGAAUUCUCAUUGCCCAUUGCCCAUUGCUGCUCUAUCUUUUUGCUUGCAGACAGUCUAAUAAGCUCAAGAACCAUCUCUAAUUCUGUACUUGGGCAUAUAUAUUUCCAGAAAAUAAUUAUACUCGAAUGCCAAUAUAUUGAACCAUCUGUAGUUCUCUACCUGGACAGAGUUCUCUACUUGGACAUAAACUACUUCCACAAAAUAAUAACACUCAUUUGCAUGCCAUUAAAUUUUAUUUUACUCUUUUCUGAUAUCAACAAGCAGUAUACUGACUCCCAUGGUUUCUAGAAAUUAGUCAUCUGAUUUAGGGUUUGUUUCUUGGACACUGUAAAGCCAGAGGAAGUAAUGAGGUGAUUAACAUACUUUGGCCUCAUUAUCAUUGUAUUUUUUAAAGAAUCAGAAGUUAUACAAUGCUCUCUGUUAGCAUUUUUAUGCACAAGAUUUCCCUUCUACAAGAGCUUCCUUGUAUUUGUAUAUGUCUAUGUGCACAAUGAAAAAAGUAAGUGUCAGCACGACAAGAGGCUCCAGGUCAGUAUCAUGCCAGCAUGGUAUGACAUUACUGGUAUGAUUAGAGAUUUAUAAUUUUAGAUGGUAAGAUGAGCUCAAUGCAUGCUAUCAAAGUUGGAAAUAAUAUUUGUGUGGGUCCAAACCUAUACAUCUUAUUAGUUCCUUGAUUUCAAAUUUCUACUUUUGGUUGUUUUGGCAGUAUUACUAAUCUAGGUAGUUCUUCAGUUAGUUGUUCUUUUACUAUUGGCACUUAAAUAUUCACUGAAUUGUGAUUAUCUUUCUUCACAUGCAGGUUGUGGCAAACAUAUCUAAAGUGUUUCCCAAGGAUACAGAAGCUCCACCUGCUGGAGUGGAUGAUAUGACAAAAUUAUCAUACUUGCACGAACCUGGAGUAUUGCAGAAUCUUGCGACACGUUAUGAACUUAAUGAAAUAUACGUGAGCUGCUCAUAAUAUUCACUGUUUUUAUGUUGAAUGCUAUUGACUAAUAAAAGUUGUCUAUGCACUCUAACUCCGUAAUUCUUUGGCUUUGUCAGACAUACACUGGAAAUAUCCUGAUCGCCGUGAACCCAUUUCAAAGAUUACCUCAUCUCUACGAUACCCACAUGAUGGAGCAAUAUCAAGGGGCAGCUUUUGGGGAGCUAAGUCCUCAUGUUUUUGCAGUUGCAGAUGUUGCUUACAGGUGAUAUUAAUUGUAUUCACAACAUAAUAAAGAGAGUAUCUUCUUUUACAUGGGUUUAUUUCUAUAUGGAAACAGGGCUAUGAUUAAUGAAGGGAAAAGAAACUCCAUCUUGGUUAGUGGAGAAAGUGGUGCUGGUAAGACUGAAACAACUAAGAUGCUUAUGCGAUAUCUGGCAUACUUGGGUGGACGAUCUGGAAUAGAAGGAAGGACCGUCGAACAACAAGUGUUGGAAGUAAGAUAUGAUAAACUUGUUUUUCAGUGUUUGAUUAUUAACAUUUACUUCUUAUUUUACUCAUAGCAAACUACAUAGAUAGGUGUAGUUUGGACUGAUAUCUAUCAUCAUUCUCUCAGUCCAAUCCAGUUCUUGAAGCUUUUGGCAAUGCCAAAACUGUUCGAAACAAUAACUCAAGGUAACACUAUUUUAGUAUUCUUUCCUUUUUGGACAAGUAUUUUCUUUUCAUGUCAAGCAUUAGUAAUGUGGCGUUUGAUCAACAGUCACUUUGAUGCAUCUGUUGAAAAUUGAGACAAAUGUUUAAUCAGCUGUGAAUAAUAUGUUUCACAUUAUUUUGGUAUCAUAUUAACAGUAACUUUGGUUCAUCUGUCGAAAAUUGAGAUAAAUGCUUGAUCAGCUGUAUAUAAUAUGUUUCACAUCAUUUUGGUACCAUAUUUGCUAUGUUCAAAUAUCUAAUUUGUCUUUCUUGUUUUUGUUCAUCCAAUAUCGAUUUAGUCGGUUUGGUAAAUUUGUUGAGAUCCAAUUUGACAAUAACGGAAGGAUAUCAGGUGCUGCUAUUAGAACAUACUUACUUGAAAGAUCUCGUGUCUGCCAAAUUAAUGAUCCUGAGAGAAACUAUCAUUGUUUUUACCUUCUCUGUGCUGCACCUCAUGUGGUAUGUAUGCCCUGCCAUUGUUUUUAAAUGGGUUAUGUUAAUUCUUGGAAUGGACAUUAUAAAAUGUUUACCUAUGUGGCAGGAGAUCGAGAAGUAUAAGUUGGGGAGUCCGCAAUCAUUUCAUUAUCUUAACCAAUCCAAAUGCUUCAAAUUAGAUGGGGUUGAUGAAGCUCAAGAAUAUCUAUCUACCAGAAGGGCCAUGGAUAUAGUUGGGAUCAGUGAGCAUGAACAGGUAUGCUUCUUUAGUUUAUUCUAAAGUAAGUUGGUUCUUUAAUUCUGAACAUUGUUAUUCAAUUGUAUUGUUUAUAUUCAGGAGGCAAUAUUCAAGGUUGUAGCUGCCAUACUUCAUAUUGGAAAUAUUGAUUUUGCUAAAGGGCCAGAAAUAGAUUCAUCUGUUAUCAAAGACGAGAAGUCAAGAUUUCAUCUUAACAUGGCAGCCGAACUUCUGAUGUAUGCCCAAGUUAUCUGUUUCUGUUCUGUGAAAAAUUAUUCUUUUACCAACAUGGCAUGAAAUAAUGUUUAUGUCAGGUGUGAUGUCAAGGGUUUAGAGAAUGCAUUGAUAAAACGUGUCAUGGUGACCCCUGAAGAAGUUAUUACAAGAACUCUUGAUCCUGCUUCCGCAAUUGUCAGCAGGGAUGGUUUAGCAAAAACCGUCUAUUCCCGACUAUUUGAUUGGUAAGAGCUCUGUCUUGUUGUGAAAAUCCUGGCACUGGUCCUUUAUGAUAGUGCAAUUAAUCAUUUGAUUGGUCACACUCUAUACAGGCUUGUAGACAAAAUAAAUGUAUCAAUUGGGCAGGAUCCAAAUUCAAAGUCACUGAUUGGAGUUCUUGAUAUAUAUGGUUUUGAAAGUUUCAAAUGUAAUAGGUAAUCCAUCAAUAGGAAAAUGCAAUCACAGUUUUGCUUUCAGGGAUUACGGAUGGUUAAACAUGAUAAUUGAUGAUUCUUAUCUUUUGUCUUGUUCUCAAAACAGUUUUGAACAGCUCUGUAUCAAUUAUACAAAUGAAAAGCUGCAGCAACAUUUCAAUCAGGUUUUCCUAAAGCUUUUUACAUAAUUUUGUAGAUUGAAUUAAUUAUAGGUUCAAUUUUAACACAUGAUGCCAUGUCCAGCAUGUCUUCAAGAUGGAGCAAGAGGAGUAUACCAAGGAGGAGAUUAACUGGAGCUACAUAGAAUUUGUUGAUAACCAAGAUGUUCUGGAUUUGAUUGAGAAGGUUUAUCAUUUUUUGUCAUAAUUUUAUUUUGAUUUGUGAUUUUUUGCAGAAAUUGGUGAUUUUGUUUGGUAGCAUCUUGAUCAGAUUCAUUAUUUAUGCAUUUACAACAACUAUACUUUUUUUAAUGGGUAAAAUUGAUAGGACAAUGUCCAGAGAACAUAUGGGUCAAGAAUGAGUUUGGUAACCUCGAAGAACAUAUCUGUAUUAGAAAAUCAAUUUAGUUUUUAAGCCCAAGCGUUUCAUCUUUGUUAACCAUGAAACUGUAUAAGAUUGAUAAUAUCAUAAUAGUGUUUGGUGGGGAACAGUAGGAUACACAUAAAUUUCAUGGAUGGAUGAAAACAUCCUUUCAGCUGUGAAUCCUUUUUGUGGUGGUAUAAUUUGCUCAAGAAAGCAUAGAAAAGAUAAAUGUUCUUUUUAACUGCUCAUGUACUGGUUUAUUCCAUUGAGGAGUAGGAGGUUGAUCCAACACUAUUUGAUUUCAGCUCUAUUGGAUAUUUUUCCCUGCCACUGAGCUCUUUUGAUGACAGUCAAUCCAAGAGUCUUAAUGUACUUUCAACAAUAUGCCAUUCGAUAUAAUGCCAAUGUGAAUGUGUGGCAUUCUUUUGAUCAUAUAGAAGUGAUUGGAUGUUAACAUUACCAGAUCUCUUUCUAUACUAUAGCUACUAAUUAUCCACUUUAUCAACCCAGUGCAGUUCUGGUAUAAAAAAUCUCAAUUUCUAUACCAGUAUGAUCAUGCUGCUCUUUAGUGAAAUGACAGUGCUAGCCCUAACAUAUUGGUGCACUAUGUCCAAUGACAGAGCAUUAGUCUUACUUUAUCGUGUUCUGUCUCUGUUCUACAAUAACCAUUGGUGCACCCAUUUUGUUGAACACAAAACUUGUACUAUCUGGUAUAAUCAUAUGGAUAAUCCUCCAACUUUCCUGCAAUAUUUGUCUUUAGCUUCAACAAAACUGUUGUCGGUGGAUGAUACAAGUCUGCAAGUGCAAUCUGCCAAUUCUAUUACUUGACAACUGUGAUCCUACUGAUUUUUGUACGUCAAUUUGAACGCCUAACAAAUUCAACUACUUGACAAUAUACCAAAUAUCUUUUAACGAAUGUGGAUAUGUUGUUUCUGUGCAGUACAGUUUAAUGUGAAUGAAGUAAUAAGGUAGUAACACAAGGCCCUGAGUGCAUUUGCAACAUUUAAUGCCCAGACUUUAGCAUGUCAGUUCAGAUGCAUAUUGAACUCAACUACUUGAUGUUAUUUGUCAUAAGUCUUUUCUUAUAUGUGGAAUUAUAGAAUUGGCUGUAUGUAAAGCUGGAAGGCACAAUAUAUAUGACCCUGAGUUUGCUUUCAAUUUUUUUAAACAAAUUUUCUUUUGGCUACCAACUUACUUGCCAUUAUGACGACAAAUAUUUUAUUUCAGAAACCUGGAGGAAUAAUUGCGCUUCUUGAUGAAGCCUGGUAUGUGUUGAUUGCUUCCCUUGUUUUGGUACAAAACCAUUUUUCUACUUGGAAGGAAAUUCUAUCAAGUAACAUUAGGAUUCUUAUAUGUCCAUAUGCAUCUAUUCUAAAGUAACUUUUGAUUUAUCCUACAUUUCUUGCUUGAUUCAGCAUGUUUCCCAAGUCAACACACGAGACAUUUGCUCAAAAAUUGUAUCAAACAUUCAAAAACAACAAGAGGUUUAUAAAACCAAAACUUUCUCGCACAAACUUUACAAUUGGCCAUUAUGCUGGAGAGGUAAGUAUUCAUUUUUUGAAUAUGCUGAAGUACUUUUAUUGAAUCUUCCUUUGAUUGGAUUAAUAUAUCUAUUAUCUAUCCUAUCUACUUAGGUAACAUAUCAAGCUGACUACUUCUUGGACAAAAACAAAGAUUAUGUUGUGGCAGAACAUCAAGAAUUAUUGAAUGCUUCCAAGUGCCCAUUUGUUUCGGGUUUAUUUCCACCACUUCCUGAAGAGACAUCAAAAUCUUCCAAAUUCUCUUCCAUCGGAGCCCGCUUUAAAGUAAUAUUUUUUUUUCUGUUCAUAUAUUAUUUUCUGUAUGUUACAAAUAAUAUUAUUUUUCUAGUAAUUGUUUUCUUAAACUCAUGUGUGAAAUGACCUGCUUACUCUUCUUUAGUAGUGAAUCCUUGUGCAGAGGUAAUAUUUACGAGUGAAUGUCACCCUGUGAUUCAACAACUGUCAUCAAGUAGAAACUGCAUGGCACAUAACUACACAUGGGUUAACUUAAUAUUUCUGGUGUCCAUUGAAUUUUUUUUUUUUGCAUUUAUAGAUGGAAAUUUUUUAUACUGAUUGAGUAAUAGGUGAGAUUUUCUAAUAGGAUCAUCAACCUUGUGCUUUUAUCCAUGGGAGGGCAUCUAUGAGUGUAGACAUACAUAAACUUGCAAUUUUUUUAAAAUUUUGUGCUUCAGUGUCUACAAGAAAGAUGUGUACAAUGACUUUUAAGUUGAUUUGCUUAGUUAAUUAGUUACAAAUACACUUCUCUUUUUGACUUGUGAUCUUACAAAAUCUCAGCUACAACUCCAAUCGCUGAUGGAAACCUUGAACUCAACUCAACCUCAUUACAUCAGAUGUGUGAAGCCAAAUAAUGUCCUCAAACCUGCUAUUUUUGAGAACUUCAAUGUUAUCCAACAGUUGCGAUGUGGAGUAAGUCCCAUCUUACUACAAUUGACUUGUAAUUCUUUUUGAUAUUAUUUUCAAUCAUCACAUAAUCUUUUACCAUUUUGCUUUGGCUUCUUCACACAUCUAGGGUGUUCUUGAAGCAAUCCGGAUCAGCUGUGCUGGAUAUCCGACUCGAAGAACAUUUUAUGAAUUUCUCCUUCGAUUUGGUCUUCUUGCCCCAGAUGUUUUGGAAGGAAAGUAAGCCUUUGUAAAUCUGUAAAAUGAAUUUUGAAUUAUCUCUAAAUUACGUGGUGUUGUAUGUAUAUGAGCUUAAUAUUUUAACGCACCUGCUUUUGAUCUUUGUAAAUCUGGAUAGCUGUGAUGACAAGAUUGCUUGCCAAAAGAUUCUGGACAAAAUCGGAUUGAAAGGUUACCAGGUAAGACCAUUGUUACCAGAUGUUUUUUGUUUUCUUUUUUAUGAUGUUCAAUUACUACUCUACAGGGACAGCUUUUGGAUUAACUUAGUAAGCUGAGUAUGUCAAAGAAUGUAACAUAGAAAAUUCUCUUUAGACAUUUAUAAGAAUGGGCAGAAUCUAUGAGGAAAAAGAACUGCAUUACAUCUUCUCUUAGUUAUACACUAAAGGCUACUGAUGUUUUGGGUCCCUUUCUCCUUAAAAAUAUAGAGAAUAACAAAUUUUCUCCAUUGAAAAUGCUUUUUCUUAUCAACCUACAUCUUUUAAUUUGUUCUACUCAAAUUCAUUGAGAAUUUUUAUUUGAGCAUGUCUUUUCUCACAUUGUGUAUCACCGUCAUGGGCAGCUAGGCAAGAGCAAAGUGUUUCUGAGGGCUGGCCAGAUGGCUGAACUGGAUGCUAGACGAGCAGAGGUACUUGGAAGAGCAGCUAGAACAAUUCAGAGGCAAAUCCGUACAUAUAUUGCUCGUAAAGAUUUCCUUAAACUACGGAAAGCAGCUAUUCAUCUGCAGUCUUUAUGGAGAGGUAUGGUUGAGAUAUUAUAAGAUUGGUACAUCUUUUCCUUAUCAUAAGAAAGGUUACCCUAAGACUAAGUUGUGCUUGUUCUUUCUUUCAAUUGGAUGUGCUAUCAUUCAUUUGGAAGUCCUGUGAUCUAGUUAUUAAGUCUGAAUCGUUUGGAUUUUGAUUUUUCUCUUGUGCAUCAGUAAAAAAAGUCUUUAUUUGUGUUCUCAAUUUGGUUAAAUUCAGGGAGAUUGGCCUGUAAGCUUUAUGAGUAUAUGAGACGUGAAGCAGCAGCAGUCAAAAUUCAAAAGAAUCUGCGUCAAUAUUUUGCAAGGAAAUUGUAUACAACACUUCGAUCAUCAGCAAUUAUUUUGCAAACAGGCUUAAGGGCAAUGACUGCACGCGAUGACUUUAGAUUUAAAAGGCAAACUAAAGCUUCAAUUUGUAUUCAGGUGUCUUAUUCUCUCUUUGCUGGAAACAGCUUCUAAAACUUUAGCUACAUGGUUUUAUGUUGUUCUGAAAGAGAAUCUAUAAUACAUCACUUCAUAAAUGAGCUGGCAUGUAUGUUUUUUAAUUUCUUAAUCUACCAAUUGUUCAUUUGGACUAUGAUUUAAACAUAUUUUGUCCUUUGCUUCAGGCUCGGUGGCAUUGUCACCGAGAUUAUUCUUACUACAAGAGAUUGCAGAAGGCAACGCUUACUUAUCAGUGUGCUUGGAGACAAAGGCUUGCAAGAAAAGAGCUUAGAAAGCUAAGAAUGGUCUCUUCUUAACUCUGGAUUUCUGAAUUUCUCCAAAUAAAAUGAAGCUUAUACAUAACCUAGUUGUUAACUCAAAUUUCUGCAGGCUGCUAGGGAAACAGGAGCCCUAAAAGAAGCGAAAGACAAGCUUGAAAAGCGUGUGGAGGACUUGACAUGGCGUUUGCAGCUUGAGAAACGACUAAGAGUAAUAAUCCUUUCUAAAUAAUUCUCCAUGCGAUACGUUGGCACUUUAUCUAUUCUUCUGUUUAGUAUUCUGUGCUUGUUGAUGAGUUGCGAGAUAACCUGCUUGACUCCAAUAUGCAGACUGAUCUGGAGGAGACAAAGGCACAAGAAAUUGCUAAACUACAAGAGAUGUUGCAUGAGACGCAACUGCAGGUAGAAGAAUCAAAGUCCAUGGUUAUCAAGGAACGUGAGGCUGCACGCAAGGCUAUCGAGGAAGCACCUCCUGUCAUAAAGGAAACCCCUGUUUUGGUUCAAGAUACAGAAAAGAUCAAUGCAUUAACUGCUGAAAUUGAAAACCUGAAGGUAGGACCAACAAACUCAUUCAGACAUUAGAUCUCUCUCUAUAUAUGGUGUCCUGGGUUCUGAAUCAGGACCAUGUGCAUUAGGAGCGAGAAAAGACAGGAAAACCAGGAAUUGUAGACAUUUGUAUGCUGAUUAAUGAGAACCUCUAUUGUAUUUACCAUUAUAGUACGUUAUGUUCUACAAAUUACCUGUGUUUAAAUUAGAUGCCUGCUAAAUGAAUUACUUUGUUGUUCACUCUGAAUUAUGUAGUAAUUUUGUUUUUAUUCUCUUAUUAUCAUGACAGGCUUUAAUGCAAACAGAAAAGCAGGCAACUGAUGCAGCCAAUAAAUCAUUGGCUGAAGCUCAGGAAAGAAAUAAUGAACUACUCAAGAAAGUUGAAGAUUCUGAGGCAAGAGCUGAGCAACUUCAAGACACUGUUCAAAGGUUUCUGAUUUAGUGAUCUUUUUUUUUGGGGGGUUUUAUCUCCAGCAAUUUAGGUAUCAUUUUGGAUAAAUGUAGAUGGAAUGCAUGAGAAUUUUAAAAUUUUAUGUUAUAAAUACUAUAAGAAGCUAAAACCAGUUACCAGUCAUAUGUCCUGAAGAUUUGCUUCAAUAACAUGAGGUAAUAGUUGUAUCUUCUUUCCGAGCACAGGCUUGAAGAGAAAGUAUCAAACUUGGAGUCAGAAAAUCAAGUACUACGUCAACAGGCAGUUGCCAUUUCACCAACCACCAGAGCAUUAACUACACGCCCAAAAACAACUAUCAUCCAGGUGCCUUUCAUCCUUAAUGCUUAUACUGUUGUUUUGUUUAGUGUAUAUGGAUGUCUUGCUUAUGCUAUCAUAUUAUUGUGCCUUUGUUACAGAGAAGCACAGAAAAUGGGAAUAUUCUGAAUGGUGAAUCAAAACUUGCUUUGGUAAGCAUAAUAAUUGAAUUCUAAUGAGCAUUCGGCUUCUGUGAUAUCGAAUGUCAUUCCCGAAAAAGAUAGGUAAAUUAACCUGGAUGAUUCUCCUUACAUAAAAACUGUAGGAUCUUAGUCCUGGUAUACCUAGUUCCAAGGAGCUCCAAAAUGAUGAUAAACCACAGAAGUCACUCAAUGAAAAGCAGCAGGUAUAAUUUUAGUUAAUUUUUAAAUAGAAGCCAUUCAGUAAAGAUGCUUUAAUAUUUGUGCAUCUUGUUGAUAUUGAAUUUUGUCACAACUUCUUGUUCGAUCAUGCUGAUUACAUCCAUCUAUUUUUUCACAAUGCUGUUUUCCAGGAGAACCAGGACUUGCUUAUUGAAUGCAUCUCUAAGGACCUAGGAUUCUCUCAGGGUAGGCCUAUUGCUGCUUGUCUCAUCUACAGAUGCCUUCUUCACUGGAGAUCCUUCGAAGUUGAAAGAACUAGUAUUUUUGACCGUAUAAUCCAAGCAAUAGGCUCAGCUAUUGAGGUAUGAAAAACCUUUUUAAUUGUUGCUGGGACUUUAUUGUGUUUCGUCAUAUGUGAAUAAGGAAUUUAAUGCAUUUACAAUUUUGUGUUAGAUUUGUGACCACUCUAUGCAACCUCAACAAUCUUUCAUGUUUACCUAACCCAUAUUAGUGAAACUGCUACAUGAUCUUAUUCAUAGUUCCGUGCCUGUUUUUUAUUUAACUAAAAUUUCAACUUGCAUAUCUGAAAGGCCCAGGAUAACACUGAUGUCUUAUCCUACUGGUUGUCCAAUUCAUCUACUUUAUUGUUACUUCUCCAACGGACACUAAAAGCAAGUGGAACCGCAAGUUUGACUUCACAGAGGCGUCGAGCAUCAGCUUUGUUUGGGAGGAUGUCUCAAGUAAGGCAGCAGAACCUUUUUCCCAGAAGAAGAUGAUGAGUGUUUUCACUAUGGUUUCCUUCUAAUUUUUCGUUGUUUAAUGUGUUUUUAUUAAUUUCCCUGCAUUUUAAGGGGAUUCGAACUUCUCCUCAAAGUGCUGGGCUCUUUUCUUUUAAUGGCCGCAUGAUGGGUGGAUUGAGUGAUUUGCGUCAAGUUGAAGCAAAAUAUCCUGCUCUGCUUUUCAAGCAGCAGCUUACUGCUUUUCUCGAGAAAAUUUAUGGAAUGAUCAGAGACAAUCUAAAAAAAGAAAUAUCUUCACUGCUUGCCUUGUGUAUCCAGGUAUGAAGAAACUUUUCAUAUAUUUGUGCUUGAAAUUUUGUUAAUAUUGCUAACCAUGCAGGCACCAAGAACAUCUCGUGCAAGCUUAUUGAAAGGGUCACGAUCUCAAGCAAAUGCUAUGGCCCAGCAGGCACGAAUCGCGCAUUGGCAGAGUAUUGUGAAAAGCUUAACCGACUACUUGAAAAUACUGAAAGCCAAUUAUGUAAGUUUUGUAGUGGCAAUCUAUUUAAUUUCAUAAAUGUUUAGCAAAACUUUUGGUCCUUAUCCUUUUUUCACCACUCAGGUCCCUCCAUUUUUAGUCCGCAAGGUGUUCACCCAAAUCUUUUCGUUUAUAAAUGUUCAACUGUUUAACAGGUACGUCAAGUUUAAAUGUAAAUUCCAUGCCACUAUUUUUGUAGUCAUGUGAACUUUCUUAUUGAAAAGAAUAAUUUCCUUUUUGUGCUCUUUAUAUAGCCUUCUGUUGAGGCGUGAGUGCUGUUCAUUUAGCAAUGGGGAAUAUCUCAAAGCAGGAUUGACUGAGUUAGAACACUGGUGCUAUGAUGCAACCGAAGAGGUGGAAUCCUUUGAUCUCAGUCAACUUUUAUCAAGGCAUUGAACUAAAAUAUCAUUUGCACACAGUAUGCAGGUUCUGCCUGGGAUGAGUUGAAGCAUAUUAGGCAGGCUGUUGGUUUCUUGGUAUGUUGUCUUUUAUGAAGAACACAGCUGUUGACAGCUAUUGAAGAAGGUUCAAUAUUUUUAAUUUUUAAUUUUUGAGAAACAUCACACAAUAUAUUCAUUGAUCCAGGUUAUACAUCAGAAGCCGAAGAAGACCUUGAAGGAGAUAACCAAUGAUUUAUGUCCAGUUUGGGCCACUACUUUGACCUGUUAUUAUGUUAAAAACAUGGAGUCAUUUAGUUAUCAUACCCAUUUUGAACUGUUAUCUGAUUCUGUUUUCAGGUGCUUAGCAUACAACAGUUAUACAGAAUCAGUACGAUGUACUGGGAUGACAAAUAUGGAACACACAGUGUAUCGUCGGAGGUAAGUUUUGAAUUCAGUUUAUUGAUGUGGUCAGACUAUCAUCUAAACAUUUAUAUCCUACUUUUUAGGUCAUUUCAAGUAUGAGAGUUAUGAUGACAGAGGAUUCAAAUAGUGCAGUUGGCAGUUCGUUCUUGUUGGAUGAUGAUUCCAGGUCAUUUUUUAAUAAACAUGUUUAAGUUCUUUGUGUUUUUUUUUUAUAUUUUGGGGGCGCGAGUGGGUGACGGUGGUUCAGGAAUAGGAAAAUCUAAGCUGGAUUUAUUCUUCAUCAAUUUGUCGAUGCAGCAUACCUUUCUCUGUGGAUGAUAUUUCCAAGUCAAUGACCGAGAUAGAGAUAGCAGAUGUUGAUCCGCCACCUCUGAUUCGUCAGAAUUCAGGCUUUGCUUUUUUGCUACAGAGAAAGGAAUAGUAAUUCUCAUCGCCAAGUGUUCCAGUUCUCAACCAUUCAGCAAGAUGUGCAUACUCAUCUCGUAAAUAUGAUGUUAUUCUACUCGUGCCAAAUUGGCUGGUGUACCAAGGGUAGAUGAUAGAUUAUCAUUUUAGUAUUUGUGUUUGAUUUGUUGAUUUGUUUUUGUGAAUUUAUUUUUUCCAGUUGUAUUUAUUGGUGAAUAGCUCUGGGCUGCUAUUGGGAAUGCUCAGUGUCUAUUAUUAGGUAGUACGAGGGUGCUGCAUCAACAAACAUUUAGAAGUUGCAUUCGUCUAUGCUCUGUUGGUAAUGUAGUUGGCAAUUGAAGCAACAAUAGAAACAUUCAAAAGGUUAAUCUUUUGUUGUAUGUUGAAGGUCUUGUAGAUGCAAUUAUGCCUAGUCUUUACAACACUAGCAAUUUCUUAACUGUGGUAUAUACUCAAUUGUGACUAAAGGGAGGAGGUGGAGGAAGAAGUUGAGAGGAGAGGAAGGGAAGGGAGGAGAGAAGAAGAGCUGGUGGAGGGGCGACGCACUGAACCGGUUCAGAAUAUAUAUAUAUAUAUAUAUAUAUAUAUAUAUAUAUAUAUAUAUAUAUAUAUAUAUAUAUAUAUAUAUAUAUAAGAUUUGAAUAGGGGGAUGAAACUGAAUUUUUUUUAUUAAAAAAGUAUCAUGGAUAAGUUUUCAAUGUGGAUGCCAAGUCAAUUAGUAGGAUUUUUUAAAAAUUAUAUAUAUAAAUUGCUCUUACGUGGUAAACAAAAGCUUUCAAUACAUAAUUCGUUUCAGUGAACAGCCGCAUAUGGUUAAUGUCCCUUCAACGAAGGAGGAGUAAUUGCUGGCCCAUUCGAAAAUAUACUGACAAAUUGAAAAGAAAAUAUAAUUUGUAUUCUCUAUCCGGAUAUCCUUAUAGCCUGUAGUCGAAUAAAAAAAAGGUGUGAGUAAAUGUAUUAUUAUGAGACGAUUUAGAACCUAUUGUAUUUAAAAUUAUAUUUUAAAUACACAUUGGCAAAAUUGUAGGUCAAAAAGUCCAUUGAAUAUUUUGUGAUAAAUUUAUCCUUCUAAUUUUUAAAUAUUUAUUUUGAAAUAAAUAUAUUUUUGUUUAAAUAAAUAAAAUUUAUAAAAAAAAUUGUAUGGCCCGAAUAUAUAAUAAAUAAAAAUAAAAUCAUGUAAAUAAAUAUACAAUAAUAUUUUAAAAUAAAUAAUUAAAAUAUAAUCUUAUAGAAAAUAUAAGUCAGGUUGAUUUUUCACUAAAUCAUCAUGGCAAUCUUGUAAUUUUACUCAAAGUCAUAGGUACUUAUGAAAUUUAAAAAUUAUAUUAGCAUCUCGUAAAUGUUGAAGUGCUAAUAUUACUAUGAGAUAUCAUUUGAGCAUUUUAAAUGUAACAUGAGAUUUGAAAAAAAAUUAUUAGGUUUUAAACACAAAUUUCAAAUGUGUUAUGCAACCAUAAUGUAUAUGAUGUCUCAACAACUUUGUAUUAAAAAAAAACAUGAGGAAAAAGGUUAUCGAUAUGAAUGUAAUAGAUAUCCGUCGUCAACAAAUAUAUCUGAGUAUUGUGAUGAUAUCUCUAACAACUCUGUAUGCAAUAGAUAUACGGAAAACAAGACGAUAGUAAUAAUGAAAAAAUUAGAAGAGGCUACUAGAAUGAACCAAUGAAUAUGCCUAUAGAAUAUGAUAAUGUUUCAACAACUCUGUACUUAAAUGAUAUGUUCAACAAUCAACACUAACAAAAAAAAAAAGCCACUUGAAAGACAUGAAAAACACUAUUGUUAGGGGUUUUUAUUUUUUUCCAAGGAAAACAAAAAAAACCGUGUGGAUAUGAAUGUAAUCAAUAUCUGUCAUCAACAAGAUAUACCUACCUAUUGUGAUGAUGUCUCAAUAACUCUGUAUGCAAAAGAUACGAGGAAAAGAAGUAGAUAAGAAUAGUGAAACAUAUAGAAAGUGAUGAUGUUUCAACAACUCUGUACUUUAAAGAUGUGUUCAACAAAUCAACGCUAAUAAAGGAAGCUAUGUGAAAGAUGUGGAAAACACUUUUGUUAGGGGGAUCUUUUUUAGGAAAAAAAAAAUAUUUGGAUAUGAAUGUAAUUGGUAUCUAUUGUCAACCUACCUAUUGUGAUGAUGUCUUAACAACUAUGCACGCAAAAAACAUGAGGAAAACAAGUUGGCAGUAAUAUUGGAAAAAAUAGAAGAGGAACUCAUAAUGAUUGUAAUUGAUAUCUAUCAUCCGAUAGAUAUGUAUAUAUAAUAUAAUAUCUUUCUAAUAAUUCUAUACUUAAAAGAUAUGUUCAACGAAUCAAUACUUCCAAAAGAAGCUAUGUGAAAGACGUAAAAAACACAAUUAUUAGGGGGGUGUUUUUUUCUUAAGGAAACAAACAAAUUUGUGAAUAUGAAUGUAAUCGGUAUCCAUUGUCAAUAGAUAUACCUACCUCUUAUGAUAAUGUCUCAAAUAGCUCUGGACGCAAAAGGCAUGAGUAGUACAAGUCAACAAUAAUAGUGGAAAAAUUAGAAGAGAACACUAGAAUAGAUGUAAUGAUGUCUCGACAACUUUGUACUUCAAAGGCGGCAUGUGGAACAAAUCAACAUUGACAAGAGAAGCUACGUGAAAGACGUGGAAAACACUAUUGUUAGGGGAUGUGUUUUUUUUUCCCUAGGCAAAAGAGAAAAAAAAAAGAUGAGAAUAUGAAUGUAAUCAGUAUCAAUUAUGAUAUAUACCUAUUGAAUAUGAUGGUAUAUCAAUAACUCUGUGCUUAAUAGACAUGUUGAACAAAUCAACACUAACAAAAUAAGCUAUGUGAACGAUGUGGAAAACACUAUUGUUAGGGUAGUUUUUUUUUUUUGUAGGAAAAAAAAGUGUGGGUAUGAAUUUAAUCGUAUCCGUCAUCAACAGAUAUACCUACAUAUUGUGAUAAUAUCUUAAUAAUUAUGUACGCAAAAGAUAUGAGAAAUAUAAGUUGAUAGUAAGAGUGAAAAAUUUAGAAGAGGACACCCGAAUGAAUGUAAUCGAUAUUCGUCAUCCAAAAGAUAUGCCUAUAGAAUGUGAUGAUAUCUCAACAACUCUGUACUUAGAAAGCAUAUGGAACAAAUCAAUACUAACAAAAAAGGGCUACAUAAAAGACUUGAAAAACAAUAUUGUUAGGGGAGUGUUUUUCUUUUUUCUCAAGGAAAAAGAAAAAAAAAGUAUGGAUAUAAAUGUAAUCGGUAUCCGUUGUUAAUAAAUAUACCAACCUAUUGUGAUGAUGUCUCAAUAACUCCAUACGCAAAAGACAUGAGAAAAACAAGUCUAUUAAUAGUGGAAAAAUUAGAAGAGGAUACCAGAAUGAACGCAAUUGUAGAAUAGAUUUCAUUCAUUAUGAAAGGUAUUGAUUUCAUUCAUCGAGAUAAUAUAUAUUUAUAUAAGUUUUGAGGAAUAGAUUUCUCUCGAUCAUUUACUUAAAUUACCUAAUCAAAUCAAUUACUUAAAUCUGAUCCUCAUGUCAUUGAGGAUGUAAGGAAUGCAACAUGUCAUUCCAUGUUUGUGUUCAUCAUGAUCUUCUAUCAAUGUUAUCUCAAACAAUUUUGUACUUAAACAAAUCAAUAUUAACAAAAGAAGUUACGUGAAAAACGUGAAAAAUACUCUUGUUAGAGAAGUGUACUUAAAAGACACAUUUAACAAAUUAACACUUCCAAAAGAAAUUAUAUGAAAUAUGUAGAAAACAUUGUUAGGGGGUGUUUUUCUUUCGCAAGAUAAAUAAAAAGGGUAUGGAUAUGAAUAUAAUCAGUAUCCAUCGUUGAGAGAUAUAUCUAUCUAUUGUGAUAAUAUUUCAACAACUCUAUAUGCAAAAAAUAUGAAGAAAAUAAGUCAACAUUAAUAGUGAAAAAAUUAAAAAAAGGACAUCAGCAUAAAUGUAAUCGAUAUCCAUUGUCCAAUAUAUAUGCUUACAAAAUGUGAUGAUGUGUCAACAACUAUGUACUUAAAAGAAGUGUUCAACAAAUCAAUUCUAACAAAAACGCCACAUGAAUGAUGUAGAAAUCACUAGUGCUAGGGUUUUUUUUCUAAAAAAAAAAAUGGAUAUGAAUGUAAUGUCUUAAUAAUCCGUUCCCAAUAGAUGUACUUAUGAUAAUGUCUUAAUAAUCCUUAAUGCAAAAGAUAUGAGAAAAAUAUAUCAAUGAUAAUAAUAAUAAUUAAAAAUUAUUUAAAAGAGUGUAAUCAGUGGAAAAUAUUAUUUUCAGAGGUGUUUUUUUUUCAAAAAAAUAUAUAAAGUAUGGAUAAUGAAUGUCUCAGCAAUGAUGUGUCAACACACUUUGUCUGAGCCAUGACACGUUAAGCAAUGGAACGUGCUGCAAACAUGUGAACGGGUCACCUGUGAAGUAGGCCCACUAGGCCCCCAAACACACACACACACACAUAUGUGAACGGGUCACCUGUGAAGUAGGCCCCCCCCCACCACACACACAUAUCUCGUCGUCAAGAGUCGCUCUAUCUCAUCGCCAACCGUCUUUUGUCAGUCAAGUGCGAGCUUUCGGGGUCACUGCUUCAUCGGUCGUGCUUGGGGACUGAUGUUCAGGCGGUGUUGUGCGAUCGCUUGGUCGAUCCCGGGCAUGUCCGUUGGUGACCAUGCGAAGAUGUUAGCAUUUUCAACAAGUAGGUUGAUGAGCCACUCUCUUUCCUCCUUCGGUAGCCUCGACCCAACCCUAACGACCCUAUCUGGUCGAUCGUGACAUAGAGGGACUUCUUAGGUAUGCUCAGUCGGUUCGGGUCAUUGUGUUGGCUUGGUGACGUCCCGAGAGUCGGCAAUGGGAUGCUCGUGUCAUGGCUUCUUGGGUAGUGUGACCGUCGCUAGGUAACAUUGUCGGGAUUCCCGAGGAUUGCCCCUUGCUUCUCCUACCCCUGCUUGGGUCGAAAAUUUUAUCGCGCGGGGGUAUGUGGAGAUGACCACUCUGAGCUUGUUCAGGGUUGGUCAGCCUAGGAUGGUGUUGUAGGGUGAAGGGAGUUCCACCACCAUAAAGAUUACUAUGAUCAUCUUGACUCGUGGGUCGUCGCCCAAGGUGAUUGGCAGGACGGUCGUGUCGAGGGAUGAAAUGGAGUCGCUUGUAAAUUCGGUAAGCGUCGAUUGACUUGGGGCGAGGUCUUCCUUGGUUAGGUUGAGUUUCCGGAAGGUGUCGAAGUAUAGGAUAUCGACGGAGCUCCCGGUGUCCACCAUGAUCCUUUUAACCCGAGCAUUGGCGAUCAUGGCCAAGAUGACUAGCGCGUCGUCAUGCUCCGGGUGUUCAAUUUCUCCUGUUGGGAAGGUGAUAUGGGGCAGUUAGGCUUGUCGCGGGCAUUUUUCAGUGGCCACUCGGGCAUAAGCCUUUCGCCCUGUCAUGCUAUCUCCCUCUGAUGCCAGACCCUCACUGAUCACAUCAAUCUGCUUCUCGACCGGACCGGAGGGAGGGGGAGACAUUUCGCGUGGCCUCUUAAUCUAGUGACCUAAGUGCCCCCAGCGUAUGAGUUCUUCAAUUUGAUUCUUGAGGUCACGUCGGUGUCGUGUCCAUAAUCGUUAUGAAACCUACAGUUCUUUAAAUGGUCCCUGAGCUCAUGCGGUGCCUUCAUCGAGUUUGGGGCCUUCAGGAGUCCCUUCUCCCUGAUCUGCAGGAAUAUCUCGGUCCUGGAGGACUUUAAAGGCGGGAGUGGGGGCCUCAGGAGUGUUGCAUUGGGUCAGUCGAUUCUCCUUCUUGGCGGUACCGGGGGCUGCCCUUAGGUUGGUUCUGGUCGCAGCCUCUUAUUCUCUUCGCACUUUCCCACCACCAAUGCUUCGGCAGCCACGUAUUGGUUAGCAUGUUGAAGCAUUUCGGGGAUGGUCGUAGGAGGUCACUUGACCAGCGACCAGAAGAACCUGGAAGGUCGGAGUCCCAUUAGAAAGGCCUGCAUUAUCAAAGAAGGGUGAUCGUCGAGCAACCCCCGGAUUUUAGUAGCAAAGCAUGUCAUAAAAUGAGAAAGUGGCUCGUCGUCCUUUUGGCUGAGGCCGAGGAGCAGAGCUACGGACGACCUCGGUCACACACUGGCUAGGAAGUUGAGCUCGAACUCUUUGGCCAAUCGGUCGAAAGAGGCGAUCGAGGCCGGUCUGAGUCGGUUUUACCACAUCCAAGCUGGGCCUCAAAGCAAGGUGGGGAAUGCUCUACACAUGAGGGCGUCAAAAGUACCGUAUAGGGCCAUCUGGGCUUGAAAGGUGGCGACAUGUUUCGUUGGAUCAAAGCUGCCAUCAUAGGCUUCGAGAAUAGGAAGACAAAAGCUUGGAGAGACUGGCUUGUCCUGAACCUCGAGUAUGAAAGGCAAUCCCCCUGAAGAGGCCUCGUUGAGCUCCUUCUUGGAUAUACAAAACUCUUAUUGAACCUCGUCCAGGCGCCGAUUUAUCGAGUGCAGUUGUGCCUGGAGGGAGUCCGCCAAGUUAGACGAUAGUGUGUCUGGCUCGGGGCUGCCGGUGUGGGGGUGUUGAAGGCUUCAUGCGUCAUGCGUGGGCGUCAGCCGUCGUUCGGGUGACGCGGCGAUGUUCGUCAUCACGAGCUGUCAAGGAGCGAGGGGUGGUGUAGGAGAGGGUGGAGGCUGCACGGGAGCUAGGGGUGGCAAUUUCCCUUGUGGCGUCGACAGGAGCAUUGGGGGUUGUUCAGGAGGCAAGACGAGGGGAACAAUGGUUUGCAUCAUCCCCGUCGGGACUUGAACUUAGUGCGUCAGGCUGAGGAAUGCCUCAGCGGAGAUGGAAGGUUGAGCGGCAACCACUCCCGGGGGUGAUAACCCCGGGUUAGUGAACAGUCGCCAAUAGCACCUCGGGGUCUCUAUGGAGUCGUUGGCCUCCUGCUCGAGGGGGAGGCGGGUGUUGCUCCCCUAACCCAGGGGUUGAGUGGGUCGGGAGGCGCUCGCUACCCAAGUGUUCGGUCGUGUUGCCAGGUUGAGGUUGAUCCUGCAUCAUUGGGCCCUCCUAGCGCCAAAAUGAUAGUGAUCCUUUACACCAUGGUAGAGGGAGUCAGCACAGCUUGGUUCGGUCCUAGGUGUGCAAGAUCAUCCACAUUGGUGUUUGGUUGACGAGGAUCGAAGUCUGGUGAGGUCAGGCUUGGGCUUUGGCUCCAAAGUCGGGAAACUCCCUUUGGCUGACCGCUUGCCUCUUUAUCACCGGUCCCUGCACACAGGUCAGGGUUGAGAAGGGGGCUCUCGAUUUCGACCCCUCCGAAGUUGUUAGAAUUGAGUGAAAAAUCAGCGAGAGAUCACUUGUUGUCAGCCCCACGAGGGGUUCUUAUCCUUCCACCAAAGGGCCAACCGUACCUAUCAUAUUUAUGAUUGUCAGUGUUGUACUUGGUCGGCAUCAUCCUGACUCCUACGGAAUGGCACGGUACUCGGUCGAUGCUGUCCUGGCCUUUGUGGGACGGCGCUGUACUUGGUCGGCGUCGAUCUGGCCUUUACAGGACGACACUGCCACGACUCUUACGGGACGACGGGGACGGCGCUAUACUCGGUCGGCACCGUCCCGGCCUCGGGACAGCACUAUGCUCGAUCAAUGUCGUCCCGACUCUUGCGAGACGACAUGGUACUCGGUUGGCAUCGCCCGACCUUUGCGGAAUCGACGUUGACCGGGGGGUACAAUCUAAUGUGUUGACCUUGAUGUUGAUGUGGCUAUGGAUAGUGGUUGGAGGACAGGUUACCAAAAUAUGUGCUAUAAUAGUACAAUGAGAAGAUAACACAAUUAUGCCCUGUUAUUCAUCAGAGUCUAUUUCGGCAAGCAGCUUCAAUUAUUGGAAAUCCCAUUCCACGGUAAUGACGCAUGGGGUUAUCUUAAGGAUUUUUGUUAAAACUUAAUAUGAAUCUUUCACACAUCAUCUUUAAUUUUUAAUAUUUAAAUUUAGAUCUCUACAUUAUAAAUAGAUCCUUAAGAAAAAAAAAAGAGAGAUGUUACGACAGGUGCGGACGAUUGAGAAAACAUAAAUGCUAACUAAUAUUUAUGUUUUUCCCACCCUCCUAUUCUAUUAAAAGUUUAAACGUAUUUUAGUUUAAAACAUUUUAAAUUAAGAUAUUAAAAAACAUUUAUAUCUUAAUUAAAUUAAGAAAUAUAUCUCUAGUAAACACUUUUAAAUAAAAUUAUUUGUGCAAAAACAUUUUUUUAAUAAAAAAUGUUGAGCGGUUUUAAAAUCGAAUCAGACAAUUCAAUUUUAAUUUGUCGAGCGAUUUUUAGAGAUUCAACUCUUAAAUUUUAAUUCAAUAGACUUGUUAAAUUAAUUAUUUCAAAAAAUAUUUUUGUUAUUAGGAUAGAAGUUUUUUCUCCACCUUCGGAAUGUUUGAAGGGUUCGAAUAACCCGAUGCACAGAAUGUCAAUAGAUGUAACCAACAAUAAAUUUUAACUAACUAAUUUAGUUAACAAAAAUUAACUAAAAAUGAUUUAGAUCAUGGAAUCGAAAUAAAUCAGUACUUCAAAAACAUGUUGAACAAAUCAAUGCUAACAAAAGAAAUAAGCUAUGCGAAAGACGUAAAAAAAAUUUAUUAUUAGAUGGGUGUUUUUUUUUCCAAAGAAAAAAAAUAAAAAACUUGUGAAUAUGAAUAUAAUCGGUAUCUAUCGUCGUCAACAGAUAUAUCUAUCUACGUAUUGUGAUAAUAUCUUAAUAACUAUGUAUAUAAAAGACAUGAAAAAACAAAUCGAUAAUAAUAAUUAAAAAGUUAGAAGAGGAUAUCAGAAUAAAAAUAAUCGAUAUUAAUGGUCUAACAGAUGUACCUACAUAAUAUGAUUAUGUCUCAAUAAUUCUCUACUUAAAAGAUAUCAAAUCAAUACUUGUAAAAAAAAAAAAACUAUGUGAAAGACAUCAAAAAAAAUAAUAUAUUGUUUUUUAAAGUAAAAGAAGAUAAAGAUUGAAUAUGAAUGUCUCAACCACUCUGUACGAGCCAUCACACAUUAAUCAAUGGAACGAGCUGUAGACUUGUGAAACACAAGUCGACAGUAAUAAAAGAUAACGUGGAAAACGACUACGCCGGGGAACCACCCAAAAACCCCAAUAGAGUCCGAUGAGAUGGCAUGCUGCUCUGUCAUUCACUAUCCUAGUGGAAUCCAUUAUCAAUAGCCCGUCCGGAACAGGUGGCCUGUGAAGUAGACCUCCAGAAAAAGAAAACAUAGUACGAUGAUGAGAUGACACAAUGGUGCUCUAUUAUUAUUGGUCAGACUCUAUUUCGACGACCCCGGUGGGAUCGAAUAUCUAAAGCUGUCGCCGUGCCCGUACUAAUCUCAGAAGAAAAUAAUUUUCUAUGUAAUUUUUCAUAUAUUAGUAACGUAUAUUGUAUAUACAUAUACGGAUUCCUGUUUCUUCUGUGUAAUUUGUGUUUUAUUUUCUAACAUGAAAAAGACAAACUAUCAAAAUGUUUUCUAAGACGAAAUCACAUCAUCAUGCCUAAUUAAUACUGUGGGGGCCCGUGAAUAAGAAAAUGAAGAAACAAAGUUACCUGCGGCAUUGAUUCCAUUAAACACGUGGUGAGCUCUGCAUUCAUCGGCAAGCAGCUUCAAUUAUUGGGAAUCCCUGUAUGGGCCUUCAUGUUCGUGCUACCAUCUCCUUGUAUAUAUAUGUCACUGGGCACCUCACCGUCUUCCACACAAAGUAUCAGUUACUCCUAUCCUCCUCCUCCUCCUCUUCCAAUGGCGCAAAAGAUUGGCGCGGAUACACCAUCCUGGCCUGAGCUCCUCGGAUCCGAGCACUGGUCCGGCCUUCUCGACCCUCUCGACCAAUCCCUUCGCGUCUUCCUCCUCCAAUGCGGUGACAUGUGUCAGGUCACCGCCGACUCCUUCAUCAGCGACGACCACUCCAAUUACCGUGGCAUGUGCCGCUACCGCCCCAGCACCCUCCUCGACGAUGUGUUCUUCCCCUACGCGGCCAACUACGACGUCAAGGAGUACCUCUACGCCAUGUCGAUUAAUUGGUCAAACUUCACCGAGGAGUCUAAUUGGAUGGGCUACAUCGCCGUCUCCAAGGACGCAUACACGAAGCGUACCGGGCGCCGCGAGAUCUACGUCGUAUGGCGCGGCACGAUGCGGCCGUCGGAGUUCAUCGAGGGCUUAGUGAUCAGUCUCGUGCCCUUCGACCCCGACAACCAAGAUGUGCAAGAUGUGAAGGUCGUGAACGGCUGGAACGACAUCUACACGUUGAAAGACAGCGGUUCGCAAUUUCCAUGCAACGCAACCAGUGCAAGGGAGCAGUUACUGAGUAAGUUAAGCGAGCUAGUGAAGCUAUACAAGAACGAGAGCCUUAGCAUAGUGUGCGUUGGCCACAGCUUGGGAGGCGCCCUCGCCAUCUUGAGUUCUUUCGAUAUAGUGAACAAAGGACUGUCCAAGAUAGAAGGCAAGGAGGAGCACUUCCCAGUAUGUGCCGUGGUGUUUGAGAACCCCAAAGUUGGGAACAAGGCCUUCAAUGAAAGGUUUGAGAAGCUGCCCAACCUUCGAGCUCUACGUGUCCGGAAUACUUGGGACAUCGUUCCAUAUUGGCCACUUCCAACCGACUACGUUGUCACCGGCUCAGUUCUGGACAUAGACUCCAAGCUGUCGCCCUACUUGAAAGUUCUGGACAUAGACUUCAAGACGUCGACCAUCUUGAAAAUCCUUGCGAGUAACCACGACCUGCAAGUGGUCCUCCACACGGUGGCCGGGUGGACCUGGAAGGACGUCGAGUUCCACUUGAAGGUGGAGAGGAGCCUGGCGCUAGUGAACAAGCAGGGCGGCUACUUGAAGGAUGAGUUGCAGAUACCCGAGGCGUGGUGGGUGGAGAAGAACAAAGGAAUGGUACCGGACAAGGAUGGAGAGUGGUCCGAGACACCUGGAUGGAACUGCAAGUCAUCCAGUAAUGGCCACCAGCUCUAAGGAUCCAAUGCCUGCCUGCCUAUCUACCCUAAAUAAAGUUGUCACUCCCUGCUCUCACUCUAUCUCUUUGUGUCGUCACGGGGACGGGGGAGGGAGAUGACAAGAAGAACUAGUGCAGGCCUGCAUGCAGCAGUCACGAACGUACGCUUCAAACUUGUGUGGUGAUCGGUUUCUACUAGGUGUGUGUAAUUGGGUCAGUAAGUGAAACGCCAGUGAAGCACUUGCUUCGCUGAAUAAUAAUAAAUAAAAAUCCUGUGGUUUGAACAUCGGCUUCACCUUCUCAUCGUCGUCGAUCACAUCCAUGGUGGUAAUACCUGCUACGAAACGAAUGAAUGGUAGCUCUCCCUUCAUCUCGUUCUACGGUGCCAUGCGAAUGGACGAAUCCAAUAUGUAGUUUAGUUGGAGGAGACGAUGACGCGACAUUAACCAGACCUUUGCGCGCGAUCGAGGACCAACUACGGCGGAAGGGAAGUGGAACGAAGACCACGAAACCCGCGACGCACGGACAAUUAAGAUGGACUCAUAAGCUAUUGGAUCCUGACAUGGAUUAUUUUGCUCGAUGCAAACAGCUCUUAGACGUCAACGUGAAUUUUAAUUCCAUCCGAGAAUUAUUUUGCUCGAUGCAAACAGCUAUUAGAUGUCAACGUGAAUUUUAAUUCAUUUUAAAACAUAUGAAAUGAUCCAUACUUGCACCCUUUUUCUUUUCCAGAAAAAGAAAGCUCCGACUUGACAUUUGGCAUGACAAGUUUCGACAACUGUCGUCUACCUUUGCGUGCGAUCUCUACGAGAUUUUAAGAAUAGAAAAACAAAACAAGAAAAAAGAAGAGCCAAACAACAACACACGAAAACAUAUCAUAUAUAGAGAUGAGGAACUAACUACAGUUGGUUAGGGUGAACAACGAGGCAGCACCCUUCAGAUCGUGUUCCUCCUGCGCAUGCUCCACCGGACUCGUCUCAUCCUUUAGCUCCGGCACUUGGGUGCUGUAACAUCAAACAAAGCCAACCUGAUGAGAUUACACGCACACACACACACACACACAGACAGAUAGGUGACCUAGCUAUUGCCUCGUCCCACGUCUCAAUCUGUCCAACCCAACCAUCGAGGCCAUUCCCGUGUUUUUUUAGAAUUCAAUUCAUGAAUAUAAACGUUUCAAGGGAAAAUAAACGAACAAACAAAUAAAUAAAUAAAUAAAAACUUUUACCUGCUGCAACGUGGAUGACCGGCCUCAUCGGCGUUAUCCUCGUCCCCUCCCAUCGACGUCUGUCUGACAUCGAACAUGUCUACCAAAGGCUUUACGUCCUCGUCCUCCACCAUGCAGUUGAAGUGCGGCUGGUGUUGUAGACUCGAUAGAUCAUUGUUAUCGUUAUUACUAUUAUUAUUGAUUAUGAUGCUUGUAUUUGGGUGGUUGUUUUGAUGAUCUCUGGUGAUGUCAUCGUCGUAGCACAAGUAAUUAUAGUAUUGCUGUUGAUCCUGCUGGUUGAUCGUAGGGAAAAUAUUACCACCAUAAAUCACGUUAUCCACAUCCUCGGACGUGGCCGUGUUAAGCAGAAGAUUAGGGUGGACCUCCAGGUCGGACGCGACAGAGGCCUGGGCAGCCUGCGCACGGCAGACGGCGAGUUGCCUCAGCACGAGGGCGAGCUCAUUGGAGUCGCGCUCGAUCUGGUACUCGAGGUCGCGGAUGAUGCGGUAGCAACCGCCGACGGGAUCGAGAGCACGCAUAUCGGACUGGUAUAUGAUGGUUUUCAUGGCUUCGGCAUGCUGGUAGGGAUCGAGGUUGCGGAUGAUUUUGAGGAUAUUGCUAACGCCGAACAGGCGGUGGGCGUUGAGGAACUUGUGCUGCUGGUUUGCCGGGAAGUAAGGGGCGAGGGUGCAGUCGGGGUUGCACUUGCGGCGUUGGUAUUUGCAGGCGGCGCAGGCCUGGGUUGCGGUGGCCUGGGAGGAGGAGGAGGUGGAGGAGGAGGAGGAGGAAAAGCGGGAGGAGGUGUUCUUGCUGCUUCCUGCUUUGGUGGUAGUUGUAUGGGAUGCAGUGCCAGCGAUCAUGAUAAGAUCGAGGGGUGGGGCGACGAAGGUGGCACAGGUCCUGGGCCUACGGCUCCGGCCGGCCUCACUCGCUCAGCGGAGGAGGAGGAGGAGGAAGAGGAAGACGAAUAUUAUUUGUUCUUGUUAUUUCUGAUACCGAUGGGAUCGGUAGUGGGCAGCAAAAGGAGCCGAGCCGCCCAUCGAUGGAAAUGCGCGGAGGAGGAAGGAAUGGCCGGGAGCGGAGAUCGGUUGGAGAGACGACCAUUUCUUCGUGACACGUCAUAAAAUACAACGCAGAGGAGAGAGAGAGGGUGUAACCUUCCUAUUUAAUUUUAAUUCGGAUCAUGUUGGACGAGACGACCAUUUCUUCGUGACUCAUCAUAAAAUACAUCGCAGAGGAGAGAGAGAGAGAGAGAGAGUACGUGUGUGUGUGUGUGACCCUUCCUACUUAAUUUUAAUUCGGAUCGUGUUGGAGGUGCACGUACCUGACUGGCUCGCCCUUUCCCUGUCCAUCAUUUGUCUCCACAAAGAAGAAACUGAGCUAGCCCAUAUCAGCAGCUAUCCAUUCCCUGUCUGAUAUCUUAUCCACAGUUAAAAGGAGCAAAGGAGCAACGAAACUGAGCCAGCCCAUAUCAGCAGCUAUCCAUUCCCUGACUGAUAUCUUAUCCACAGUUAAAAGGAGCAAAGGAGUUGCUCCUUUGCUAUCUGGAUGAUGAUUCAGAUUCGAGUCGUGAAAGCAUCCUCCCUAUACCAUUAUAUUAAAUCUUCCCAACUCCAAUGUUGAUAGGAUUCAAACAGUCAUUAGCGCAUUACAUGUAUGUAUACAUAUACACACACAUAUUUGGAAUCAAAAGAGCAGGACUUCUCGUUUAUUCUAAUCCGGCUCUAGUCUGUAAAUAAAUUUUAAGUAGUCGAAAGGUUAAUUGGAAGUUAAGCUUCGAUGUAUUAGUAGUUAACUUCACCAUCCAGAAAAUUUAUUGCGAGGUGGGUAACAAAAGCCGGCGACUUGUACUGCUGUCGUUGGGUCACCAGAUGAGAUGUGGAUUAUAUGCGGCGGCGGACGGAUCAUCCAUCCUGCCCCCUUAUUUAUAUACCACAAGAUGUGGAUCUUAAGAGUUUAGAUAUAAGUUACUCAUUUCUUUCUCGGGUUUAAAAGACAAGGGAGACGGAUUUUGAAGCUGUUGGUUGUACAUUCCUUGUGCCCUUCGGGUAUUUUUACUUUGCUCCACUGUACUUGGCGAGACUUUCCAUCGACAGAUGUUCAUGCUUUGCUUUGCUUUGCUUUGCUUGAUCCUUUUUGUUCUCAGAUAUGUCAUCAACAUCUCCCAACAACCUGCAACCGACCCAUUGAUCCAAGUUUUCACUUUCAUGGAUUCAGAGGUUUGAGAUCACUUAGUUGCAAGAAGGAAACUUCCAAGUACCAAAGGCUAACCAAAGCAAACGCAUCUUUUAUCAAGAAACGUGAAUUUGACAAGAAAUCCAUCACAGAUAGAAAUUGUAACUCGAUCAACACUCAUCUAUUACCAGUAACGUUUCAGUUGAUGGUAGCCAGCAAGAUUGUGUCUGGUACAGAAUGUAUGGUUCUCGACUCGUUUGCACGGCCAUAUUCGAGAGUUCCAAUCAAACCAGCUGCAGCUCUCGUUCCCAAAUCAAUAGGUUGAAGCCAACGGUCCUGAAGGAUAAAGAUUCUUGCUCCCAAAUCAAUUAAGUUCGUUCUGUAUUCAAUAUUUCCAUGAUAGUUGUGAAUACAUAUUAAAGCAGAUAUGAAUACAAUUGUUUAGCUGACGCUGUCACAUAUUCAUAUAUGCCAUCUGUAAGUGGUAGACAUAGUUUAACAUGCAUAUUUUUUUAUCCCGAGAGAAACUCAAAUGCAUAGUUGCUAAAGGUUCUCCGAAUGAUUAAGCCAAUCCUCAUGCCAUGGUUCCAUUGUUUAAGUGAGAGAAUAGAGCAUCAAUAUUGGAUACAAAUCCUUUAUGCAGCCGAAGGAGCCGAAGAUUUUGCUCGAGGCGGUACUCUUAGCAAAGUCUUCAUCAUGUCAUAUGCUGUAAACCCUAUGGCUACCGAAGGAACAACCUGCACACAUCAAACAAGCAAUUAUUAGUGAAUCGUUGCCAUCUAUUAACGGAUAUAAUCACCAAGUAUUUUUAAGUGAAAAAAAAAAGAUAAAUAUGGGUUUAGUGAUAAGAGCAAGUGCAGUUAUUUUUGAACGCACAAUACAAUAUUGUGUUGCACUACAAACAGUAUAUUUCUAAUAGAGGCAAUAAAUGGAUUUUGUAAAAGUGAGACACAAGACUGAUUAUAAUAGGGACAGUUUCUUUGGACCUUAAAUAAUCCAACCCAUAGUACCACAUAGCAUUACAACUAGUUAAUUAGUAAACUUGUGACAAGACAAAAUUAGCUUAAGAGAGUACCUAUGCAAAAGAAUUAAUCAUUCAAACUCACAUCUUGAUAAACGACAUCAACAAAGCAUAACCUGAAGCUAAGCAUUGAGAAGCACAACUGAUCGAGACAAUUUGGCCCUCAGAUGUCGCUUAAUUUUCUUUCAUUUUUUUCACUUCUGAUCAACAGGAGGUGACUUCCUAUCAUUGGUCCAGAAACCAUGGAAACAAACUACUGUAUUCCUCCACUUCAAAACUACAGCAAGAUACUAUUUCUCAGGUGUCCUUCAAGUGAGCUGAUAAUUAACUACUACAUAUAUGCAUGAAUAGGAUAGCUUGAGACUCAUGAAAGACAUCCUUGAAAUUAUUACUUUCCAAUCCAUUAAACAACUAAAAGAUGAGAUUUAUAAAAGGUCAUGUUUCAUAAUUUUGUCCUAGCUAUAUAGCAAAAUAUUCCCUGCUAGAUAACAAAGUAUCUCAUAUAUUAGGCCAAUCCCAUGGCUGACUAUGAUUCCACUUUUCAGUAAGGUACAGAAAGUUCAGAUCCUGCUGGAGAAAUGCAUCCUCCACACUAUAGCAUCUAAAUUGAUCAUUAAAUUUCCUCCCUUAUAGAAAGAAACAGCUAAUGGAAUUUUCCAUGUACCAUCGCAGUACUUGUCCAACCUUUGUGGUCAUGCAGAAAUUCAGCUCAUAGAUCUUCUCAUUUGGACAAUUUUUAAAAUAAAAAUGAGAAGCAUCACUUAGAAUCAAUUGCCAAAACACAACCAAGUCUAUCAAAAAUUAAUCUUUGCCAGAUCUUCAUCCAAUAACAUCAGGUCAGUCCUUACAGAAGGGAAUAGUUCUAGAUCACAGCAAGUUCUGGUGAGUCAUAAUUUUUUUUCCCCUUAUCUAAGGACGAGUUCAAAAUUGACAAUUUUUAAAAUAAAAAUGAGACGCAUCACUUAGAUUAAAUUGCCAAAACACAACCAAUUCUAUCAAAAAUUAAUCUUUACCAUAUCUCCAUCCAAAAACACCAGAUCAGUCCUUACAGAAGGGAAUAGUUCUUGAUCACAGGAAGUUCUGGUGAGUCAUAAUUUUUUGUCCCCUUGUAUAAGGACGACUUCAAAAUUGACCAUCUGAACAAAAAAAUAUUUAGGAGUUUCUGGUUGCCACUACGUUAAAUGCAUGCUUACAUGCACUUACCUGCUUCUAAAUGCAUGCUUACAGUACAUGAACUUGCUUACCUAUUUAAUAAAUGCAUGCUUACAGUACAUGUACUUACCAACUUCAUAAAUGCAUGCUUACAGUACAUGUACUUACCUUGACAUAGUUGAGGCUCAGACCAGCAAAUAGUUGCCUCCAUCCCUGAGUAUGGAGGAUGAAUGAAAGCCCUUGGACUGUUCCCCUGAUGAGUGGAGCACCUGGGUGAUUUAGCGAUUGCUGAUUUUGAACCUAAGAACAUAAAGAAACUAAUCACAAACUACAUCCUUCAUGAUUGGAAGAAAAAAUCAUCCUACUGUUAUCACAGAAUGACCACUAAAAGAAGGCACAGGACAACAUCAAGUGGUAGAAUACCUGCAUCUGUCUCCUGACCACAUCUAGUGGAUAAGUGAGAGUCUGCCCAAAUAAACCAGCUAAAGCCCCACAUGAGAGGCGUAGAACUACAGACUUUUGGUAUUCUUCAGGUACCCGAGCCUUGAGAUCUUCAUAUAUAUAAAAUUUCAGACCAGCAUAAGGAAGGAUACCAAUAAGCGUAGGACCUGCAUCAACAUAACAUGAUAGUUAUCAUACUGCCAUGCUUGAAUCAUUUAAUGGAGAUCUGUCAUGAUCACAGCUUAUGUCAACACAAAAUAUUGCAGCACCAACUUGAGAGAUUACUGGCAUCAAGCAUACAUCAGUGCACGGUCCAUUCAAAUGUGCAAUUCCAGAAGAAUGAAAACAGAGAAAUAUUAACUGGCGUAAACCACAUGUUUUGUGUCAAGGUUCGCAAUACCGUACCGUACCGAUAUUUCGACCUGAGCUCGGUACCGGUACGGUACGGUAUACCGAGCGGUAUACCCAGGCGCGCCGAGUACUAUAGCACUGCUACAGUGCUACAGUAUACUCGGACCGGUAACAGGCGAUCCGCGUACCGACAACCUGUCGGACCGAUACAUACCGCCCGUACCAGGCGGUACGGUUCGGUAUGGCAGACCCUGUUUUGUGUAGCCUAAGCUUCUUUUGAAACUGAUAAAUGAUUAUUCAAAGUUAAGGAGCAGGGUGAUCAUUAGAAAGCUUACGCAAUAACUGACAAAGGGAAGGAUAAACAUAACUCCAAUUACACAAACUAAAGAAGCAGGGUGGUUGUUUGAAAGAUUAUACAAGAGCUUAACGUACCUACUCCUCGAUAUAGAGAACGUAUCCCACCUUCCAUGUAGACCUUCUUAAACACAUCUCCAAUACCAGUAUAAGCAGGCUGAGGACUAAACAUUCUUAGACCACUACUCAAUCUCCCUGGACUGUUUACCUGAAACGAUAGUUUAAGCAAACAUCAACCAAGGCACCACGAUCACAUUGAAUACAAACAAAACUGUCCAACGUACAAAAAUAGCUAAGAGGUUCUAAGUAGACACGAAAAGGAAGAAGAAAAUACAAUGCUACCCUGGUUAUACUACUACCCAGGGAUUAGAUGAUAGCACAAAUAGGGCAAAUUUUGACAGGAACAAAAUCAAUCAACACAAUGACUAAUUACUACAAUAAUCUGAAAUAUGGCUGAGUGACCUAAGCUUAUCAACCAAUUGACAUUAAUGCCUAGAAUUAGUUUGUUUGUCUUAACAAAAUACUCCAAAAUCCUUAAUUGCAUGAAAUGCACAUGCAGAACAUCAGAAACAAAGUUUGAGAAGAUCAGAAAUCAGGCAAGAAAAUAAGAAUAAUAUCCAUAAGAGCAUAAGAAUUAGACUUUGCAUUUACCUGAUAAGCCAGCUUAGUCCGAGCUAAAUCUAAUGGAUAGGUACACAAAACAGCAGUCCCACCAGCAGCUGAACCAGCUAGAAGAUCAACAAAUGGUCCCGAGAUAAAUGAAGAAUGAUUAUUCAGAAUCCAACAACGAUACUGCUCAUAUGUCAUGAAGUGUAGUGCUGCAUAAGGUACAAUUCGGAGCACACUAGCACCAUUUCCUCUAAAAGACAAAAAUGACAAAUAUUAAAACGUAAAAAAACUAAUAAUUGUUUAAAAUGUAACUCUGCAGUUUUAUUAGUUUCUACUUACUUAUAGAAUCCAAAGAAGCCCUCAUGUUGCCACAACUUCCUCAAAGAUUGUAAAAUCCCAAGAGAUUUAAACCCUUCGGUUCUUGUCUGUCAAAGUAACAUUGAAAGCAUAAAUAACAUUAUAAAUCUAAUAAUAUAUAAGCCUUUUCAACAAAUUCCUGUUUAUCAUAUGUCCUCAAGAAGUUCUAGAAACUGUCACGACAAUGAUACAGAAAACAGAUGAGAAGCUAACAUCAUUUUUCACCUCAAGAAACAAGAUGAGAAAUAAAAUAGCACAAAUUUACGUGGCACUUGUUGACACAAUUUGACCUUAAAAGAACAGAUGACUAGAGAGAAACCUCAGCAUUAGCAAAUCAAACAACAGACAAUCAUUAAUGAAAGGUUUCAAAAUCCGAAAGGGCACAUGGUAUACCUUAUCUCAAAGCGUAAAAAUAUCUCUAUACUACAGUAACUAGCUACUAUGAACAUUUCGGUCAAAUAAAACCAUAACGAGACAACCAACCGAUUGGAGCUUCACACUUGGCCUAGAGUCCUUGGUGUAUUAUCUUACCCAUGUAUUUUGUGUGGAUAUACAAUUCAGAAAUACAUAAAAAAUCAACCCAUUGGAAAAAGUAGAGUAUCACUGAAAGAACAAGCAGAACUCCAAACAAGUGGUGAAAAACAAAAUAGCAUCUAAAAGAAUCAUCAAAUUAAAGACCACCAAUACUAUACCACUGUACUCUUAAAACUAGGAGAAAUUAAUUACUGCAUACAGCACCAACAUGGUUUAUGAUACUUAGGAAAAAAAGAAUAUAUGUCUACAAAAUGUUAUUCAUAAUCAACAACAAGUGAUAUAUUCGGUAGAACAUACUUUUAAAGAACCGCAGUUGAAGAAAAAUUCAUGACAAAGGCAUAAGCUAUUCUGGAGACACCUCACAACAGCCAAGAAAUUACAAGCUAAACGAAAGUUGCAAGAUUAGGCUCAGAGACGGGUGAAUAAAUCGAGACGACACCUCUUACAUCAUAUUCUAGAAAGGUUUAAACGAGACUUGGGACGAGACGCGGGAAUAUAACACAGUCAUCAAGAUAUAGCAAGCAAAGGGACGAGAUAACAAACCUGCAAUAUUAUCUUAAUGCGCUCAAGGGGUGCUACUGCAGUCUUCGAGAACGCCCCAGCGGCUCCACCGGCGAUCAACUCCUUAACAUAAACCGGCAACAAAUCCACCACAGAUACAUCCACCUUCGCAGCCGCUGCUGCGGAUGUCAUCGUCGAUCCUUGGGACGAAUCCAUAUUCCCAAUCCAAACGGAACCAGAACCUAAAUAGCGCUAUAUAUGUAACUAAAAGCGGAGGGAACGUAGAUGUCUAGUUACCCCGCUUGCAAUUUGGCGAACUCCUUAUCCCAUCGAUCUCUGGGGAGGCAAAAGAAGAAGUCUUUCCCAAGGAAGGAGCGCGGAGGCGGGGGGCGAAUGCCAAGAAACUGGUAGGGUUCCUUCGCAUCCGAAUCGGCCCCGGGGAGGAGAAGAUACAUCAACAGGGGAGGAGAUCUUGGGAUCCACAAAGAUCGAACUGGUAGCGAGGAGAUUAAAAACUCUAGAAGCGAUCGAUCAAUCCCAUGGAUCGACGACGAUCUCACCGAUUCCCAUACGAGGUCAACGACUCCGAAACCCCGGCGCGAUCGGGACCACGAUGAAGAAGAAUCGGAGAAGCAAAGGAAAAAAGGCGGUGGAAUUAGGGUGCCUCCGCUUCUCCGAAACUAACUUCUCCGCCUCCUCUACGCUAACGAUCCGCCCCAAUUAUAAUCCUCAGCGAUUUCCUCUUUCAUCAACGCUAAUCACGGGGGGAUACCGGAGACCGAAUAAGAGUUCGGGGAUAAGGAAAGGAUACCAUACGCAGGAUAAGAAUCCCUGUAUCGGUCGGCCACGGUGCGGACUUAUCGAGGCAAUCGAACGGUACAUGCGACCUCCAUCCGCCGCCGUCGUCGCAGCUGAUGGAUUCGUGUGAGUGUUUAUGCGGGUUGUUCCGCACGGAGUAAAAUGGCUCGUUCCCAUGUGGGCCCCGAAAGCAAAGAAGAGGGGGCCGGACCGAUACCAUUCCCACCCACGCCGUCUAAAUCUGAGCCCGAAAAGAUAUACGGGCCCAUCUAUCUAUCCAUCUUAUCUUCGUCGAUAAUAUUGUAUAGAUAUAAAGAUUGAAUGGGAGUGGUUGAUUUUAAAUCAAUCACAACAGUGGGGAGGGAUGAUAUUUCCUUAUAAUUAAAAGAAAAGAUAAUAGGCGGGCAAGCCACAAGACGAAAGCUUCUAUUUCAUGCAGGAGAGCUUGCCUGAGACCGUGCAUGGCGGCAGCAGGAAACGUAUGGUACCGUGGAAAAUGAUGCUAUAUAUGGCAUUGCAUAGCCACAGAAUUGCGGCAGUGAAGACUUUGACCUGGGAUUUAGUUGACAACAUCGGCCUGUCGUAGACUCUCCGUGCAACGUUGGCACGGUCAAAAACAACUCAUAUAUAAUAUUAUCGUCGUAGACCUGUGGAAAUGCUUUCGCAGAGGCAGCUUCGAUGCACCAGCCAUGCCUUGGAUCUUGCGUUCGUAAACGUAUAAUAUCUCUCCCCAAGUCAGGUGUUCUUUGAAUGACCCGAAAAGUUGAAGAGCGAAGCUCGACGGACGUACGUUGUUUACUGUUCUUUCUCUUCUUAAAACCCACCCGUAUUCUCUUCUUCUCUAACAUACCUUAUUUGCAUGAAUUUGGAUUGUUAGCAUCAGACGAGAACGAUAAUUAAGUAGCCUCCUUGUCCUGCAAUGACUGGAUCAAAUGAGUGACCACUAGAAGACAAGCCAAGGCGACCAGCUAAAUCUUGAGGUUUGCAGCUGACAUCGAAAGCCCAACCACCAUACUGACAUGGGAGACCGGAGGUGUACACUUCAUGCCACCCACCAUAACCCCAAGACCCAUGAUAAAUAUCAUCACUACGCCAUCAAUGACGUACCUAAUAAUUAUUGUAUCCGUCGAUAAAACAAGGAUCAUCGUAAGAUAUAUAGUCAUCUCAUAUCGAGAUCUUUUAACUUGUACACGCAAUAAGAAACGUCAAGUAUGCUAAAAGCGACUUGCUAGCUCGCAAAGACGAAGUCAAUGGCAGUCGCACAGCCGACGAGCUCAAACUUCCCAGAUCUCCGAGUAUCACAGUAGAAGAUAUCAGUUCGAGAAGUCUUACACGGAUGGUACCACAUGAGCAGGCAGGACGGGAGGGGUUGACUCGGUGACCUGGCCAGAAUCUAAUCCAACCUGUCCCCCAGGACAUGUAUGGUUGGGUUUUCUCCUACCCCCACAUGCAGACUUCCAAGGUGGCGCAGAAUUGAUCGUCCCUCCUCUCUGGCCUCUGCUCCCGACAAAGGCGAAGUCGGAAAGUCCAUGCACGGGAGGGUUUCGGUUUUCCACAAGUUAUUUUUUCCACGGCUACCGCGGAAGAACCACCGUUGGCAAUCGUCUUUUGCUACCUUCAAUCCCGAUCCCAGCUUCGUUUCCAGUUUCCACAAAUCACACGGCAAGUGGACUCUGAUCUGAAGACUAGUAAGAGGACUAGUCCAGUCUAUUUCGUGUCCUUUGGUGUUCUCUUCUCCACACAUAGAUAUUAAACCGUCUCCCUAUAUAUGAAAGAGGGGUGGGUGGCCGCAAUCAACAUUAGCUGUUGGGGGCUGUGCAAUACCAGUAGAAUUCUUCCCCUUCUGCUGCUGCAGAGCAGUUGCUUUCCAUCCGUGAUCUGUCGCGUACGGUGACCAAAACUUGUUCCCUUCCCUUUUUUAAUUCUGCCUCUUCUUUCGCUGCAUGCUUUCUUUCUCGAAAUUAUAUCUGAUGAAUUCUUUUCUUUUUCUUUUCCUCUCGUUUUCUUCUGGCUUCUGCGCGGAACAUGCUGCUUUGAUUCGAUUAGGACCUAUUGUUGUUGCGAUUUUGGUGAAGUUAGAUGCUGGUUUUGCGACCGAUCAUUGAAGUAUUGCAUGUGAAGCUGUGGAUUUUGCAUGGUUGAUCCCUGAGUAAUUUGGUUCGGAUUUAACAUAAAAUUCCUACAGAGAGGGCUCUGUUUUGCCCCCCAAAAAAAUCCGUGAUUUAUCAUAUGGAAAGCAUGAGUUUUGGAGCAAACCAUUUGUUUUUGGGUGCUCUUUGUGUUCUAGACUACCUCUAAACUCUUUCAUGAAGGUUGUCAGAGCUAAACCUGCGUGUGAUGCUCACUGUUGAAAAUUUAAAAGUAUAAUUGUUCUAUAGGCGAGAUUUGGAGAGAUAGUAUGAGCUUAUUGUUUUCCUUGGUUUUAUAGAACCAUGGUUUGUCUGACACGAGAAACACAAUCCUUUUCGUUUUCUGGCAGAGGCAAAAAUCAUCAUCCCGAAAUCGCUCGACAUCACAAGGAAUAAUUCCUGAGCGUGAUGGUAUCUGGUGUGCCCGGUGGUGCAGUCAUGGAGAGGUCAUUAAGCUUCAAGAACUGGGAACCUGGCGUCACUGAGCUCGAUCGAUCUUUCUCCGAACAAGCCACAGAUUAUGUGGCAGCGCAGCCAUCUAGUCUCAAGGUCCCGGUGAACUUCGUGCUGCCUCAUGUGAAGCUUCCGGAGCAGCUCCCUGCGUUUUCCUCACCGAGGCCUUUGAGAGAGCUCGACGCUGCGGCAAUUACGUUGCAAAAGGUCUACAAGAGCUAUCGAACCAGAAGAAAUCUUGCAGAUUGUGCAGUAGUAGUCGAGGAACUCUGGUGGGCCUCUGACUUCAGCUUGUCACUUCCAGGAUUUGUGCUGCUCCUUUACCUCACUCUAAAUCCUUCUCCUCCUCCUCUGACUGUAGGUGGAAGGCACUGGAUUUUGCAUCUCUUAAGAGUAGCUCUGUCUCGUUCUUCCGCGUCGAGAAGCCAGAAACAGCGGUUUCUAAAUGGACAAGGGCGAAAAAAAGAUUAGCCAAGGUAAUUGGGUUGUUUGCUUCUAUCUACACAAUUCAAUCAAAUUGAUGUACGUGUCCAUCUUUCUCAGGUUGGUAAGGGUCUGUCCAAAGACGAAAAAGCUCAGAAACUAGCACUAAGGCACUGGCUCGAAGCUGUAAGCAUGGUCUUACGGAACCUAAUUAGAACUUUACAUGAGUGGUUCAACGGACAAUGAUUCCUUCCGUGUUGUGCUCUGCAGAUUGAUCCACGGCAUCGCUAUGGGCACAAUUUGCAUUUAUAUUAUGAUGUCUGGUUCGCCAGUGAGAGCACCCAACCAUUCUUCUACUGGUAAAACCAAGAACCAUGCAUGCUCAUCCCGUUCAUUUGGAGAUUCAUGGUUGUAUGAUGUGGAGCCUUGGUUUGCUCAUCCCGUUUGAUGAAUAUCAAGGUUGGAUGUCGGAGAUGGAAGAGGAGUAAAUAUCGACGAGUGCCCAAGAAGCAAGCUUCAAAAGCAGCUCAUCACUUAUCUUGGUCCGGUAAGCUCCUUUCUCUAGCUCAAGGACACUUGAAUUGUCCGGAGUUGCCAUUCUGUGACAACUUCGCCAAAUUGAUUCCAGAUGUUUAUGCUCUGGAAGCAUACCUGAUCGCAUACUAUGUUCAUCUCCUCGCAGAAAGAGAGAGAAGCUUAUGAGGUCUCCGUCCGGAACGGGAAGCUUGUCUACAAGCAAAGUGAGAGGCUUUUGAACACUCCGCAAGGAUCCAAGUGGAUAUUCGUGCUCAGCACAUCAAGAUCAUUAUAUGUGGGAAAGGUGAAAAAGAUCAUGCAUAUUUUGGACGCGGAUAUCCAAUUAGAUGAAACUUCAUGACGUAUUUAUCUUGUGUGGUUCGCUGCCUGUUGAGCUUACCAAGUCCUUUUGGUGUUUUUCUCCAUGGCAGAAGAAGAGGGGCACAUUCCAACACUCGAGCUUCCUAGCUGGGGGAGCUACAACAGCUGCCGGAAGGCUCGUUGCCGAAGAGGGCGUCCUGGAGGUACGAUCACAUAGCUGCACACAACCUGAGUAGUCCAGGAAAGCAGCAGCAAAACAGCUUAAACUUUACAGACCUUGAUGUUGAUUGUGAUCCUUGAUAUAUCCUGUUUAAGUUCUUACGAGUUGCUAAUUACCUCAGGCUGUAUGGCCGUACAGCGGCCACUACCUCCCGACCGAGUAUCAUUUUGGGGAGUUCAUUAGUUUCCUCAGGGACAACCAUGUAGAUCUGACCAAUGUCCAGGUAAAUCUGCAGUCUUCCUUUGUGGUGUUCGUUUCGACGAACAUUGUAAUAGGUAGUCCGGAGAAGAGGUCAUCCAAUUGGAAGAUUUAUCACUAAAUUAGACAGAUGUUUGGCAAGCAAACAAAGAUUGCAUGAUCGACGGCAUAGUGUAGUCCGCUUGCAUGCAUGACCAAAACACACAAUUUUUUGCAUUUCAGAGACGCUCCGUCGACGAUGAUAAGAUACCUGCCUACAGCAACGAUAAUAGUGAGGCAGCAGUUGAAGCAGAAGCAGAGGCGGCUGCGGUGGAAGAGAUUGCUGAGAGUGAAACUAAAGUUGAUAGCAAAGAGGCUGCAAGGGAAGAGAGCGUGGAGAAGGAAGUGGAGUUUGCACUGGGGAGGCGCCUGUCGUGCAAAUGGACUACCGGCGCCGGUGCUCGCAUCGGGUGCGUCCGGGACUACCCGACCGAUCUGCAGUUCAAGGCACUGGAGCAAGUCAACCUGUCACCCAGGCUCAUUCCUUCGCCCAUUGGGAACAAGACCCCCAUCCCUUCACCACGACCCAGCCGCGAGCACAAGCUGUCCCCCAGGCUUCAGUUCAUGGGCCAUCCUACCCCCGUUUUCUCCCCUACUCUUCCCAAGCCCAACAAGUGACGUGAGAGGCUCGCAGAAGACGCCGGAGAAGUACCCGCGCCGAACAGACCUACAAUACUUGUUUGUUCGUCAACGCUUCGUUGGUAAAGCUGAAGCGGCUUUUGCUUUCUCUGCUCCUUUCUGGAGCGCUCUGAUGUUUGUUCAGUUUAAAUGUAACGGAGAAAGUUGCUAUAUUUUGUAGAUUAAAUACGACCGGCAAUGUGGAAAUCCCUAACAAAACAACUCAAACAUAUGAAUUCAGCGAGGCAAUCGUAAGACCCUGAAUCUUUCGAUGAACAUCUCUAGAACCGACAUCAACAUCAAACAAAACUCCGUAGGAAUCGAACUGCAGUUAUCUGUGUUUAGCUGACUACAUCUUGGAACAAGAGAUUAAAAGAAGGACAAGUGCGUCGCGAAAUCAGAAGCUUGAGCCAGCCGAAGAAACGCCACCAAAAGCAACGACGACAAGCGUCUAGAAGCGAAACACGAUAAGCGCAUCACAAAGGAAAAUAAGCGAAAUAAUGAUGAAAUAGAAUCCAAAUUACAUCGACGUACUACGCGUCUAUAAAAUCACACCCCAUACUCUCCUAUGCAUCCAUUAUUUAUCAACGAAACCCUCCUGCACAUCGAACAAUGCAGCACAAAUAGCCAACGUAGUGUCGCACGAUCACCAGAUCGCAAGGAAAGGAUCGACUGCGCUCAGCGGCGGAGGGGCCCGAGGAGGAGAGCGGCGGCGGAGGAGGCGAGGAGCGUGACGCCGAGCAGGGGAGAGAGGGUUCCGGCUGCGGAUGUGGGGCUAACGGCGGGAGCGUCGGCAGCGGAGGCGACGCCAGCGAGAAGAGCGACGGAGACCACCGAAGCGAUGCGGAUCGCCACGGCUCUGGCACCGAAGGCCGCCAUGGCGUCGACUGCCGUUUCUGCGAGCGACGGUGGGUGGGCGGAGCGAGGGGUGG